rnacentral:lncRNA from 1 species
CGAUCCAUAACAAAUACGAGUCUGCUUCACCUAACCAAAACACACACAUACUCCAUCUCUAAAUGCUUUGAAGAUAAACAAAUCAACCGUAAUCCUGCAACUUUAGCUCAGAGAAUCGGAUAAGAAAAGAACAGGUGAUGAAUCAAGGGUAAUGGCGCCGAGUGAGUGUCGCCUGCGGUCGGCGUUAGAGGCGACUGUCACUCAAUCGCGUACAAGGUUAGUCUUUGAAAAAACUCUUUGCACGUUAGAAAUCAGUGAUUGGGCAUUAUUUUGUUGUUUAAAAAUGAAAAUGGGUUUAUUAGUUUGUCGAAGAAUCUGCUCUGUUGCCGGUGUUGUUUGUUGAUUAAAAUGAAAAUGGGUUUGUUGAUGUGUUGAAGAAGUUGCUCUACUGCUGGUGUUUUUUUAUUAAUUAAAAUGAAAAUGGGUUUGUUAAUUUAUUGAAGCAGCUGCUGGCAUUGUUAUUGUGACUUUAUUUAUCCAAUUGAUGAGCUUAUGAGCUAAUAGUAUUGUUUGAUCAAGCUUGUGUUCUUAAUAGUGGAGUUGAUAUUCUUAAAAAUGAAUUUAUGAUUAUGAGAAUAUGAAAAUUGAAUGGCAUCAUAGAGAUCUAGAUUAAUCACCAUCGUAUAUGUUUCUAAAUAAAGGAAUAAGCAGCAACUGAUUUGAAACUUAAGACUUUAGGGAUAUGUAUGUGCAACUGAAUGAAUCAUCAGUUGCUAUCUUGUAAGUCAAUACUAGCAUAUUACUUAAUGGCAAGUGAAACUAUUUUAUGUGUAUUGCUGCCUAUCAAAAUGUUUAUGUUUGAAGUUAUCUCCUUUUAGGAAAUUGAAUGCUUCUGUGAGUUCUCUGGUAAGGGCUAUACAACUAGUUCUAAUAGAUUCCUUCAUGUGCAUUAAUUAGCUUAGUAGUUUAUUGACCUAUAUCCAAUGUCUAUUCCCCUUUUCUGUAGCCGUCUAGUUUUAUGAGCAUGUGAAGUGAACUUUUGUUUUAUGUUUCAGGACUUGGGAUUAGAGUGUAUAACAUUCAAUAUCUUUUUAUCAAAGAACUGAUAUAUGUCAAUGUAGUGCGAUCUGGUCUUUAUUAGCUUCUUGAUUUGCCAGGAUGUUUGACAACCAUCUUUGACCAUGAUUGCCAACAUAUAAGCUGCUACAUAGUGUCUCAGGAAUCACAGCAAAUUAUUAUCAUAAUAUGGUGAUUUUGAAUCCAAAACUUGGUAGUGUCAAGAAAAUAGACCCCUGUUUAUUUAUCUUCAUGUUUUGUAUGCGGCUGCAAUAGACUAUUAUAAGUUACUUUUAGUUUUAUCAAGUUUUUUUUCCUUAAAUUUCAUCGAGUCUUGGAGUCUUUGUAAUAUAGAGUCUAAGUGAAGAAUACUUGGGUGAAAUCUUGUAUUCUCUCUUCCAGUAAUAUAAUCAUCCUUUGUGUUUUUAUCUUUUUAUUUUGGAAUCAGAGCAUACUUUAUUAUAGAAGGACUUAGACUCUAUAUUACAAAGACUCAGCGGUUUCUUUUAACUGAGUUAAUAGUGUUGUUAGGUUAAACUAAGUUUGGCUUCAUAAGAUUCAUAGUAGAGUGUAGAACUGGGUACAAUGUUGGGUUAGACAAGUCAAAAGUCUUAUCAAGUAAUUGUUCUGCUUACUGAUUUGGUAAUUGCAACAUUGCUAAAUAGUUCAAUUUGUCCUUUUAUUUUGUUGAAUUUAUUGUAUGUCAUAUUACUUCAUUUAAUUAUUUUCUCAGAUCUUGUAGGUGAAAAUUUCAGCUUCAAAGGCCAAGCUAAUCAUCCAGCAAUUCAGUGAAACCAAGACACAGUGGCUCAUAAAUUGUUGUUGGUGAUCCAGCCAUUCGGGUGCUUGCCAGUCCUAGACGAGAAAACUUUCAACGCGGCGCAUAAAUUGUUGUUGAUCUACUUUAUAUAUUUUGACCUUUGUGAUUUGUGAAUACAUGGUUUGAUUCCAGUGUUUACAACUUUGAUACUGUGUAUAACUUAAAAAGCAAAUGAAACAAGUAGGAAAUGUGUUUUUAUUUUUUUUAUUCGAUCUAUCUAUUUAUUUUUUGUUUGGAAAUGUAACAAUUUAUAGCUGGCAAAGUACUAGAGUUGUAUACUUGUAUUUAAUUCAUUAUUAUUAUUUUUUUAAUGACUCAGUAAUGUCAUUGUCCAUGGUGUUCUGUCAUUUCGAAAGUACUUGACCCUUCCACGCUAAGGCACAUUACAGUAGCCGAAAUUUUGAGCUUUCAGUUCUUGAUUUUAGCGUGAGGGGUAUCUUUGUCUUUUCAGUUGUCAACAAACAAUUGGGGGGGGGGGGGGGGGCGGUGGUGGAGAUACGCUGAUACUUUCUAUCAUACUGGAGAUACACCUAACCUCAGGGAAGGAAACUGAAAUUUCACCUUUACGACGGGUGGACUUGGGUCAAACUUUCAUAUUUUAAUCAAGUAGGUCGAUCACGAUUCAAGCUUCAGUCAUAAGCCUUUCGUUAUGAUUGAUAUUAUUCUUUCUUGAUAGUAUCAUGGAAAAUGCAAACGAAAAGUCAGCAUCUUUGAGUUUUGUCUCAUCAUAUCCGACUUGUUGGUCUACUAAUCAAUCGACAGGCCCUUUUGAUCUUGAUAAUUUGAACUUAAGGAGGCAAAGCAGCAAUCCUGAAGAGCCAUUGCUUGAUGCUGAGAUCGUUGUUGACGGCAAAUCAGUGGCAGUUAAUCGCAGCAUAUUGUCUGCACGCAGUCGUUUUUUUCAUUGGCUUUUUCAUUUGAGCAGUGAUGGUUCUGUGAGUGAGGGGAAACCCAAGUAUCUUAUGACUGAUUUGGUGCCUUAUAGGAAGGUUGGAUAUGAAGCUUUUAAUGAUAUCUUGCAUUAUCUUUACACUGGAAUGCGUAAGGCACCUCCUUCAGAAGUGUUCACGUGUGUUGAUGAUACUUCUGUCUGUAGGCUUCAUAGAUUUGUUCAAGCCUUCAAGGAUGUCUAGCUGUUACUUACCGCCCAACAAUGGUGCUACAUUUCUAGUGAAUGAUAUGUUAUUCUACAUCUGUAUAUUGCGACUUUGACAAACUUCGCCUUUCCUUUGUUGAUUCACUCGUCUCACUUUUUUUAAAUUGCCCGAUUAUGAAAUGGUCUAUUGGAGACUAGCAUUGGAAGGUUUCUUCUGGAAAAAAAAUUUUACUUGACCACCAAUUUUCAUUUAGGUGGGUGUCAGUUCAUUCUCUGGCUUGACUGUUCUGUUAUUUAGGUUGUUUUAUCCGUAUUUCCUCACUCACUUGAUACUGAGUUUUCUCAUGCUUUCAAGCUCAACAGUGAAUGCGAAUGCGAGAGAUUCUCUUUCUUCCCGUCCAGGCUACAACGUAGCAAAUUGUUAAUGCUGUAGAAUAACAUCUUGUGUAGGCGAGCUUAUGUCUCUGUGAACAUUGGUCCAUCGGCAUUUAGGUUCAAUAAGCAUGGCACUGAUUUUCCCCCUCAUUAUUAUUUUCCUGAACAGGUUAUCCCCUUUAAGUAUUUGAAUUUUGAAUAUAUUAUUCUGAAUCAAAACUCUAUCUGUCCGUGUAGCAUUUUAUAUAUGCUUUAUGAUGUUUACCAAUAUUUACCCACUAUGGGGUAUUUGAAUUUUGAAUAUAUUAUUCUGAAUCAAAACUCUAUCUGUCCAUGUAGGAUUUGUUUCUGAACAAGGCUGAGGAUGCUCUUGUGGAAGAUGUAAUCCCAAUUCUCGUGGCUGCCUUCCAUUGCCAAUUGAACAAGCUUCGUUUUUUCUGCAUCCAGAGAAUUGCAAGGUCAAAUCUUGACAAUGUUUGUCUUGAGAAAGAGCUUCCUGAUGAAGUUUCAAGAGAAAUCAAAUCACUCCGUGUCAAAUCUAACCAGGAGUCUGAAGCUACUAUAGCAGAAGUGGAUCCUAUGCAUGCAAAAAUAGUCAGAAGAAUCCACAAGGCGCUGGACUCUGAUGACGUUGAACUGUUGAAGCUUCUUCUGGAUGUAUCUAACGUCACUCUGGAUGAUGCUUACGCUCUGCACUAUGCUGCUGCCUACUGCAGCCCUAAGGUUUUUAAGGAAGUUCUCAAUAUGGGCUUGGCUGAUCUCAAUCUUAAGGAUGCAAGAGGACGUAUGGUGCUUCAUGUAGCUGCAAGGCAUAAGGAGCCAGCAGUGAUGGUGGCCCUGCUGAGCAAGGGAGCAUGCGCAUCAGAAACUACAUCAGAUGGGCAAACAGCUUUAGCAAUCUGUCGAAGAAUGACAAGGUGAAAGGAUUAUAUUGAAGCUACAAAGCAGGGACAGGAAACUAACAAAGACCGGUUAUGAAUUGAUGUCCUUGAGAGAGAGAUGAGAAGGAACUCCAUGUCUGGGAACUUGGCAAUGUCAGCAGAAGUGAUGGAUGAUGAUUUCCAAAGGAAGCUGGACUAUAUGGAAAAUAUAGGUGAUAUUUUUUUACUGGUAUUAGUUCAUCACCUUCUCAGAGUUUGUGCAUAGCACACUUCUUUCUACUGUUUUUUUGUCCCUUCAUCUGGAAAAUAAAGGUGAUAUUCCUUUGCUGGUAUUAGUAAAUCAUCUUCUCAGAGUUUGUGAGUCCCUUCAUCAUAGGAUCUCAAACACACAUGGGCUUCUCAGAGUUUGUGAGUCCCUUCAUCAUAGGAUCUCAAACACACAUGGGCUCAUUGCUUGGAGCACACUGUUGGCCAGUCGUGUGAUUUGAUCCCUUUUUUGGAAUAGACAACUCUGAAUCCAUCUGAUCUAAGCUUGGCGGUUUGCACUGAACUGGUUUUUGAUGAAUAAUUGCACAAGACUUUGUCAUCAAAACUUUCAUUUUUUGGUUUUUUUGCCCCAAAAGUAAUGAGGUACAAAAAAAUCUAUGCCUAUCCUGGAUGAGUGCCAUAACAGCUUCUUAAUAUUUCGCAGUGGCUUGUGUACGGUUGUUUCCUUCUGAAGCUAGAGUAGCUAUGGAAAUAGCAGGUGCAGAUACAACCACUGGCCUUUCAGCAUUUGGUCGGAAAGGACUUAGUGGGAACUUAAAGGAGGUUGAUUUGAAUGAAAUGCCCUCUAUGCAAGCCAAAAGAUGCCAAUUGAGACUGCUCACUCUGCUUAAAACAGGUAUUUAUAUACUUUAUUCACUUUUGCACCUUUCUAUUUACUGAUUAUCUUUAUAAUUAAAUAAUACAUGUAUCCAGGUUUCUCCUUCCAUUUCAUUAGAAGUAAAAUUGGAAUCUCUUUAUAGUGCUCUGUUAGGUGUAAUCAGAUGUAUCAAAAGAGAAAGGGUAAUUGUUAGUACAUUGAUAACUCAACAAAAUGGUAGAACCUUUCUUUAUACCACUAAAGACAUUUGUUGCAGGUGUGCCUACAUAAUCGGUGUCCUUUAAAACUUUCAAGGAGUUAGCAAUGCCUAACCCUUGAAACACUAAAUCUCACGGGAUCAACUCUUUACCUCUAGACCGAAGGUGUGACACCCAGACCCAAUUAGGGCUUAGAACACAUAUCGAAUCUGAGCGAAACUAAAUGCUUGUAAAUCCAAAUCUCCAAAAUAUCAAAAGGUCGUCUACUUUCUCUUUUCAUGAAUUUCACAAAAUUUUGAAAAAUUUAUUCUCAAUCAUAAACUAUGCGCAGCUAAUUAAUCAGUAUAUCAGUAUACAACAAUACUUCCUCGUAAGCAAAUAAAUCUUACAAUCCUUCUUACAUGAUUUUUUUUAAAAAAAUACUUCUAUAAGUCUUCUAAAUACAAACAUAAACUGAACUCAACUGCUAAAACUAUGCCAAAAUACAAGCUUCAAUCAGUAAUACACGUGAAUAUUUAUUAAAAACAUCUAGCUACAAACCUUAUGAAAGCUCAAUCCUUCCGAAGCAUUCUUAGAAUUAAUAAUUUCUACUAUCUGUGAAAAAUAAUUGACAGGGGUCAGCUGUUAACUCAAUCCGUAGAAACAUUCAUAACGAACAAAAAGAAUUCUUUGUGCAAUAUUUUCAGAAAAUUCAUUUAACCUUUCAAAUGAAACAGAGUAAUUUUUCAAACACAGUCAGGAUUUAUAUAAAACAUAAACGUUUCAGACAAGCUUUUUGGAACGUAAAUUUUGCUUCUUUGAACAGAAAGUUAUACAUUAGUUUGAUUUUAAAGGGAGGUUAUUGGCAAGUUAAAAUUGGCAGUUGUGGUAAAAGGGUAAUAGCAGUUAUAAAAUCUCUUUUAAAACAAAUUCAAAUCAGGUUUUAAAUUUUAGGAGUACUUAAUUCAAUAAAAUAUAGAAUAAAUAAAGCUUUCAAUGAAACAAAACUAAGUAAAUUCAUUUAAAGCAAAACAGGAUGCGAGCAUUACCUAAGGGUUCUUGACCAUACUAUGUUUACCCGCAGUCACAUAUCUGGGACCUUGUUAUUUGGAGACAAGACUUGAUUGUGCCAUGUUUUCCGCAGCCAGAUAUCUUUUACUUCAUUAUUUCCUAGACAUCUGUGGAUAACAGAACCCUAAGCCUAUUGAGAAUAAAUUCUGUAAUCCAAGACUCUUCAGUCCUUUCAUUUGUGGCUAAUUAGUUAUAAAAUUUGUGAAUUUCAUGCCCCACGCCCCUUGCAAAAUGUAUUUUAUAUCCUUAAGAUGCCGGUGGAUGAACUGAAAUAAUAAAAAAUGGAAAACAGACUUAAUGUUGAUAGCAUUUCUUAAGAAAAACUUGGGAUGUUUAUAAUUUUCUUAGAGCAUUUGCUGAACUUUCUGUGAUCGCAGUCGAGACGGGUCAACGCUACUUCCCUAAUUGCUCAGAAGUGGUUGAGAAGUUUAUGUUUUUCAACCCCGCUAAUUGCUCAGAAUUGGUUGAUGAGUUUUUGGAUUGUGAUUCGGCCGAUGCUUCCCUCCUAGAAAAGGGUACUCCUGAAGUGCAGAAACUCCAAAGGGCAUGCUUCAUGAAACUUAAAGUAGAGAUGCCGGAGGCAGUCUGCAAGGACGUGGCUUAUCACCGUCGCUCAGGGCUGCCAUCAUCCUGGUCGGCAUUUUACAAGUACAUGGCUGAGAGCAAUCGUUCAGGUAUGCCGGCAUCCUCGGCAUCGAGCAAUUAAGCAUCACCUUUCCCUAAAAGAUAUAUUUGACACCUGGGACACUAAAAGAGUUUAGUGAGCUCGAUUGGUACUUGUGGAGAUACCCAGAGCCUAUGUUACGGCUAUGUAUUGUCAAGUAGCAGAGAAAUUUUAAUGAAUGAUGGAUGAUUUUCUUGUGACUCUUUUGGUAACAAUCAUGUAACGAUUUCAGUAAUGUUAACAUUAUCGCAAUUUUCUUUUUCUUCAAGUAAUCUGGCAUUUAUCAAUUAGGUUGUAGAAUUUAUUAUAUUGUCUGGAGUCACACGAGGGAAAACUUUAGGUGCAACUGUGGUACCGUGCAACAGUAGCAUCCAGCCGUUAGAUGUCAGUGGACCCCAUCAAUCUAAGUGCAUCCAAUCGCUAGAUGCAACUGUGGCACGGUGCCACAGUUGCACCGUAGCCUGUGUCACACGAACGCAUAACAUUGAUGGAAUGGAUCACGUUAUCAUGAACGUAUAAUUAACAUCAGUUGCUGAACAAACUUUGCCUUUCAAUUUUGUAGACAUUACUAUCUCAAAUUUUCUAUUAUCAUAAAUGAGAUUUUAGGUAAUCUUUAAAAAAAAAAAACUAGAGAUUUCUUUUAUUUUUCCUUAAAAAAUGAAGAAAAAUUUAGAAAGUAGUGAGAGACGGAGAAUUAAAGCAAUUUUAUUCACAAAUGUAAUGUGCUUGGAGUAGCAAUACAAACUAACAAAUUAUAAUUUAUGAGAUUAGUUUACAAAAUCUUAUAUAUAAAAUUAUAUCCUCUAAAUAAAAAUAUUCUCACCUCUUUGGACUUAUCAUUUAUGAUGCGUUUGAGAUUGAGGUGCUGUAACUUUUAAACUACAGUUGCUGUGGAAAAAAUAUUAUAAUUAUGAAAUAAAAGUUAGUAAUAUUUAAUAAAUAUAAAUUUAAAUAGUAAUUUUGACAAAUUUAUUAAAGAUAUAAUAGAUUUUCUAUCAUACAAGUGAAAAAUCAUAUCAGCAUAGCUUCCAAGUUACAACAAUUAGUGUUUACCAAACAUUUUAGUACUGUAGUUUAAAGUUGCCCAACCUCAAUUCCAAACACACCCUUAGAUGCCCUUUCUACAAUCUCUCUAGCGAUAAACACAUUUUUAUAAAAUAAAACAAAAAAAAUUAUAUAUAAUUGUCAAGAGGAAUCUUACUAAAAUGGUCUCUCAUAAAUUUUUCUCUAAUUUGAGAGAUAGUGGGGAGUGGGGUUAAAGUGCAUCAACAUAGAAUUAAAAUUUUUUUUUUAAUUUUUUUAACUAUUUUAAUUAAAAGUAGCAGUUAUUCUUUUUAUUAUUGUUAUUCCAAUUAUCUAAAAAUCAAGUAACUGGGGAUCAAAUUAAGUAGUUCAUUAAAUUUUUUAAAUGACGUAUGAUAUGGUGUAUGGAGUUUUUAUACAUCUAUUUAAAUAGUAAAAUAUUUAAUUUUGCUUGUCGUAAAAUUUUAAUUUACGUGGGUUAAAAAAGAAAAAAAGAAAAAAAGAAAAAAGAAAUUGACUUAACAAUUAUUGAAAGACUAAAUAGAAAAUUGUAGUUGCGUGGGAAAACUCUGGGGAAAAGGGCUCCUGAUUUCCUUUCCCUGGCUUCGUGCGUCUCCUUUUGCCCUUUCGAGCACGAUUGCACGAAUUCGAAUCCAAUUCUUGAUAAUAAAGAUAUAAUAUUAUUAUAAUGCUAAUAAUUAACAUUAAAAUAUUAAAAAAUAAGGGAAAAAAAAUCCAAAUUUUUACUGGUAUAUAACUCAGAGCCAAAGCGAUGGCGAAACAUCAAAUUGUUUUUGUUUCAACCUUCGCGCAACUUCCGGUGACAUAAUCUCUGUCUGUUUCAGGUAAAUACCCAAAACUAAACUUUGCAUGUAUUAUUAUUGUAUUUUUGUUAUUCAUUCACAUAUUCUUCUUUUCUUUUCUUUUUUUCUUUUGCUGUAAGUUUUUAUGAGACACUCUGUUUCAGUUCUGUUUCUGGUUUUGUUUCAGUUUAACAUUAUUGGUUCCGUUCGGUUCUGUUCUGCUCUGUUCUCUGUUGUAUGUAUAUAUGUAUAUAUUUUUGGCCUCGAAUUGCUUUGAUCACCGGUUUUGUUAUUCAUUUAUCCUGAAUUUUAGAUACCCGUAAAGCUUGUUUGGCCAUGUGUUCACUUGAUUGUUACAUUCAGCUGUCAUUUUCAUGGUGGGUUUGUAAGAUAGUCUCUGACUAACAUAUGGCAUUGAUUAUGAAUGACGGUUUUUGUUAAAAGUCAUGGCUGGCACCGGCCAUCUAGAUGGCCGGUGCCAACCAUUCAACCAUUCAACACGGCCCGCCAUUAUUGGUGGUGCCGUGUUGACUUAUUCUAUAAAAAAAAAAAAAAUAAGCCAAAAUUUUGGCUAUAUAAAGAGGGCUUCCCACCCUCAUUUUUCAUCCAAUUCCAUUGAGAGAGAAGCAUUGCUUUCUUUGAGUGUUGAGAGUUUUAAGAGUUUAAUAAACUCUUGAGUGUUUAGUGUUUUGAGAGUUUGGGUGUAUUGGGAUUUUGGGAAGUGAGCUAAAAUACUACAAUACUUGUAACUCCUUUUCACUAGUAAAAUAUUUCCUUCUGUCUUCGCCCGUGGACGUAGGCUAAAAGCCGAACCACGUAAUUUUCUGGUAUUCUCUUUUAUGCUUUUUCUUUAUUUUUCUUCUAAUUUUACUUUAGCUGUGUGUCUGCUUCACCCACCAAUUUCCUAACAGUUUUUUGAGAUACAUCACACCGCCGUUAACUCUUUUUAAUGUGUACUUAUGUACUUACUUCAUUCAAAAGAUUAGUGUUUUUCUCUUUUUUUUUUUUAAAAUGAAAUGCCCCUUUUCGCAUUUUAUAGGUGAAAGGAAGAAACAUAAUAUCGCAGAACUAGAAUAAAGGAGCCUAUUCCGGUACCUAUUGUCCAAGGAAACUUCUGUAUAUUCUGUAGGAACUACCGAACUACCAUGGAAGUCAAAUCUUACCAGAGCCAGGCGGAGUCGUUGCUGAAGGAAUAUAUAUUAGCAGAUCCAUUUGUCCCUUACAGUUCAAUUGCUGGUAGCAUUUUUGCAUGCAAGACAGUAUGUUUUUCAUCGUUACUGCAUGGUGUUAUUUACUAGAAAAUAUUUUGAAUGCGUAGUUUUUAUGUAAUUAGUUAUAAAUUUUUAUAUACCUUUUUUUUUUAUAAGAAUGUGUUCCUUUUCAGGUCUAUGAUCUUGCCCAAUUGAUUAGUGCUGUCCACUUUAAAUGUUAUUCCAGUUUCUCCAGCAUACAGCGGGUUGAGUGGAGUAACAGGUGAUUGAAUAUUUUCAUUUAGUUCAAUUGUCAUUUCUUUUUCAAUCGGUAAAGUUUAAUCAUUUUUCUUAAAUCGACAACUUAUGCAGGGCCAUAUCAACCGUCCAUGCCAUUUUUGUUUCAGCUAUGUCUUUGUACUGUGUGUUUUGGUCGAAUAUAAGAGUUUGUACAUAGCACACUUGUUGUUUGUUUGUCCCUUCAUAGACAUUUCGAUAAACUGUUAUUUUUGUUUGUCGGAAUUGAAUAUUUUCCACAACUAGAACUCCGAAGUAUCUGGAAUGAUCCAUUUUAUCAUUCUCAAUACCUAUAAAAGAAGGACAUAGAAAACAGUUUCCAAAGCAAGUUGCCUAUGUUUUGAAUUUGUCUUUGGAAGCCACUAAUUGCUUGGAGCACACUGUUAGCCAGUCGUGGUUCCAUCCACUUAUUUGGAUAGACAAUUGUGCAUCCACAUGAUCUGGAAUAAACUAGUUUUUAAUAAAUAAUUGCCCAAGGAUUUAGUCUCAGUGUUACAGCCCAGUCUUUGUUGUCAAUACUCUUUCCCCUGUCGUGGAUGAGCGUCAUAACAGCUUCUUAAUGUGCAGUGGCUUUUGCACGGUUGUUUUUUUUCCUGCUGAAGCUAGAGUAGCUAUGGAUAUAGCAGAUGCAGAUGCCAUCAAUUUUUAUACUGGCCUUUCAGCAUCAAAAUCAAAAGGAUCAAGUGGGAACUUAAAGGAGGUUGAUUUCAAUGAAACACCCUCUAAGCAAGCCAAGAGACUCCAAUUAAGCCUGCAAGCUCUGCUUAAAACAGGUAUUUAUAUACCUUAUUAGUUUUUGUACCUUUACAAUUAGCGAUUUUUAUAUCAAACGAGAGAGGUUAAUCUUAGUACAUUGAUAUCUCAACAAAAUGUUAGAACCUUUGGAGCACUAGAGACAUUUUCUUAGAGCAUUUACUGAAGUUUCUAUGAUUGCAGUGGAGACAGGUCGACGCUACUUCCCUCAUUGCUUAGAAGUGGUUGAUAAGUUUUAGGAUUGUGAUUGGUCCGACGCUUCCCUCCUAGAAAAGGGUACUCCUGAAGAGCAGAAACUCAAAAGGGCACGCUACAUGGUUGAGAAAAAUCGCUCAGAUUUGUCGUCAUCCUCGUCGUCGUCAUCUUCUCCAAAGGAAGGAGUAAAGUGUAAGGGUAGGAAAAUGUGUUGCUUAGCUGCCUGUCUUUGUAUCCAUUUAUAGGCAACUAAAAGAGUUUUAGUGAGUUUGAUUGUUACUUGCAGAGAGAUACUCUUCGAGCCUAUGUUAUGGCUAUGUUGCAUAAUAGCAACAGAACUUCAAGCUUGCGUUGUUGUAUUUUCCCAGAUAUUUGGCAUGUAAUACACUAAAUGACAAAUAAUUUUCUAAUUUUAGAGGGGAAAGUUAUGUCAGUUAAUUAUUUAUUUAUUUUGUCUGUUUAAUUCAGUUUAUUUUUUCUCCAAAAAAAUCUUCAUAUCUCCAUCUGCAAUUUAAGUCAUUUGUAACUUCUUUCAGGGAGGAAGGAAAAGGGAAAAAAGAAGAAGCCUUUGUAAGUAUAUUUUACAGUACUGAUUUUCCUAUAGAAAUUGGUUAAGGUGACAUUAAUGUUCUUAGUAACAGAUGGAUAUGCAGAAUUUUCGUCGAAAUUGAAAUUAGAAAUGGAUGGAUAUGAAUGACAUAUAUUCAGAAUUUUUUAGUAGAAUGUUUAAACAAAAUUUUUUAGCUCAUUACUCUCUAAAAGGAAAAUAAAUUUUUUAUUGUAAAUAUUAAAUAUUAAAUUUAUAAUAUAAUAAAUGUGUGACUUAAGGUGCACAAUACCUAUAUAAUAAUAAUAAUUAAGACAAGAAAAAUCAAAUUUUGUAAAUUACCAAAUUUCCCUUGGAAUUUGAUAUUCUAUAUGAACGUAGGUGUUGCAUCCACUGGGUGAGUACAACUGAAAGAAACUAACUAAAGUAAAACAAAAUAUCAGAAAAAUAUGGCGAGCUUCUCAUAUUUUUUAAGUGAAAAAAAAAAAAGAAAACUGAAAUUAAUUAUUUUUAUACCCAAAUUCUCAUGCUCGAAGGCCGCUGGAAUUGGCCAUUGUAAUUUUGUCAUCCUCGUUAUUCACUGGCCAUCGCAGCCUUCCUCCCUUAAAAUGAGAGUCGUUUUUUGGACCACGACAUAAUAAAAAUAGUAUUGAUUAAUACUAAUAAAUUUCUUUUUGAUUAUUUUGCAGUGUGAUAGUCUAGUGCGUGCCAGUGCCCAGCAUAUCACUUGAACAUGUGGUAAAAUUCUGCGAGUCUUUGUAAAAUAAUUUUUAAAUUGUGUAUUAACCAAAUAGCUCAAUGAAGAGUAUCGCUCAUUAUUUUAUUUUGUAUAUAUUUAUGAUAAUUGUUGAAAAGAAAAAUGUAAAGUGAGAUUCAUGAACAUUUAUGAAUGUGGAAAUUAACACAACCAGAAUUUAUGAUGAAAUAAUUUUAAGUCAAACGAGUGUAAGUUUGUAUAUAUAUUUUUUUGAAUUGUCAUAUAUAUACAAGUUUGUCACUAACAGUAAAUUAAAUUAUGAAUAAUUUAAUAAUUCAAAAUCUCAUUUAACCAUCAGUGUUUAUAGGGUGCGUUUGGCACAUUGUAUUGUAUUAUAUUGUAUUAUAUUAUUUUAAUGCAUGUGUAUUAUAUUAUAUUGUAUUACAUUAACAUUGUGUUAUAAUAAUACUAUACAAUGUUUGGUACUACAUUGUAUUAAUUUUUAAUAAAUAUAUAAUAUUACACUGUAUUAUAUUAAUUUUUUAAUAAGUAUUUUAAAUUAUAUAUUUAGAAAAUAACAUUUAUUAGUCGUUAAAAAAUACUAAAUAUCAAAUUCUUAAAUUUUAGAAAUUUAAUAUUAUCUUUCUGGUAUAAACGUUGAAAAAAAAUCAUAAUUUUCGGAAAGAUCGAAAUAAAUAAUUCAAUCAAGUAACCUUCAAUUUUUUUGUUUUAUUCUUAGAACUUCAUAGUUCUUUUGUUUUUUCUUUUUCUUUUUCUUUGCCUCUAUUUUCUUUUUCUUUGCCCUUUUUUUUUUCUUCAUAGUUCUUUUGGCUUCAUAAGUUUCUUUUAACUGAGUUAAUAGGGUCGUUAGGUUAAACUAAGUUUGGCUUCAUAAGCUUCAUGGUAGAGUGUAGAAUUGGGCACAAUUUUGGAUUAGACAAGUCAAAGGUCUUAUCAAGUAAUUGUUCUGCUUACUGAUUUGGUAAUUGCAACAUUGCUAAAUAGUUCAAUUUGUCCUUUUUAUUUUGUUGAAUUUAUUGUAUGUCAUAUUACUUGAUUUAAUUAUUUUCUCAGAUCUUGUAGGUGAAAAUUUCAGCUUCAAAGACCAAAGCUAAUCAUCCAGCAAUUCAGUGAAACCAAGACACAGUAGGUGCGUUUGGGAUUGAGGUGCUGUAGCUUUUAAGCUACAACUGCUGUAAAAAAAAAGUUGUAAUUAUGAAACAAAAGUUAAUAAUAUAUAGUAAAUAUAAAUUUUAAAUAAUAAUUUUGAUAAAGUUAUUAAAGAUAUAAUAGAUUUUGUAUUAUACAAGUGAAAAAUCAUAUCAAUAUAACUUAAAAGCUACAGCAGCUAGUGUUUACUAAACAUUUUAGUGCUGUAGCUUUUAAGCUACAGCUGCCCAAUCUCAAUUCCAAACGCACCCAGUGGCUCAUAAAUUGUUGUUGGUUAUUGAUCCCAGCCAUUCGGGUGCUCGCCAGUCCUAGAUGAGAAAACUUUCAACGCGGCGCAUAAAUUGCUGUUGAUCUGCUUUAUAUAUUUUGACGUUUGUGAUUUGUGAAUACAUGGUCUGAUUCCAGUGUUUACAACUUUGAAAUUCAAUUAAAAGUUGAGCUGUGAAAGAGUGUGUUGUAUAACUUGAGAAGCAAAUGAAACAAACAGAAAAUGUGUUUUUAUUUUUUUAAUCUAUCUAUCUAUUUAUUUUUGGUUUGGAAAUGUAACAAUUUAUAGCUGACAAAGUAAUAGAGUUGUAUACUUUUACUUGUAUUUAAUUUAUUGUUAUUAUUAUUUUUUUUUAAUGACUCGGUAAUGUCAUCGUCCGUGGUGUUUUGUCAUUUCGAAAGUACUUAACCCUUCCACGAUAAGUUUGAGCUUUCAGUUCUUGAUUUAGCGUGUGGGGUAUCUUUGUCUUUUCAGUAGUCAACACACGGUCAACAAAACAGUCUACAAACAAUCGACCUGUGAACUUGGGUCAAAGCUUUCAUCUUUAAAUCACAUAGGUAGAUCAUGAUUCAAGCUUCAGUUAUAAGCAUUUCGUUGUGAUUGAUAGUAUUCUUUCUUUGAUAUAUAUAUAUAUAGAUUCAGUUUGAAUAUGGUUCUUGAUGGUAUCAUGGAAAAUGCGAACGAAAAGUCAGCAUCUUUGAGUUUUGUCUCAUCAUAUCAAACUUGUUGGUCCACUAAUCAAUCAACAGGCACUUGUGAUCUUGAUAAUUUGAACUUAAGGAAGCAAAGCACCAAUCCCAAAGAGACAUGGCUUGAAGCUGAGAUUGUUGUUGAGGGCAAAUCAGUGGCGGUUAAUCGCAGCAUAUUGUCUGAGCGCAGUCAAUUUUUUCGUCGGCUUUUUAAUUUGAGAAAUGAUGGUUCUGUCAGUGAGGGGAAACCCAAGUAUCUUUUGACUGAUUUGGUGCCUCAUGGGAAGGUUGGAUAUGAAGCUUUCAAUGAUACCUUGCAUUUUCUUUACACUGGGAAGCUUAAGCCAUCUCCUCUAGAAGUUUCCACGUGUGUUGAUGACGCUUGUGCUCAUGGUGCUUGCCCUCCUGCUAUCAAUUUUGCUAUUGAGAUGAUGUAUGCUUCUGCUGCUUUCCAGAUGGAACAACUCGUUGUUUUGGAGGUAAUUGUGCUUCCCUACUAUUUGUAUUGAAUAAACUUAUGCUUCUUGGUAUAGUUUUAGCAUAUAUGGGAUUGAAAUCAAUUUCAGUUGUGAAGCAACUUCGGUGGUUCCCAAUAUUAGGCAUUGUAGUAGAUCCAAAAUUAGCUUGUUAAGAAGUGUAGAUACCGGAGAGCCCAAAACUUCGUCUUAUCUUGCAAGAGUCUGUUGUUUUAUUUUCAAAGAGACAAAAGUGAUGAUGAUGGGCAGCGAACUCUAGGAAUCAAUGCUUGCUGACACUGACUCCCAAGAAUGAUAAAAACUAACCAAAAAGGUAUAGAUUACAUGAGUCUGAAUUUGAUAAGUGCGCCUAUCCUAUCACAAAAGCUUUUGCGUUGAGUUUCUAACCAAGGAAAAUUGUCACUUCUUUCUGUAGGCUUCAUAGAUUUGUUCAAGCCUUCAAGGAUGUCUAGCUGUUACUUACUGUCCAACAAUGGUGCUACAUUUCUAGUGAAUGAUAUGUUAUUCUACAUCUGUAUAUUGCAACUUUGACAAACUUGGCCUUUCCUUUGUUGAUUCACUCGUCUCACUUUUAUUAAAUUGCCCGAUUAUGAAAUGGUCUAUUGGAGACUAGCAUUGGAAGGUUUCUUCUGGAAAAAAUUUUACUUGACCGCCAAUUUUCAUUUGGGUGGGUGUCAGUUCAUGCUCUGGCUUGACUGUUCUGUUAUUUAGGUUGUUUUAUCCGUAUUUUCUUCACUUACUUGAUGGUUAGUUCUCUCAUGCUUUCAAGCUCUCAACAGUGAAUGCGAGAGAUUCUAUUUUUCCCGUCCAGUCUAUAACCUAGCAAAUCAUUAAUGCUGUAGAAUAACAUCUUGUGUAGGUGAGCUUAUGUCUCUGAACAUUGGUCCAUCGGCAUUUAGGUUCAAUAAGCAUGACACUGAUUUCCCCCCAAUUAUUAUUUUCCUGCACAGAUUAUCCCCUUUAAGUAUUUGAAUUUUGAAUAUAUUAUUAUGCAUCAAAACUGUAUCUAUCCGUGUAGCAUUUAAAUCUGCUUUAUGAUGUUUACCAAUAAUUACCCAUUAUGGGGUAUUUGAAUUUUGAAUAUAUUAUUCUGGACCAAAACUCUAUCUGUCCGUGUAGGAUUGGCUUCUGUGCUUGGCUGAGGAUGCUCCUGUGGAAGAUGUAAUCCCAAUUCUCGUGGCUGCCUUCCAUUGCCAACUGAACAUGCUCCGUUCUUACUGCAUCCAGAGAAUUGCAGGGUCAAAUCUUGACAAUCUUUGUCUCGAGAAAGAGCUUCCUGAUGAAGUUUCAAGAGAAAUCAAAUCACUCCGUGUCAAAUCUAACCAGGAGUCUGAAGCUAAUAUAGCAGAAGUGGAUCAUAAUCAUGCAAUAAUAGUCAGAAGAAUCCACAAGGCGCUGGACUCUGAUGACGUUGAACUGUUGAAGCUUCUUCUGGAUGUAUCUAAUGUCACUCUGGAUGAUGCUUACGCUCUGCACUAUGCUGCUGCCUACUGCAACCCCAAGGUUUUUAAGGAAGUGCUCAAUAUGGACUUGGCUGAUCUCAAUCUUAAGGAUGCAAGGGGACGUACAGUGCUUCAUGUGGCUGCAAGGCGUAAUGAGCCAGAAGUGAUGGUGACUCUGCUGAGCAAGGGAGCAUGCGCAUCAGAAACUAUAUCAGAUGGCCAAACAGCUGUAGAAAUCUGUCGGAGAAUGACAAGGCGAAAGGAUUAUCUUGAAGCUACAAAGCAGGGGCAGGGAACUAACAAAGACCAGUUAUGCAUUGAUGUCCUUGAGAGAGAGAUGAGAAGGAAGUCCAUGUCUGGGAACUUGGCAAUGCCAUCAGAGGUGAUGGAUGAUGAUUUCCAAGCGAAGCUGGACUAUCUGGAAAAUAGAGGUGAUAUUUCUUUACUGGUAUUAGUUCAUCACCUUCUCAGAGUUUGUGCUAUGCACACUUCUUUCUACUGUUUGUUUGUCCCUUCAUAUGGAAAAUAGAGGUGAUAUUCCUUUACUGGUAUUAGUAAAUCAUCUUCUCAAGAGUUUGUGAGUCCCUUCAUUUUAGCAUCUCAAACACACAUGGGCUCAUUGCUUGGGGCACACUGUUGGCCAGUCAUGUGAUUUGAUCCCCUUUUUUGGAAUAGACAAUUCUGAAUCCAUCUGAUCUAGGCUUGGUGGUUUGCACCGAACUGGUUUUUGAUAAAUAAUUGUACAAGACUUUGUCAUCAAAAACUUUUUUUUUUGUUUUUUUGUUUUUUGUUUUCCAAAAGUAAUGAGGUACAAAACAAUUUAUGCCUAUCCUGGAUGAGUGUCAUAACAGCUUCUUAAUAUUUUGCAGUGGCUUUUGUACGGUUGUUUCCUUCUGAAGCUAGAGUAGCUAUGGAAAUAGCAGGUACCGCCACUGGCCUUUCAGCAUUAGGUCAGAAAGGACUAAGUGGGAACUUAAAGGAGAUUGAUUUGAAUGAAACGCCCUCUAUGCAAGCCAAGAGCCGCCAAUUGAGACUGCUAACUCUGCUUAAAACAGGUAUUUAUAUACUUUAUUAACUUUUGCACCCUUCUAUACAUGUAUUAGUUAAUUAUAAAGAUAUUUAUAUACUUUAUUAACUUUUGCACCCUUCUAUUUACUGAUUAUCUUUAUAAUUAACUAAUACAUGUAUCCAGGUUUCUCCUUCCAAUUGGAAUUCCUUUAUAGUGCUCUGUUAGGUGUAAUCAGAUGUAUCAAAAGAGAAAGGGUAAUUGUUAGUACAUUGAUAUCUCAACAAAAUGGUAGAACCUUUCUUUAUACCACUAAGACAUUUGUCGCAGAUAUGCCUACAUAAUCAGUGUCCUUCAAAACUUUCAAGGAGUUAGCAAUGCCUAACCCCUGAAACACUAAAUCUCACGGGAUCAACUCUUUACAUCUAGACCGAAGGUGUGACACCCAGACCCAAUUAGGGCUUAGAACACAUAUUGAAUCUGAGUGAAACUAAAUGCCUGUAAAUCCAAAUCUCCAAAAUAUCAAAAAGUCAUCUACUUUCUCUUUUCAUGUAUUUCACAAAAUUUUGAAAAAUUCAUUCUCAAUCAUAAACUAUGCACAGCUAAUUAUUCAGCAUAUCAGUAUAGAGCAAUACUUCCUCAUAAGCAAAUAAAUCUUACAAUCCUUCUUACAUGAUUUUAAAAAAAAUACUAAUAGAAGUCUUCUAGAUACAAACAUAAACAGAAUUCAACUGUUUAAAACUAUGCCAAAACACAAGCUUCAAUCAGUAAUACAUACGACUAAUUAUUAAAAACAUCUAGGCAGAAACCUUACGAAAGCUCAAUCUUUCUGAAGCAUUCUUCAAAUUAAAAAUUGCUACCAUCUGUGAAAAAUAAUUGACAAGGAGUCAGCUGUGAACUCAAUCAGUAGAAACAUUCGUAAUGAACAAAAAGAAUUCUUUGUGCAAUAUUUUCAGAAAAUUCAUUUAACCUUUCAAAUGAAACAGAGUAAUUUUUCUAACACAGUCAGGAUUUAUAUAAAACACAAACGUUUCAGACAAAAGCUGUGCGGAAUGUAAAUUUUGCUUCUUUAAACAGAAAGUUAUAUAUUAGUUUGAUUUUAAAGGGAGGUUAUUGGGAAGUUAAAAUUGGCAGUUGUGGGAAAAGGGUAAUAGCAGUUAUAAAAUCUGUUUUAAAGCAAAUUCAAAUCAAGUUUCAAAUUUUAGGAGUACUUAAUUCAAUAAAAUAAGGAAUAAAUAAAGCUUUCAUUGAAACAAAACUAAGUAAAUUCAUUUAAAGCAAAAAAGGAUGGGAGCAUUACUAUGGGUUCUUAUGUUUACCCGCAGUCAGACAUCUGGGGACCUUGUUAUUUGGAGACAAGACUUGAUUGUGCCAUGUUUUCCGCAGCUAGACAUCUGUGGAUAAGAGAACCCUAAGCCUAUUUAGAAUAAAUUCUGUAAUCCAAGACUCUUCAGUUCUUUCAUUUGUGGCUAAUUAGUUAUAAAAUUUGUGAAUUUCAUGCCCCAUGCCCCUUGCAAAAUGCCAGUUGUUGAACUGAAAUAAUAAAAAAUGGAAAACAGACUUAAUGCCGAUAGCAUUUCUUAAGAAAAACUUGGGAUGUUUAUAAUUUUCUUAGAGCAUUUGCUGAACUUUCUGUGAUCGCAGUCGAGACGCGUGACCUCUACUUCCCUCAUUGCUCAGAAGUGGUUGAUCGCUUUUUGGAUUUGAACAAUCCUGCCACCCCAGAAAUGGACGACGAGAAACUUAAAGCAGACAUGCAGGAGGCAUUCUGCAAGGACGUGGCUUAUCACCGUCGUUUAGGGCUGCCAUCAUCCCGGCCGGCAUUUUACCAGUACACGGCUAGGAGCAAUCAGUCGGCAUUUUACAAGUACAUGGCUGAGAGCAAUCAGUCGGCCAAGUACGUGGCUGAGAGCAAUGGCUCAGGAAUGUCGACAUCCUCGGCAGCGCGCAAUCUAAAAGUUAUAUUUGACACCUGGAAAACUAAAGGAGUUGAGUGAGAUCGAUUGGUAUUUGUAGUUUCUUUUUUUUUUUCCUCAAGUGAUCUGGCGGCAUAAUUAAAAGUUAUAUUUGUUUGUCUUCAAAGUUAUUGUAUUGUCUCAAGUCCGGUAAGAUGCGCGAACUUAUAGCAUGGAUCCAUAUGAUCUGGACUAAACUAGUUUCUAAUAAAUAAGUAUAUUUUACAGUACUGAUUUUCCUACAGAAAUUGGUUAAGGUGACAUUAAUGUUCUUUAUGAUAGACGGAUAUACAGAUUUUUCGUCGAAAUUGAAAUUAGAAAUGGAUGGAUAUGCAGAAUUUUUUAAUAGAAUUUUUAUACAAAAAUUUGUAGCUCAUUACCCUCUAAAAGGAAAAAAAUAAAUUUUUGAUUUUAAAUAUUAAAUAUUAAAUUUAUAAUAUAAUAACUUUGUGAGUUAAGGUGCACAAUACCCAUAUAUUAAUAAUUAAGAAAAGAAAAAAAUUAAAAUUUGUAAAUUACCAAUUUUUUCUUGAAAUUUGAUAUUCUAUAUUAACGUAGGUGUUGCAUGGACUGGGUUAGUACAAUUGAAAGAAACUAACUAAAGUAAAACAAAAUAUCAUUAAAAUAUGGCAAGCUUCUCAUAUUUUUUAAGUGAAAAAGAGAAGAAAACUAAAAUUAAUUAUUUUUAUACCCAAAUUCUAGUGCUUGAAGGCCGCUGGAAUUGACCAUUGUAGUUUUGUCAUCCUCAUUAUUCACCGGCCAUCGUGGCCUUCCUCCAUUAAAAAAAUAAAUGACCAUUUUUUUGGACCACAACAUAUUAAAAAUAGUAUUGAUUAAUACUAAUAAAUCUCUUUUUUGAUUAUUUUGCAGUGUGAUAGUCGAGUGAGGGCAGUGCCCAUCGUAGCACUUGAACAUGUGGUAAAUUUAUGCCAGUCUUUGUAAAAUAAUUUUUAAAUUAUGUAUUAACCAGAUAGCUCAAUGAAAACUAUCGCUCACUAAAUUAUUACUUUAUUUUGUAUAUAUUUAUGAUAAUUGUUGAAAAGAAAAAUGUAAAGUGAGAUUAACGAACGUUUAUGAAUGUGGAAAUUAACACAACCAAGAUUUAUGAUGAAAUAAUUUUAAGUCAAAUGAGCAUAAAUUUGUAUAAAUAUUUUUUGAAUUGUCAUAUAUAUACAAGUUUGUCACUAAUAGUAAACUUAAUUAUGAGUAUUUUAAUAAUUCAAAAUUUUAUUUAACCAUCGGUGUAUAUAGUGUUUUUCAUAAUACAAAAUUAUAAAAAGUCUCAUCCUGAAUAGUAUAAUGCCAAACCUUUUCAAAAAUUUAUUCUAUUAUAGUCGUCUUAGUCAGUUAUAUUUAUUUCUAAAUUGAAGAUAAAAACAGUACUUCAUAUAUCAUCCAUUACUUCAUACAUUACUUAAAGUUUUUUUUUUUUUCAAUCAAAUUAUGAGCAAGUGAAAGGAUGCAAUAAAUUACGACUAAAAUUGUAAAAUUUACCAAUGGCUAUAUACAAAGUCUGAUUCUCAUGAGCUUAAAAGAUGGGCUUUGAAUGAUGUAUGGUUCUCAAAACUCUACUUUUAUUAAUAUGAUUGCCCUGCUUCCUUCAUGACGGGUAAUUUUUAGUUUCGUCCCCUGAAGUUUGGUUUAUCUCCAUUUUAAUAGGAAAUAUUAGCGUAUCUCCCACUUUUCUCCCCUGCCGUUUGUAUACCGUUUCAUAUUGUUAAUGGACGAAGCUACAAGUCUUCUCUUUCAUCAAAUCGAUCCAUAACAAAUACGAGUCUGCUUCACCUAACCAAAACACACACAUACUCCAUCUCUAAAUGCUUUGAAGAUAAACAAAUCAACCGUAAUCCUGCAACUUUAGCUCAGAGAAUCGGAUAAGAAAAGAACAGGUGAUGAAUCAAGGGUAAUGGCGCCGAGUGAGUGUCGCCUGCGGUCGGCGUUAGAGGCGACUGUCACUCAAUCGCGUACAAGGUUAGUCUUUGAAAAAACUCUUUGCAUGUUAGAAAUCAGUGAUUAGGCAUUAUUUUGUUAUUUAAAAAUGAAAAUGGGUUUAUUAGUUUGUCGAAGAAUCUGCUCUGUUGCCGGUGUUGUUUGUUGAUUAAAAUGAAAAUGGGUUUGUUGAUGUGUUGAAGAAGUUGCUCUCCUGCUGGUGUUUUUUUAUUAAUUAAAAUGAAAAUGGGUUUGUUAAUUUAUUGAAGCAGCUGCUGGCAUUGUUAUUGUGACUUUAUUUAUCCAAUUGAUGAGCUUAUGAGCUAAUAGUAUUGUUUGAUCAAGCUUGUGUUCUUAAUAGUGGAGUUGAUAUUCUUAAAAUGAAUUUAUGAUUAUGAGAAUAUGAAAAUUGAAUGGCAUCGUAGAGAUCUGGAUUAAUCACCAUCGUAUAUGUUUCUAAAUAAAGGAAUAAGCAGCAACCGAUUUGAAAGUUAAGACUUUAGGGAUAUGUAUGUGCAACUGAAUGAAUCAUCAGUUGCUAUCUUGUAAGUCAGUGCUAGCAUAUUACCUAAUGGCAAGUGAAGCUAUUUUAUGUGUAUUGCUGCCUAUCAAAAUGUUUAUGUUUGAAGUUUUCUCCUUUUGGGAAAUUGAAUGCUUCUGUGAGUUCUCUGGUAAGGGCUAUACAACUAUCUCUAAUAGAUUCCUUCAUGUGCAUUAAUUAGCUUAGUAGUUUAUUGACCUAUAUCCAAUGUCUAUUCUCCUUUUCUGUAGCCGUCUAGUUUUAUGAGUGUGUGAAGUGAACUUUUGUUUUAUGUUUCAGGACUUGGGAUUAGAGUGUAUAACAUUCAAUAUCUUUAUAUCAAAGAACUGAUAUAUGUCAAUGUAGUGCGAUCUGGUCUUUAUUAGCUUCUUGAUUUGCCAGGAUGUUUGACAACCAUCUUUGACCAUGAUUGCCAACAUAUAAGCUGCUACAUAGUGUCUCAGGAAUCACAGCAAAUUAUUAUCAUAAUAUGGUGAUUUUGAAUCCAAAACUUGGUAGUGUCAAGAAAAUAGACCCAUGUUUAUUUAUCUUCAUGUUUUGUAUGCGCCUGCAAUAGACUAUUAUAAGUUACUUUUAGUUUUAUCAAGUUUUUUUUUCCUUAAAUUUCAUCGAGUCUUGGAGUCUUUGUAAUAUAGAGUCUAAGUGAAGAAUACUUGGGUGAAAUCUUGUAUUCUCUCUUCCAGUAAUAUAAUCAUCCUUUGUGUUUUUAUCUUUUUAUUUUGGUAUCAGAGCAUACUUUAUUAUAGAAGGACUUAGACUCUAUAUUACAAAGACUCAGCGGUUUCUUUUAACUGAGUUAAUAGUGUUGUUAGGUUAAACUAAGUUUGGCUUCAUAAGAUUCAUAGUAGAGUGUAGAACUGGGUACAAUUUUGGGUUAGACAAGUCAAAAGUCUUCUCAAGUAAUUGUUCUGCUUACUGAUUUGGUAAUUGCAACAUUGCUAAAUAGUUCAAUUUGUCCUUUUAUUUUGUUGAAUUUAUUGUAUGUCAUAUUACUUCAUUUAAUUAUUUUCUCAGAUCUUGUAGGUGAAAAUUUCAGCUUCAAAGGCCAAGCUAAUCAUCCAGCAAUUCAGUGAAACCAAGACACAGUGGCUCAUAAAUUGUUGUUGGUGAUCCAGCCAUUCGGGUGCUUGCCAGUCCUAGACGAGAAAACUUUCAACGCGGCGCAUAAAUUGUUGUUGAUCUACUUUAUAUAUUUUGACCUUUGUGAUUUGUGAAUACAUGGUUUGAUUCCAGUGUUUACAACUUUGAUACUGUGUAUAACUUAAAAAGCAAAUGAAACAAAUAGGAAAUGUGUUUUUAUUUUUUUUAUUCUAUCUAUCUAUUUAUAUUUUGUUUGGAAAUGUAACAAUUUAUAGCUGGCAAAGUACUAGAGUUGUAUACUUGUAUUUAAUUCAUUAUUAUUAUUUUUUUAAUGAUGACUCAGUAAUGUCGUUGUCCAUGGUGUUUUGUCAUUUUGAGAGUACUUAACCCUUGGACGCUAAGGCACAUUACAGUAGCCGAAAUUUUGAGCUUUCAGUUCUUGAUUUUAGCGUGAGGGGUAUCUUUGUCGUUUCAGUUGUCAACAAACAAUUUGUUGGGGGGGGGGGGGGGGGGGUGGAGAUACGCUGAUACUUUCUAUCAUACUGGAGAUACACCUAACCUCAGGGAAGGAAACUGAAAUUUCACCUUUACGACGGGUGGACUUGGGUCAAACUUUCAUAUUCUAAUCAAGUAGGUCGAUCACGAUUCAAGCUUCAGUCAUAAGCCUUUCGUUAUGAUUGAUAUUAUUCUUUCUUGAUAGUAUCAUGGAAAAUGCAAACGAAAAGUCAGCAUCUUUGAGUUUUGUCUCAUCAUAUCCGACUUGUUGGUCUACUAAUCAAUCCACAGACCCUUGUGAUCUUGGUAAUUUGAACUUAAGGAGGCAAAGCAGCAAUCCUAAAGAGCCAUUGCUUGAUGCUGAGAUCGUUGUUGACGGCAAAUCAGUGGCAGUUAAUCGCAGCAUAUUGUCUGCACGCAGUCGUUUUUUUCAUUGGCUUUUUCAUUUGAGCAGUGAUGGUUCUGUGAGUGAGGGGAAACCCAAGUAUCUUAUGACUGAUUUGGUGCCUUAUAGGAAGGUUGGAUAUGAAGCUUUUAAUGAUAUCUUGCAUUAUCUUUACACUGGAAUGCGUAAGGCACCUCCUUCAGAAGUGUUCACGUGUGUUGAUGAUACUUGUGUUCAUCUUGUUUGCCCUCCUGCUAUUAAUUAUGUUAUUGAGUCGAUAUAUGCUUCUGCUGCUUUUAAGAUGACAGAGGUCGUUUCGGUUUAUGAGGUAGUUGCGCUUCCCCGCUACUUGUAUUGCUUAAAUUUAUGCUUAUUGGUAUAGUUUUAACAUAUGUGGGAUUGAAAUCAAUUUCAGUUGUGACUUGCAAAGAGCCAAAGAAUCUGUUGUUUUAUUUUGAAAGAGACAAAGAUGAUGAUGAUGGGCAGUGAACUCUAGGAAUCAAUGCUUGCUGACACUGACACCCAAGAAUGAUAAAAACUAACCAAAAAGGUAUAUAGAUUACAUGAGUCUGAAUUUGAUAAGUGCACCUAUCCUAUCACAAAAAGCUUUUGCGUUGAGUUUCGAACCAAGGAAAAUUGUCACUUCUGUCUGUAGGCUUCAUAGAUUUGUUCAAGCCUUCAAGGAUGUCUAGCUGUUACUUAGGGUCCAACAAUGGUGCUACAUUUCUAGUGGAUGAUAUGUUAUCUACAUCUGUAUAUUGGAACUUUGACAAACUUCGCCUUUCCUUUGUUGAUACACUCGUCUCACUUUUAUUAAAUUGCCUGAUUAUGAAAUGGUCUAUUGGAGACUAGCAAUGGAAGGUUUCUUCUGGAGAAAAUUUUACUUGCCACCAAUUUUCAUUUUGGUCGGUGUCAGUUCAUGCGCUGGCUUGAUUGUUCUGUUAUUUAGGUUGUUUUAUCCGUAUUUUCUCACUAUCUUGAUAGUUAGUUCUCUAAUGCUUUCAAGCUCAACAGCGAAUGCGAGAGAUUCUCUUUGUCCUGUCCAGGUUAUAACCUAGCAAAUCAUUAAUGCUGUAGAAUAACAUCUUGCGUAGAUGAGCUCGUGUCUCUGAACAUUGGUCCAUCGGCAUUUAGGUUCGAUAAGCAUGGCAUUGAUUUUCCCCCUCAUUGUUAUUUUCCUGCACAGAUUAUCCCCUUUAAGUAUUUGAAUUUUGAAUACAUUAUUCUGAAUCAAAACUCUAUACGUCCGUGUAGCAUUUUAUAUAUGCUUUAUGAUAUUUACCAAUAAUUACCCACUGCGAGGUAUUUGAAUUUUGAAUAUAUUAUAUAUUAUUAACUUUUGCACCCUUCUAUACAUGUAUUAGUUAAUUAUAAAGAUAUUUAUAUACUUUAUUAACUUUUGCACCCUUCUAUUUACUGAUUAUCUUUAUAAUUAACUAAUACAUGUAUCCAGGUUUCUCCUUCCAAUUGGAAUUCCUUUAUAGUGCUCUGUUAGGUGUAAUCAGAUGUAUCAAAAGAGAAAGGGUAAUUGUUAGUACAUUGAUAUCUCAACAAAAUGGUAGAACCUUUCUUUAUACCACUAAGACAUUUGUCGCAGAUAUGCCUACAUAAUCAGUGUCCUUCAAAACUUUCAAGGAGUUAGCAAUGCCUAACCCCUGAAACACUAAAUCUCACGGGAUCAACUCUUUACAUCUAGACCGAAGGUGUGACACCCAGACCCAAUUAGGGCUUAGAACACAUAUUGAAUCUGAGUGAAACUAAAUGCCUGUAAAUCCAAAUCUCCAAAAUAUCAAAAAGUCAUCUACUUUCUCUUUUCAUGUAUUUCACAAAAUUUUGAAAAAUUCAUUCUCAAUCAUAAACUAUGCACAGCUAAUUAUUCAGCAUAUCAGUAUAGAGCAAUACUUCCUCAUAAGCAAAUAAAUCUUACAAUCCUUCUUACAUGAUUUUAAAAAAAAUACUAAUAGAAGUCUUCUAGAUACAAACAUAAACAGAAUUCAACUGUUUAAAACUAUGCCAAAACACAAGCUUCAAUCAGUAAUACAUACGACUAAUUAUUAAAAACAUCUAGGCAGAAACCUUACGAAAGCUCAAUCUUUCUGAAGCAUUCUUCAAAUUAAAAAUUGCUACCAUCUGUGAAAAAUAAUUGACAAGGAGUCAGCUGUGAACUCAAUCAGUAGAAACAUUCGUAAUGAACAAAAAGAAUUCUUUGUGCAAUAUUUUCAGAAAAUUCAUUUAACCUUUCAAAUGAAACAGAGUAAUUUUUCUAACGCAGUCAGGAUUUAUAUAAAACACAAACGUUUCAGACAAAAGCUGUGCGGAAUUUAAAUUUUGCUUCUUUAAACAGAAAGUUAUAUAUUAGUUUGAUUUUAAAGGGAGGUUAUUGGGAAGUUAAAAUUGGCAGUUGUGGGAAAAGGGUAAUAGCAGUUAUAAAAUCUGUUUUAAAGCAAAUUCAAAUCAAGUUUCAAAUUUUAGGAGUACUUAAUUCAAUAAAAUAAGGAAUAAAUAAAGCUUUCAUUGAAACAAAACUAAGUAAAUUCAUUUAAAGCAAAAAAGGAUGGGAGCAUUACUAUGGGUUCUUAUGUUUACCCGCAGUCAGACAUCUGGGGACCUUGUUAUUUGGAGACAAGACUUGAUUGUGCCAUGUUUUCCGCAGCUAGACAUCUGUGGAUAAGAGAACCCUAAGCCUAUUUAGAAUAAAUUCUGUAAUCCAAGACUCUUCAGUUCUUUCAUUUGUGGCUAAUUAGUUAUAAAAUUUGUGAAUUUCAUGCCCCAUGCCCCUUGCAAAAUGCCAGUUGUUGAACUGAAAUAAUAAAAAAUGGAAAACAGACUUAAUGCCGAUAGCAUUUCUUAAGAAAAACUUGGGAUGUUUAUAAUUUUCUUAGAGCAUUUGCUGAACUUUCUGUGAUCGCAGUCGAGACGCGUGACCUCUACUUCCCUCAUUGCUCAGAAGUGGUUGAUCGCUUUUUGGAUUUGAACAAUCCUGCCACCCCAGAAAUGGACGACGAGAAACUUAAAGCAGACAUGCAGGAGGCAUUCUGCAAGGACGUGGCUUAUCACCGUCGUUUAGGGCUGCCAUCAUCCCGGCCGGCAUUUUACCAGUACACGGCUAGGAGCAAUCAGUCGGCAUUUUACAAGUACAUGGCUGAGAGCAAUCAGUCGGCCAAGUACGUGGCUGAGAGCAAUGGUUCAGGAAUGUCGACAUCCUCGGCAGCGCGCAAUCUAAAAGUUAUAUUUGACACCUGGAAAACUAAAGGAGUUGAGUGAGAUCGAUUGGUAUUUGUAGUUUCUUUUUUUUUUUCCUCAAGUGAUCUGGCAUAAUUAAAAGUUAUAUUUGUUUGUCUUAAAAGUUAUUGUAAUAUCUAAAGUCCGGUAAGAUGCGCGAACGUAUAGCAUGGAUCACAAACUCAUUUCAUAGAAUAUUUUUUUGUAUAAUUAUAUAAUUUAUAGGCUUUGCUUAAAAAAUUAAAAAAGAAUUGCAUUACAAUUGGUAUGAGGCAUGCAUGUGUGUGUCAUAUCAGUUGCUGAACAAACUUUGCCUUUUAGUUUUGUAGGCACUACCAUCUCAAAUUCUCUGUUAUCAUGAAUGAGUAUUUUUUUCUUUUUUCUUUUUUAAGAAAUCAUAAAUGAGAUUAAGAUAAUUUUUUUUAAAAAAAGAAAAAAAUGGAGAUUUCUUUUAUUUUUCCUUAAAAACUGAAGAAAAAUUUAGAUGGUAGUGUGAGACGGAGAAUUAAAGCAAUUUUACUAACAAAUGUAAUGUGUUUGGUGUCGCAAUACAAAUUAAUAAAUUAUAAUUUAUGAGACUAGUUUGCAUAAUCUUAUAUAUAAAAUUAUAUCCUCUGAAUAAAAAUCUUCUCACCUCUUUUGACUUUUCAUUUAAAUAUCCUCUCUAGAAUCUCUCUGACCAUAAACACAUUUUUACAAAACAAAACAGAAGAAAUUAUAUAUAAUUCUCACAAGGACUAUUUCAUUUGCACAUAGUACGCAAUUGGUCACUAAAGUUAUUUGAGGAGAAAAUUUACAUGAGAUGGGUACAUCCUAUUAUCAGUAUUUUAAUUUAAGUUUGAACAUACUAGAAUGGUCUCUCAUAAAUUUUUCUCCAAUUUGAGAGAUGGUGGGGAAGUGGGGUUAAAGUGCAUCUGCAUAGAAUUAAUUAUAAUUAAAUUUAUUUUUUAAAACUAUUUUAACUAGAAGUAGUAGUAAUUCUUUUUAUUAUUGUUAUUCCAAUUAUAUCAAAAUCUAGUGACUCGUGAUCAAAUUAAGUAGUUCAUUAAACUUUUUUAGGUGACGUAUGGUAUGGAGUUUUUAUAAAUCUAUAAAUAUAGUAAAAUAUUUAAUUUUGCUUGUCGUAAACUUUUAAUUUGCAUGGGUUAAAAAAGAAAAACUAGCGAAAAGUUUGUGCGCAGAGAGCCAGAGAAAACUAGCGGCCGCUGUUAAGCAAAAAGUUAAAAGUUGAACCCCAUGCAUGAAAGCUCCGAAAAUAUCGGACGUGGCGAAAACCCUAUUUUCGGAGGGACUUUUUCUCCGCCGUUUAGGGAGGCUAGAACAACCAAAAAGGCACGGUUUCGUGAUGAGGAAGUAGCUGGUGACAAUCCUAUGCAGGUUUCGUACAAAGAAACCCUGGUGAACUCUUCGCAAGCAAUGGAGAAUGGUUUUGGAGGCGGAGCAGUGGACUGGGAUUUUGAGGAAGGAGAUGUGAUCGAGAACAACGAUGGACCUAUGCCAUCAAUAGCUUUCUCGGCUAGGGUCCAUGAGAAGUUGAGUGAACCGCGGAAGAAUUCUGUCGUUGUGAAACUACUUGGCCGAACAAUAGGCUAUAGGGCUCUCUGCACAAGAUUGAAUGUAAUGUGGAAAACAACCAUGAGUUUCUCAGUGAUUGAUUUAGAGAAUAACUAUUUUUUGAUUCGCUUCCGCUCAAGUAGUGAUGUUGUUGAUGCUCUAACUAAUGGGCCUUGGCUUAUUAUGGGGCAUUACUUAACGGUACAACCAUGGACACCCAAUUUCGAUUUCACCAAAACGGCUAUUGAUCAAGUCACUGUAUGGAUUCGUUUACCUGGUCUUGCUGUCCACCUCUAUGAUCGGAAAAUGCUGCAAAAGCUUGGACAAUUGGUGGGUACGGUGAUCAAAAUUGAUGUGAAUACAGCCUCCUCUACACGGGGACGUUUUGCCCGAGUUGCAGUCACAAUCUCUUUGGCUAACCCGCUAGUGUCUCAGUUUGAACUGGAUGGGAAGGUCCAGAAGGUGGAAUAUGAGGGAUUGCCAGUGAUCUGCUUUAUGUGUGGAAGGUAUGGACAUAACAGAAAUACUUGCAAGGAAGCUGGUGCAGCGAAUGAAGCUGAAAAUGCCCCCCAGCCUACUAUGCAACGUCAGGAGGUCCCUGCUCAUCAGGAGUUUGGCUGUCAUGAUGCUAGUAUUGUAGAACCCUUUGGCACUUGGAUGAUCGUCACGAGAAAAGGCAGGAGAACUAACAAUGGCAUGGAGAAUAACAGUGAGCUAAACCGGAACCGCGAGCCUUUUGGGGCUAGCACUUCAAGAUUCCACAUUCUAGCUCAAGUCUCAGAUGAGCGUGAGGAUCAUGCCCCUGCAGUGGUUAAGGAUAUCCCCUCCACUUCACGUCAACCACUCAUGCCUACCCUGAACCCUACUUUUACCUCCCAUCAAGAGACCAUAACAAGGACCUCGGCAAGGCGUAAACCUCAUAAUAAGGCUGUGGUUACAAAACCUCGAGGUAGGAAACCGGCCACCUCAAUGAAUCCAUUCCAAAACCCCUUUCAGUCGAGUGUUUUUACCACAAGCAAGAAGGAUGUAAACUCCACACCCCAUGCAAACCUUAAUCCCACAUCAUUUGUAACUUCACAGUUUGAACCUGGUCAUCAACAAGUUUCCCACCUUGCUAACACCUUAGACCCAACGAAGCAUACUGUGGUCUUUUGCUCACCACAAACCUUUCCAUCGGGGAAUGUAAGGGAUGCGGCCAUUGAGCAUAGAGCUCGGCAGGGACCAGACCCUCAACAUACAUCUACUUGCCAGACGCUCGAAACACAUCAUGUGUUAAUGAAGUUGAGAAUGCCCAUACACACCCUGAGCAGCCUACGAGUGGAGUUGAUGAGGCUGGAAUGUUGGAUGAAGAAGAAUCAAUGGUUCAAGAAACGCUUAUGGCGUUGAUGGCUGAUAUUAAUGAUCAGCAAAACUAAGGUUUCUAUCAUCCCCUACUGAAAUUUUUUAUGUCAAUUAGCAUCAUGUAUUGGAAUGUUCAAGGGGUGGCCUUGACUACUUUUCGCCACUCUUUUAAGACUAUUGUUAAAAAUUAUAAUCCUUCUCUGGUGGUAUUGAUGGAACCUCGUAUUAGUGGGGGUAAAGCAGAUGAGUUUAUUAAGAAAAGUGGUUUUGACAACUCUCAUCGUGUGGAAGUAGUAGGCUUCUCUGGAGGAAUUUGGCUGCUCUGGCAGAAUGUUAUAGAGGUGGAGGUUCUUUUAAAUCACAAGCAAUUUAUUCAUUUCAGGAUUAGCAUGAAUAAGGUAUUUAUGUCUUGGGCAACGGCUGUCUAUGCUAGCCCAAAUCCAAUGUUGCGGAGAUAGUUAUGGAAUCAUAUGGAUAGCCUUGCUCUCUCUAUCCAAGGACCUUGGCUGAUUGGUGGGGAUUUCAAUUCUAUAUUGUACGCUUCUGAAAAACAGGGGGAGCUGCAGGGCAGUCAGGAGUGUGUGGCUUGUUUCGGCAGUGGUUUGAUGGACACCAAAUCUUUGAUUUAAAGUUCAAAGGCCCUCAAUCUACAUGGUCUCGUGGUUUUCUUUUCAAAAGGCUAGAUAAAGCCUUAUGCAAUAAUGAGUGGUUAUUAAAGUUUGCAGAUAACUCAGUUCUCCAUCUUCCGAAAGUUGCUUCGGAUCACAGACCGGUGCUAGUUCAGUUUGAGAGAGUUGUACGGAGACAUCAUGGUAAUAGGCCCUUUCGGUUUUUGGCUUAUUGGUUUACUAAUGAUCAUUUUAAUAAUUUUGUUAAGCAGACGUGGGAUCCUCAAGCUUCUUAUAGUGAUGCGGCAUCUAUUUUUGUCAAGGAGGUUCAAGUUUGGAAUCGGGAGGUUUUUGGGAAUAUUUUUCAGCGAAAACGUAUCUUAAUGGCUCGGAUUAAUGAGAUUCAAGCAACCUUGGAGAAAUCUAGUUCGAGGGGGUUAAUGCGCUUAGAGGCUUAGUUGCGGAAAGAUUUGGAGAUGGUGAUGGGGCAAGAGGACAUUCUUUGGUGGCAAAAAUCGAGAAAGGAUUGGAUUAUGCAUGGGGACAGAAAUAUUAGGUUCUUUCACCAAAAAACUAUUGUUCGCAGGCGGCGGAAUAGAAUUGAAGCCAUCCAGGACAAUUCGGGCAAUUGGUUGUACAAUGAGGAAGAAAUCCGAAAUCAUACAGUUGGGUAUUUUUCUGCCUUAUUCACAAGUGAGGCUGCAAGUCCCCAAGUUUAUCUUGUUCCGAAUUAUUUCCCAACUCUGGAUGCUUAUGAUAUCGAUUGUGUUGCCAACCCAGUUUUGGAAGCAGAAAUCAAGAAUGUCGUCUUUAGUAUGAAACCGCUAAAGGCUCCAGGUACGGAUGGGUUGCAUGCUAUUUUCUACCAGUCUCAAUGGGCAGUGGUUUGGCCUUCCUUCUGUAAGUUUAUUGCUGACAUUUUUAACUCUGGUAAGAUUCCUAAAGAGGUCAAUACUACUCUUCUGGUAUUGAUCCCUAAAGUGGAGCAUCCUACUAGCUUAAAAAUGUUCAGACCUAUCAGCUUAUGUAUAGUCGCCUAUAAAACAGUGACUAAAAUAAUUACUAACCGUUUGCAAGUCGUGCUGCCUAAAAUUAUAGGCCCUCAUCAGACGAGUUUUGUUCCUGGCCGCCACAUCAUAGAUAAUAUUGUUGUUGCCCAGGAAGUGGUCCAUACUAUGCAACGAAAAACAGGUAAGCGAGGGCUUAUGGCUAUCAAGGUAGAUCUCGAGAAGGCGUAUGAUCGGCUCAAUUGGUCUUUUAUCUUCGAUACUCUUCAGCUGACUGGCAUUCCGAUUCAAUUAUCUAGGCUCAUCAUGGAAUGUGUUACUACAGCUAAAAUGAGCAUUUUGUGGAAUGGAUAGGCUAUGGAGGAAUUUUCUCCGGGGAGAGGAAUCCGACAGGGAGAUCCCCUGUCUCCCUAUAUUUUUGUGCUUUGCAUUGAGCGGUUGAGCCAUGGUAUUUCCCAAGCUGUGAGGGAAGGCAGUUGGAAACCAAUCCGGUUGGCCAAACGGGGAACUCCCCUAACACAUUUAUUUGUUGCUGAUGACUUACUUUUAUUUGCAGAAGCCUCAAUUAAUCAAGCUUAUAUCAUUGACGCAGUUCUGGAGAAUUAUUGUCGGAGCUCUGAAACAAAGGUUAAUAAAUCAAAAACCAAAGUCUUUUUCUCUAAAAAUGUGUUAUCUAGAGAUGCCCAGCUUAUUAGUGACGCCUUGGGAUUUUCGGCUACUAAGGAUUUAGACUGUUACCUUGGCAUGCCUCUAAUCCAUUCGCGGGUGAAUAAAGCUACUUAUCAGUCCAUUCUGGAUAAGGUGGACAUGCGGCUUACUGGAUGGAAUGUGGCUAAUUUAUCCUUUGCUUGAAGAGUAACUUUGGCUCAAUCGGUGGUUCAAGCAAUGCCCAUUUAUGCAAUGCAAACAACUUUGCUUCCCCCCCGAUGCGUCAUAAAAUUGACACGACUUGUCAUCGGUUUAUUUGGGACGGGAAGUCGAAGAGGCACAAGAUGAGUAUGGUGGGCUGGGACAGAAUUUGUAUGCCAAAGAAUCAUGGGGGUCUGGGGUUUAAAAAGCUAGAUGUGUUGAACCAUGCACUGCUGAUGAAGCUGACCUGGGAAGUUGUAUCUAACUCGGACAAAUUAUGGGUGAAGGUGUUUUGUUCUAAAUAUGGGUUGGAUCCUGGAAACUUACCGCUCUCUCUCCUAGAUAAACAAUGGUCCCGUAUUUGGAUGGCUAUCAGGAAAACGUGGGCAGACACCAUGCAUGGAGCCCGCUGGUCAGUUUGUGAUGGUGUGAGAACUCGGUUUUGGCUUGACUGCUGGGUAACGAAGCAAGAACCUUUGAUAAAUUUUGCCCUCCAGCCGAUCUCUCACGAGAUUAUUAAUGCUACUGUGAGUGAGUUUAUAAACGAACACAGGGGCUGGAACUGGCUGAGAUUUGAACAUUUGCUGCCAAAUUACAUCCUCAUAUUGCAUCAGUUAGGCACUGACAAAAUUUACUGGAGUUUUGAUCCAAGAGGUGUGUUUACUGUCCGUUCAGCCUACGACUCCAUCUAUCGUCAAAACCUAGCCAUCCAAGAUGAAGCAUGGAGCUUAGCAUGGUCGUGGAAGGGACCCCAAUCUAUCCGCCUUUUUCUUUGGCAAAUUAUGCAUGGGAAGUUGAAGACUCAUGGUGAGCUGUCUCGGCGUCACAUUCCCGUGUCUAUGGCUUGUGAUAGGCGUGGGGCAUUGGUUGAGGACAUUCUACAUGCAUUGAGAGAUUGCCAUUGUAUUAAACGGGUUUGGCUGCGACUUGUUCCAGAGGGUGAUUAUCACUCUUUCUUUCACAUUAAUUUACGGGAUUGGAUUGUAGUUAAUCUUCAGAACAAGUUAAAGUUCGUUUCCCACAUUCAUUGGGAGUGUGUUUUUGGAGUGGCCGUUUGGAGAUUAUGGUUCUGGAGAAAUCAUUUCAUGGUCGAAGGAAAAUUGGUGGAUAGCUCAGCAAUUAAUAUGGAUAUUAUGGCCAGAGCAAAUGAAAUUCAUAGAGUGAAUAAUUCUCACAUGAGUCAGCAACCGAGGAGAAAAGAGAUGCUUAUCGGCUGUCAGCCUCCUCCAUGGCCUUGGUGUAAGUUAAAUACGGAUGGAUUUGUUAGAAAUUCAUGGGAUGUAGGGGCUGGUGGUGUUAUUCGUGAUUCAGUUGGUCACUGGAUUUCGGGAUUUUGUAUGAAUAUUGGGGAGUGUUCGGUGGUUAUGGCUGAGCUAUGGGGUCUAUAUCAAGGUUUAAUCCUGGCGUAGGAUGCUGGCAUAAAACGUCUUUUGGUGGAAGUGGACAGUCUGUGUGUUUCACAGAUGAUUUCUAAGCAGGUGGUCGUGCCUAAUGCUUUUUAUGCUCUAGUUGUUGCUAUCCCGAAACUUCUAAGCAGGAACUGGCAAGUUUCCCUCACUCACAUCUUUCGUGAAGCGAAUUCAACUGCGGAUUUCAUGGCUAAUAUGGCUUAUUCAGUCUCUCAUGGGUUACAUUUAUUUACUAGCCCGCCUGUGGUUAUUUAUUUAAUUAUAUUGCAAGACAUGUUUGGGGUUGCUCAACCCCGUAUUGUUCCGGUUUAGCUCGAAUUUGAGCCCAUUUUAAUCAAAAAAAGAAAAAGAAAAAAAGAAAUUGACUUAUUAAUUAAUUAACAAUUAUAGAAAGAAUAAAUAGAAAAUUAUAAUGGCGAACCUUGCUUGUUCUUUGCCUCUUGGGCUUAUGGUGUACCCUUGUCCCCCGCUGGGGGUUUCAUCCAUUCUUCUGUAUGAUUCUUACGGGGUUGCGACUCCUCGUUCGGUUGUUUUUUAGCUCUUAAUUGAGCCCCAGUUGAUCAAAAAAAAAAAAAAAAAAUUAUAGUUGCGUGAGAAAACUCUCGUGAAAAGGGCUCCGGAUUUCCUUUCCCUGGCUUCGUGCGUUUCCUUUUGCCCUUUCGAGCACGAAUUCGAAUCCAGUACUUUAUAAUAAAGAUAUAAUAUUAAAAAAUAAGAAAAAGAAUCCAAAUUUUUACUGGUAUAUAACGCAGAGCCAAAGCGAUAGCAAAACAUCAAAUUGUUUUUAUUUCAACCUUCGCGCAACUUCCGGUGACAUAAUUUUUAUCUGUUUCAGGUAUCGUUCUUGUUUUUUUGUUAUUCAUUCACAUAUCCUUCUUUUCUUUUCUUUUUUGCUGUAUUUUGUUUAUGAAACGCUCUGUUUCAGUUUUGUUUCUGGUUUUGUUUCAGUUUAACAUUAUUGGUUCGGUUCUGUUCUACGUCGUAUGUAUAUAUGUAUAUAUUUUUGGCCUCGAAUUGCUUUGAUCACCGGUUUUGUUAUUCAUUUAUCGUGAAUUUUAGAUGACUUGUUUGGCCAUGUAUUCACUUGAUUAUUACAUUCAGCUGCCAUUUUCAUGGUGGGUUUGUAAGAUAGUCUCUGACUAGCAUACGACAUUGAUCAUGAAUGAUGGUUUUGUUAGAUACAUCAUACGGAUGUUAACUCGUAUUAUUGUGUACUUACUUCAUUCAAAAGAUUAGUGUUUCUCUCUCUCUCAAUUUUUUUAAGAAAAAAAAUGAAAUGCCCCUUUUCGCAUUUUAUAGGUGAAAGGAAGAAACAUAAUAUCGCAGUGUCAAGGAAGCUCAUAAUGUAUGGAAGGAUGCAGCACACGUGUGAGAUGAAUACAGUCAGCUGAAGUUAGUUAGACACGUUAAGAUCAUAUUCAAUUAGCUUCUUUAUUUUCUGUUAAGUUGUAAACAGCUGAGUAUAAAUACAAGCAUCUUGUAAUCAUUUCGUUGUUAAGAAAAAUGAAAUAAAGCAUUUGAUUCAGAAGUCUUUUACAAAUUUUCUUAGCACUUUAAAUACAUUUUCUCAGUAACCAAACAGUCUGUUCAUUCAAGCUUUUAAGCUUUCAAACAUGGUAUCAGAGCCAUACAGAGCUAGUUCCAGUAAUCAACAGUCAAGCUUUCGUAAUCAAACAACAAACAACACAAAUCAAUCUACUCAAAUCAACUUCUCCUUUACUAAUCCUAUCAAGCUAGAUCGAUCAAAUUACUUACUCUGGCGCUUUCAAGUUUUAGCCUCAAUAAGAGGCAAUCGUUUGGAAGAUUUCGUCACAGGAGCCAAAUCAGUACCUGAUAAGUGUCUUCUGUUAACUGAAGUAGAUGGAUCUACACAACAAAUUGAAAAUCCAGAAUAUCAGAUCUGGAGAUCACAGGAUCAGACACUUCUUGGCUGGCUACUGUUGUCAUUAAGUGAAGGUAUCUUAAGUCUUGUUAUCAAUUGUGAAAGUUCAUUUGAUAUAUGGAAAACUUUGGAAAAGAAAUUUGGAGUUCAAUCUGAAGCUCGAGUUCUUCAGCUCAGAUAUGAACUAAACACUCUUAAAAAGGAAGCUCUUAGUGUUUAAGAUUAUUGUAUUAAAAUGAAAGCAAUAACUGAUAAGCUAGCCAGUGCUGGUAGUUCAAUUACAGAGAAGGAUCUUAUGUUAACUAUUCUUAAUGGAUUAGGACCAGGAUUUCGUGAUAUUGCUACAUUUAUAACUGGUUCACGAAUGGAAUUUGAUGAUGCUUAUGCACUGUUACUCACUCAUGAGACUAGAUUAGAGCAGGAGAAAGGUGACAGAAGUAUGUUUAAUGCAAACUAUGCAUAUACGAAUGCAUAUUAUCCUAGAGCUUAUUUUGCACAGCCUAGAGGAAGUUUUAAACGAGGAGGUUAUUCUGGUGGUAGAACUCCUUUCUUUGGCAGAGGAAAUAUGAAUUACUCUCCAAGAAUGUUUAAUGGAGGUGUUAGAAAUGGAUAUUGCAGAGGAUUUUUUCCUGGAAAUAACUCAACUGAUUUCAAUCAUUUUUCAGCUCCUAGGAAUCCAGUACCUAGGAACUCAUCCUUUCUAGCUAGAAAUGGUGCUAAUAUGAGUGGAUCACAAGGAAGCUUUAAUAAUGCUAGGGAGCUGGUAUGUCAGAUUUGCUUUAAGAAUGGUCAUACUGCUGAUGUCUGUUGGCACAGAUUUGUUGAAGACUUUGUACCUAUUCCAAGAGGUUUUGGCAGGGGAAAAACACCAAGAGCAGCAUAUUUCUCAAACUUUGAUGGCCCUACUUCUAAUCCAGAUUUUGGCUAUGAAAAUAAUAAUAUGUUUCCAGGUUAUGAUUCUAUAUCUGGCAAUAGUUACUAUUCUGGAAUGGAUGGAUACACUUCUGGAGCAGUUGGAACAGCUUUCAUGGCUAAUUUUGAAGGAACUGCUGAUGAUAGAUGGUAUCUGGAUAGUGUGGCAACUCACCAUUUAACCAACAAUAUGGAGAAUUUGCAGAUCAAUGAAGAGUUUAAAGGUACUGAUCAGCUUAUCAUUGGAAAUGGUCAAGGUUUGUCUAUUACUCAUGUUGGACAUGCAUUUCUGGUAUUAAGAGCUUCUAAAUCUUUAUCUAUACAUGCUAGAAUAACACUUAAAGAUGUGUUAUUUGUUCCUUCAAUUACCAAAAAUCUAUUAAGUAUUUCCAAACUCACAUCUGAUAAUCUUGUAUCUGUUGAAUUCUGUGGAAAUGUUUGUUUUGUAAAGGACAUGAAGGGUCAAGUUCUUCUGCAGGGUAUUGCUGAAAAAUGCCUUUACAAGCUGCUGCUGAAAUCUAAUUCUCUUUCUUCAUCACCUACAUCUUAUCUUUGUAAAUCCCAGCCAAAUAAACCAGUUUCUAUGUUAUCUGCUUUCAAACACUGUGAUAAUGGUACUCGAGCUUGCUAUCAAUCUGUUUUAAAUAAGUGUAAUGUCAAACCUGAUAUGAUAACUUUGUUACAUAGAAAGUUUGGUCAUCCAAGCUCAAUGACAUUGGUGCAUUUGCUCAAAUCAUGUAAACAGUUUAAAGUCUCUCCAAAAGACAUGUUAUCUUCUGCAAACACUUUAUGUGAAGCAUGUCAGCUAGGCAAAGUCCAUAAGCAACAUUUCUCAAUAACUGAAACAAAAACAAAAGGGGUAUUAGAAUUGAUUCAUACUGAUCUUUGGGGGCCUUCACCCACUGUGUCUAGAGAUGGAUACAAAUACUACAUUAGUUUUGUGGAUGAUUAUACUAGGUAUUCUUGGAUCUAUCCUCUUAAGCUCAAAUCACAAGCAUUUGAAGUUUUUAAAUUGUUCAAAACUCAAGUUGAGAAUCAGUUUGAUACCAAAAUUAAGAAGCUACAAUCUGACCUUGGGGGAGAGUUUAGAGCAUUUACUGAUUUUCUGAAUCAAAAUGGAAUAAUGUUUAGACACUCAUGUCCUUACACUCAUCACCAAAAUGGUUUUGUUGAGAGGAAACACAGGCAUAUAGUUGAGCUAGGCUUAACCCUCAUGGCUCAAGCAAACCUUCCUCUUCAAUUCUGGUGGGAACCUAUUCAUACAGUAGUGUAUCAUAUUAAUAGAUUGCCUACCCCUGUUCUGAAAUUCUUAUCUCUUUAUGAGAAACUUUUCAAACACAAACUAGAUUACACAUUCCUGAAGUGUUUUGGUUGUCUUUGCUACCCAUACUUGAGAGAUUUUAACAAACAUAAGUUUGAUUUUCACACCUCUAAAUGCAUUUUUAUUGGAUACAAUCCCUCUUAUAAAGGAUACAAGUGCUUAGCAAGUUCUGGCAAAGUCUAUGUUCUUAGACAUGUCAUUUUUGAUGAAAACACAUUCCCUUAUCCAAUAAACACUACAUCUCACACAUCAGAAAACUCCAUAUCUUCUGAAACCUCAGUGUCUAAUUUCUCUCAACAACAUAUCUAUCAUCUUUCUACAAUGGCCUUACCCAACAGCAGCUUUGAAGGUCUUCAAUCAGCAGGCUCAGCAAGAAGUGAACAAAUGUCCUCUGUUCCCACACAUACAGAUAUUCUGAAUCAACAAGAACAUCCAUCACACACAUCUUUAGAGUUAUCAUCCUCAACCUCACCAUCACCAAACACAUUACCAGUACAAUCAUCCAUUCUACAAUCAGAGGAAACUUCUAUUCCACAGAACAUAGACCAAAUUCAAACCAGAAAUCAUUCCCAACCAUCUUCUCAUCCAAUGAUUACCAGAUCAAAAUCUGGAAUCUUCAAACCAAAGGUCUAUACAGUCACCUUAGCCAACAAAGAACCUAGUACAGUUCAAGAAGCUCUUAGUAGUCAGAAUUGGCAUCAAGCCAUGGUAGAUGAGUAUGCAGCUUUGAUAAAGAAUGAGACUUGGUCACUGGUACCAUUUUCAAAUGCAUACAAAGUAGUUGACAAUAAAUGGGUGUUUAGACUUAAGCAAAAUACUGAUGGAAGCAUAGUUAAACACAAGGCCAGGUUGGUUGCCAAAGGUUUUCAGCAAACUGAAGGUGUGGAUUACUUUGAGACCUUUAGCCCAGUUGUAAAAGCUUCAACAGUAAGGAUUGUUCUGAGUUUAGCUGUGAUGCAUAAAUGGAAAAUAAGGCAAGUGGAUGUGAAUAAUGCAUUCUUGAAUGGAGACUUGACAGAGGAUGUCUAUAUGUAUCAGCCUGAAGGUUUUAUUGAUCAACAAAAACCCAAUCAUAUAUGUAAGCUGAAGAAGGCCUUGUAUGGCUUGAAGCAAGCUCCUAGAGCUUGGUAUGACAAGCUUAAGAAUUGUCUUAUUGCUAAUUGGAAAUUUCAGAAUUCAAAGGCUGAUACCUCUCUCUUCUUCAAAGAAGUGCAGGGUUCAAUGAUACUUAUCUUAAUCUAUGUUGAUGACAUUCUAAUAACAGGACCUGAUAAUGGUGAGCUGGAAAAAUUCAUCUCAGAAUUCAGUAAGACUUUUUCCUUAAAAGACUUAGGGAAUUCUGUCAUAUUUUCUGGGGAUAGAAGUUUCCUAUGCUGAAGACUGCAUCUAUUUAUCUCAGAAGAAAUAUAUCUUGGAUUUGUUAUCCAAAGCUGAUAUGCAAAAUUGUAAAGGCUGUGACACUCCCAUAGUUACUGGAACAAAGCUUCAGAAAGAAGUCAAAGGCUGUUUGGGUCAAUAUAUUGAGGAUGCAACAAGCUAUAGAAGCUUAGUUGGAGGUUUACAAUAUCUGGUAUUAACCAGACCAAAGAUAGCAUUUGCUGUGCAUAAGUUGAGCCAGUAUGUGACAGCUCCAACACUCCAGCAUGUUAUGGCUUGUAAAAGAGUUCUUAGAUACCUUAAGGAAACUGCAGAUCAUGGUUUGAAGUUUUCAGCAGGUGGAGAAAUGAAGAUCACAGGAUUUACAGAUGCAGAUUGGGCAUGUGAUGUUGAUGACAGAAAAUCAAUAGGAGCAUAUUGCAUUUAUUUUUGGAAACAAUCUAAUUUCAUGGUCAUCCAAGAAGCAGGCUAUGGUUACACGAUCCAGUGCAGAGAGUGAAUAUCGUGCUCUGGCUUCUGCAAGUGCAGAGAUAACAUGGAUCCAGUCAUUAUUCAGUGAACUCAACAUUAAGUGUACUUCAUUACCAACUAUCUGGUGUGAUAAUAUAAGUGCAACAGAGUUGGCCAAGAAUCCAGUUUAUCAUUCAAGGACAAAACACAUUGAACUGGAUAUGCACUUUAUUAGAGACAAAGUUUUGGCAAAGGAGUUGGAGAUUAACUAUAUUCCCAGCGAGGAGCAAAUUGCUGAUGCUUUGACAAAGCCUCUGACAUUCAUUCAUUUCAAUUAUUUCAGAGACAAACUCAAUGUGCAACCAUGCCCCUUGAGUUUGAGGGGGGCUGUCAAGGAAGCUCAUAAUGUAUGGAAGGAUGCAGCACACGUGUGAGAUGAAUACAGUCAGCUGAAGUUAGUUAGACACGUUAAGAUCAUAUUCAGUUAACUUCUUUAUUUUCUGUUAAGCUGUAAACAGCUGAGUAUAAAUACAAGCAUCUUGUAAUCAUUUCGUUGUUAAGAAAAAUGAAAUAAAGCAUUUGAUUCAGAAGUCUUUUACAAAUUUUCUUAGCACUUUAAAUACAUUUUCUCAGUAACCAAACAGUCUGUUCAUUCAAGCUUUUAAGCUUUCAAACACGCAGAACUAGAAUAAAGGAGCCUAUUCUGGUACCUAUUGUCCAAGAAAGCUUCUGUAUAUUCAGUAGGAACUACCAUGGAAGUCAAAUCUUACCAGAGCCAGGCGGAGUCGUUGCUGAAGGAAUAUAUAUUAGCAGAUCCAUUUCUCCCGUACACUUCAAUUGUUGGUAGCAUUUUUGCUUGCACGAUGGUAUGUUUGUCAUCGUUACUGCGUGGUGGUAUUUACUAGAAAAUAUUUUGAAUGCGUAGUUUUCAUCUAAUUAGUUAUAAAUUUUAUACCCUCUGUUUUCCAUAAGAAUGUGUUCCUUUUCAGGUCUAUGAUCUUGCCCAAUUGAUUAGUGUGCUGAUAACUUUAAAUCUGAUUCCAGUUUCUCCAACAUACAGCGGGUCGAGUGGAGUAACAGGUGAUUGAAAAUUUUCAUUUAGUCCAAUUGUCAUUUCUUUCUCAAUCGGUAAAAUUUAAUCAUUUUUCUUAAAUCGACAACUUAUGCCGGGCCAUAUCAACUGUCCAUGACAUUUUUAUUACAACGAUGUCUUUGUACUUUGUGUUUUGGUCGAAUCUCAGAGUUUGUGCAUAGCACACUUGGUUCUACUGUUUGUUUGUCCCUUCAUAGACAUUUUGAUAAACUGUUAUUUUUGUUCUUUGGAAGUGAAUAUUUUCAGCAACUAGAACUCCGAAGCAUCUGGAGUGAUCCAUUUUGUCAUUCGCAAUACCUAUAAAAGAAUGUCAUAGAAAACAGUUUCCAAAGCAAGUUGCAUGUGUUUUGAAUUUGUCUUUGCAAGCCACUAAUUGCUUGGAGCGCACUGUUAGCCUGUCGUGAUCCCAUCCACUUUUUUGGAUAGACAAUUGUGCAUCCAUAUGAUCUGGACUAAACUAGUUUCUAAUAAAUAAUUGCCCAAGGAUUUAGUCUCAGUGUUACAGCCCAGUCUUUGUUGUCAAUACUCUUUCCCCUGUCGUGGAUGAGCGCCAUAACAGCUUCUUAAUGUUUUGCAGUGGCUUUUGCACGGUUGUUGUUUCCUUCUGAAGCUAGAGUAGCUACGGAUAGAGCGGAUGCAGAUGCCACCAAUUUUUAUACUGGCCUUUCAGCAUCAAAAUCAAAAGGAUCAAGUGGGAACUUAAAGGAGGUUGAUUUGAAUGAAACACCCUCCAUGCAAGCCAAGAGACUCCAAUUAAGAUUGCAAGCUCUGCUUAAAACAAGUAUUCAUAUACCUUAUUAGUUUUUGUACCUUUACAAUUUGUGAUUUUUGUAUCAAAAGAGAGAGGUUAAUUUUUAGUACAUUGAUAUCUCGACAAACUGUUAGAACCUUUGCACCACUAGAGACAUUUUCUUAGAGCAUUUACUGAACCUUCUAUGAUUGCAGUGGAGAUAGGUCGACGCUACUUCCCUCGUUGCUCAGAAGUGGUUGAUAAAUUUUAGGAUUGUGAUUGGUCCGAUGCUUCCCUCCUAGAAAAAGGGUACUCCUAAAGAGCAGAGACUCAAAAGGGCACGCUUCAUGGAACUUAAAGAAGACGUGAAGAAGGCAUUUUACAAGGACAUGGCUGAGAAAAAAUGGCUCAGGUUUGUAGUCAUCCUCGUCAUCGUCAUCUUCUCCGAAGGACGGAGUAAAGUGUAAGGGUAGGAAAAUGUGAUGCUUAUCUGCUUGUCUUUGUUAUUCAUUUACAGGCAACUAAAAGAGUUUUAGUGAGUUGGAUUGUUACUUGUAGAGAGAUACUCUUCGAGCCUAUGUUAUGGCUUAUGUUGUAUAAUAGCAGAGGAACUUCAAGCUUGCGUUGUUGUAUUUUCCCUGGUAUUUGGCAUGUGAUGCACUAAAUGACAAAGAAUUUUCUAAUUUUAGAGGGGAAAGUUAUGUCAGUUAAUUAUUUAUUUAUUUUGUCUGUUUAAUUCAGUUUACACAGCGCUUUUUUUUUUCUAAAAAAAUCUUCAUAUCUCCAUCUGCAAUUUAAGUCAUUCUUAACUUGUUUCAGGAUGGGGAACAAAAAAAAAAAAGAGAAAAUGAAAAGAAGCAUUUGUAAGUAUAUUUUACAGUACUGAUUUUCCUAUAGAAAUUGGUUAAUGUGACAUUAAUGUUCUUUGAGAUAGACGGAUAUACAGAUUUUUCGUCGAAAUUGAAAUUAGAAAUGGAUGGAUAUGCAGAAUUUUUUAAUAGAAUUUUUAUACAAAAAUUUGUAGCUCAUUACUCUCUAAAAGGAAAAAAUAAAUUUUUGAUUGUAAAUAUUAAAUUUUAAAUUUAUAAUAUAAUAACUUUGUGAGUUAAGGUGCACAAUACCCAUAUAUUAAUAAUUAAGAAAAGAAAAAAAAAUUAAAAUUUGUAAAUUACCAAUUUUUUCUUGAAAUUUGAUAUUCUAUAUUAACGUAGGUGUUGCAUGGACUGGGUUAGUACAAUUGAAAGAAACUAACUAAAGUAAAACAAAAUAUCAUUAAAAAUAUGGCAAGCUUCUCAUAUUUUUUAAGUGAAAAAGAGAAGAAAACUAAAAUUAGUUAUUUUUAUACCCAAAUUCUAGUGCUUGAAGGCCGCUGGAAUUGACCAUUGCAGUUUUGUCAUCCUCAUUAUUCACCGGCCAUCGUGGCCUUCCUCCAUUAAAAAAAUAAAUGAUCAUUUUUUUGGACCACGACAUAUUAAAAAUAGUAUUGAUUAAUACUAAUAAAUCUCUUUUUUUAUUAUUUUGCAGUGCAAUAGUCCAGUGAGGGCAGUGCCCAUCGUAGCACUUGAACAUGUGGUAAAUUUCUGCCAGUCUUUGUAAAAUAAUUUUUAAAUUAUGUAUUAACCAGAUAGCUCAAUGAAAACUAUCGUUCACUAAAUCAUUACUUUAUUUUGUAUAUAUUUAUGGUAAUUGUUGAAAAGAAAAAUGUAAAGUGAGAUUAAUGAACGUUUAUGAAUGUGGAAAUUAACACAACCAGGAUUUAUGAUAAAAUAAUUUUAAGUCAAAUGAGCAUAAAUUUGUAUAAAUAUUUUUUGAAUUGUCAUAUAUAUACAAGUUUGUCACUAAUUCCUUACCUAAAUCAUGUACUAAGCAAACAGCAAAUAAGAUCGAAAAUCUUGUUGAAUAUUCCUAUGUUCCCGAGUCCGCCCAGAUCACUGAAUCUUCUUUACCUCUUAUCAGUCCAUACCAUCUGUAUAAAAAAACCAUCUUCUUUUACUAAAACCAUCAAAACCCUGAUUUCUACCAAACGCCCCUCUCCUAAAGAGUAUAUCCAGUCAUCUAAACUAGAUCAGUGUGCUUUAAUGGCUACUGCAGCUGAACAAUAUGUGACACUUGAGAUACCCCCAGAAGUAAUCUCUACAUGGAAAAGAAAAGGCUAUACACAUCUUCAUCUUGCAGGUGUUCGCCUUAUCCUUACUCUCAAUGGGAGAAAGGGUCUACCCGUCACAGCCCGAAUUGCUUUGCUUGACACCAGGUUUAAGCAAUAUCAGCAUGCCAUUAUUGGCACAGUUCUUACUACUCUCUCUGCCGGAAAUGUUUUGCUUACAUUCUAUCCUAAUUUCAAUCUUUCUCUUCUUGACUCUAAUCUUUUCAAAGUAGGUUUUAAUGGUGUUCAAAAACAUAACAUCACAUUAAGGAAUCAUUCUUUUAUUGUUAUCCCCAAAAAAAGUUCACCUUCACCAACCCCCUCAUUUACCCUUCUUCUCAGCUAUCCUUUGGCGUAUCUCCAUUUUAAUAGGAAGUAUUAGCAUAUCUCCCACUUUUCUCCCCUGCCGUUUGUAUACCGUUUCAUAUUGUUAAUGGACGAAGCUACAAGUCUUCUCUUUCAUCAAAUCGAUCCAUAACAAAUACGAGUCUGCUUCACCUAACCAAAACACACACAUACUCCAUCUCUAAAUGCUUUGAAGAUAAACAAAUCAACGGUAAUCCUGCAACUUUAGCUCAGAGAAUCGGAUAAGAAAAGAACAGGCGAUGAAUCAAGGGUAAUGGCGCCGAGUGAGUGUCGCCUGCGGUCGGCGUUAGAGGCGACUGUCACUCAAUCGCGUACAAGGUUAGUCUUUGAAAAAACUCUUUGCACGUUAGAAAUCAGUGAUUGGGCAUUAUUUUGUUAUUUAAAAUGAAAAUGGGUUUGUUGAUGUGUUGAAGAAGUUUCUCUACUGCUGGUGUUUUUUUAUUAAUUAAAAUGAAAAUGGGUUUGUUAAUUUAUUGAAGCAGCUGCUGGCAUUGUUAUUGUGACUUUAUUUAUCCAAUUGAUGAGCUUAUGAGCUAAUAGUAUUGUUUGAUCAAGCUUGUGUUCUUAAUAGUGGAGUUGAUAUUCUUAAAAUGAAUUUAUGAUUAUGAGAAUAUGAAAAUUGAAUGGCAUCGUAGAGAUCUGGAUUAAUCACCAUCGUAUAUGUUUCUAAAUAAAGGAAUAAGCAGCAACCGAUUUGAAAGUUAAGACUUUAGGGAUAUGUAUGUGCAACUGAAUGAAUCAUCAGUUGCUAUCUUGUAAGUCAGUGCUAGCAUAUUACCUAAUGGCAAGUGAAGCUAUUUUAUGUGUAUUGCUGCCUAUCAAAAUGUUUAUGUUUGAAGUUUUCUCCUUUUGGGAAAUUGAAUGCUUCUGUGAGUUCUCUGGUAAGGGCUAUACAACUAUCUCUAAUAGAUUCCUUCAUGUGCAUUAAUUAGCUUAGUAGUUUAUUGACCUAUAUCCAAUGUCUAUUCUCCUUUUCUGUAGCCGUCUAGUUUUAUGAGUGUGUGAAGUGAACUUUUGUUUUAUGUUUCAGGACUUGGGAUUAGAGUGUAUAACAUUCAAUAUCUUUAUAUCAAAGAACUGAUAUAUGUCAAUGUAGUGCGAUCUGGUCUUUAUUAGCUUCUUGAUUUGCCAGGAUGUUUGACAACCAUCUUUGACCAUGAUUGCCAACAUAUAAGCUGCUACAUAGUGUCUCAGGAAUCACAGCAAAUUAUUAUCAUAAUAUGGUGAUUUUGAAUCCAAAACUUGGUAGUGUCAAGAAAAUAGACCCAUGUUUAUUUAUCUUCAUGUUUUGUAUGCGCCUGCAAUAGACUAUUAUAAGUUACUUUUAGUUUUGUCAAUUUUUUUUCCCUUAAAUGUCAGUUAUUUCAGCGGUUUCUUUUAACUGAGUUAAUAGUGUUGUUAGGUUAAACUAAGUUUGGCUUCAUAAGCUUCAUAGUAGAGUGUAGAAUUGGGUAUAAUUUUGGAUUAGACAAGUCAAAGGUCUUAUCAAGUAAUUGUUCUGCUUACUGAUUUGGUAAUUGCAACAUUGCUAAAUAGUUCAAUUUGUCCUUUUUAUUUUGUUGAAUUUAUUGUAUGUCAUAUUACUUAAUUUAAUUAUUUUCUCAGAUCUUGUAGGUGAAAAUUUCAGCUUCAAAGACCAAAGCUAAUCAUCCAGCAAUUCAGUGAAGAAACCAAGACACAGUGGCUCAUAAAUUGUUGUUGGUGAUCCCAGCCAUUCGGGUGCUCGCCAGUCCUAGAUGAGAAACCUUUCAACGCGGCGCAUAAAUUGUUGUAGAGCUGCUUUAUAUAUUUUGACCUUUGUGAUUUGUGAAUACAUGGUUUGAUUCCAGUGUUUACAACUUUGAAAUUCAAUUAAAAGUUGAGCUGUCAUUGAUUGAUGACAAGAUUGUGUUGUAUAACUUGAGAAGCAAAUGAAACAAACAGGAAAUAUGUUUUUUUAUUUUUUUAAUCUAUCUAUCUAUUUAUUUUUUGUUUGGAAAUGUUACAAUUUAUAGCUGGCAAAGUAAUAGAGUUGUAUACUUGUAUUUAAUUUAUUAUUAUUAUUAUUAUUUUAAUGACUCGGUAAUGUCAUUGUCCGUGGUGUUUUGUCAUUUCGAAAGUACUUAACCCUUCCACGCUAAGGCACAUUACCGCAGCCGAAACUUUGAGCUUUCAGUUCUUGAUUUUAGCGUGAGGGGUAUCUUUGUCUUUUCAGUAGUCAACACACGGUCAACAAAACAGUGUACAAACAAUCGACCUGUGAACUUGGGUCAAAGCUUUCAUCUUUAAAUCACAUAGGUAGAUCAUGAUUCAAGCUUCAGUUAUAAGCCUUUCAUUGUGAUUGAGGUAAUUGUGUUUCACUGCUAUUUGUAUUGCUUAAAUUUAUGCUUCUUGGUAUAGUUUUAACAUAUAUGGGAUUGAAAUCAAUUUCAGUUGUGAAGCAACUCCGGUGGUUCCCAAUAUUAGGCAUUGUAGUAGAUCCAAAAUUAGCUUGUUAAGAAGUGUAGAUACCGUAGAGCCCAAAACUCCGUCUUAUCUUGCAAGAGUCUGUUGUUUUAUUUUGAAAGAGACAAAAGUGAUGAUGAUGGGCAGCGAACUCUAGGAAUCAAUGCUUGCUGACACUGACCCCCAAGAAUCAAUGAGUCUGAAUUUGAUAAGUGCACCUAUCCUAUCACAAAAGCUUUUGCGUUGAGUUUCUAACCAAUUUUCAUUUGGGUAGGUGUCAGUUCAUGCUCUGGCUUGACUGUUCUGUUAUUUAGGUUGUUUUAUCCGUAUUUUCUUCACUCACUUGAUGGUUAGUUCUCUCAUGCUUUCAAGCUCUCAACAGUGAAUGCGAGAGAUUCUAUUUUUCCCGUCCAGUCUAUAACCUAGCAAAUCAUUAAUGCUGUAGAAUAGCAUCUUGUGUAGCCGAGUUUAUGUCUCUGAACAUUGGUCCAUCGGCAUUUAGGUUCAAUAAGCAUCUUGAAUUUUGAAUAUAUUAUUCUGAAUCAAAACCCUAUCUGUCCGUGUAGCAUUUUUUAUAUGCUUUACGAUGUUUACCAAUAAUUACCCACUAUGGGGUAUUUGAAUUUUGAAUAUAUUAUUCUGAAUCAAAACUCUAUCUGUCCGUGUAGCUUUGGCUUCUGAACUUGGUUGAGAAGGCUCUUGUGGAAGAUGUAAUCCCAAUUCUCGUGGCUGCCUUGCAUUGCCAACUGAACCACCUCCGUUCUUUCUGCAUCCAGAGAAUUGCAAAGUCAAAUCUUGACAAUGUUUGUCUCGAGAAAGAGCUUCCUGAUGAAGUUUCAAGUGAAAUCAAAUCACUCCGUGUCAAAUCUAACCAGGAGUCUGAAGCUAAUAUAGCAGAAGUGGAUCCUAUGCAUGCAAAAAUAGUCAGAAGAAUCCACAAGGCGCUGGACUCUGAUGACGUUGAACUGUUGAAGCUUCUUCUGGAUGUAUCUAGUGUCACUCUGGAUGAUGCUUACGCUCUGCACUAUGCUGCUGCCUACUGCAACCCUAAGGUUUUUAAGGAAGUGCUCAAUAUGGGCUCGGCUGGUCUCAAUCUUAAGGAUGCAAGAGGACAGACGGUCCUUCAUGUGGCUGCAAGGCGUAAUGAGCCAGAAGUGAUGGUGACUCUGCUGAGCAAGGGAGCAUGCGCAUCAGAAACUACAUCAGAUGGGCAAACAGCUGUAGCAAUCUGUCGGAGAAUGACAAGGCUAAAGGAUUAUCUUGAAGCUACAAAGCAGGGGCAGGGAACUAACAAAGACCGGUUAUGCAUUGAUGUCCUUGAGAGAGAGAUGAGAAGGAACUCCAUGUCUGAGAACUUGGCAAUGCCAUCAGAGGUGAUGGAUGAUCAUUUCCAAGCGAAGCUGGACUAUCUAGAAAAUACAGGUGAUAUUUCUUUACUGGUAUUAGUUCAUCACCUUCUCAGAGUUUGUGCAUAGCACACUUCUUUCUACUGUUUGUUUGUCCCUUCAUAUGGAAAAUGGAGGUGAUAUUCCUUUACUGGUAUUAGUAAAUCAUCUUCUCAAGAGUUUGUGAGUCCCUUCAUUUUAGCAUCUCAAACACACAUGGGCUCAUUGCUUGGGGCACACUGUUGGCCAGUCAUGUGAUUUGAUCCCCUUUUUUGGAAUGGAGAAUUCUGAAUCCAUCUGAUCUAGGCUUUGUGGUUUGCACUGAACUGGUUUUUGAUGAAUAAUUGUACAAGACUUUGUAAUAAAAAACUUUUUUUUUUUUCCCAAAAAGUAAUGAGCUACCAAAAAAUUUAUGCCUAUCCUGGAUGACUGCCAUAACAGCUUCUUAAUAUUUUGCAGUGGCUUUUGUACGGUUGUUUCCUUCUGAAGCGAGAGUAGCUAUGGAAAUAGCAGGUGCAGAUACCGCCACUGGCCUUUCAGCAUUAGGUCAGAAAGGACUAAGUGGGAACUCAAAGGAGAUUGAUUUGAAUGAAACGCCCUCUAUGCAAGCCAAGAGACGCCAAUUGAGACUGGUAACUCUGCUUAAAACAGGUAUUUAUAUACUUUAUUAACUUUUGCACCUUUCUAUUUACUGAUUAUCUUUAUAAUUAACUAAUACAUGUAUCCAGGUUUCUCCUUCCAAUUGGAAUUUCUUUAUAGUGCUCUGUUAGGUGUAAUCAGAUGUAUCAAAAGAGAAAGGGUAAUUGUUAGUACAUUGAUAUCUCAACAAAAUGGUAGAACCUUUCUUUAUACCAGUUAAGACAUUUGUUGCAGGUAUGCCUACAUAAUCAGUGUCCUUCAAAACUUUCAAGGAGUUAGCUAUGCCUAACCCCUGAAACACUAAAUCUCACGGGAUCAACUCUUUACCUCUAGACCGAAGGUGUGACACCCAGACCCAAUUAGGGCUUAGAACACAUAUCGAAUCUGAGUGAAACUAAAUGCCUGUAAAUCCAAAUCUCCAAAAUAUCAAAAAGUCAUCUACUUUCUCUUUUCAUGUAUUUCACAAAAUUUUGAAAAAUUCAUUCUCAAUCAUAAACUAUGCACAGCUAAUUAUUCAGCAUAUCAGUAUAGAGCAAUACUUCCUCAUAAGCAAAUAAAUCUUACAAUCCUUCUUACAUGAUUUGAAAAAAAUACUAAUAGAAGUCUUCUAGAUACAAACAUAAACAGAAUUCAACUGUUUAAAACUAUGCCAAAACACAAGCUUCAAUCAGUAAUACAUACGACUAAUUAUUAAAAACAUCUAGCCAGAAACCUUACGAAAGCUCAAUCCUUCCGAAGCAUUCUUCAAAUUAAUAAUUGCUACCAUCUGUAAAAAAUAAUUGGUAAGGAGUCAACUGUGAACUCAAUCAGUAGAAACAUUCGUAACGAACAAAAAGAAUUCUUUGUGCAAUAUUUUCAGAAAAUUCAUUUAACCUUUCAAAUGAAACAAAGUAAUUUUUCUAACGCAGUCAGGAUUUAUAUAAAACACAAACGUUUCAGACAGAAGCUAUGUGGAACGUAAAUUUUGCUUCUUUAAACAGAAAGUUAUAUAUUAGUUUGAUUUUAAAGGGAGGUUAUUGGGAAGUUAAAAUUGGCAGUUGUGGGAAAAGGGUAAUAGCAGUUAUAAAAUCUCUUUUAAAGCAAAUUCAAAUCAAGUUUCAAAUUUUAGGAGUACUUAAUUCAAUAAAAUAAGGAAUAAAUAAAGCUUUCAUUGAAACAAAACUAAGUAAAUUCAUUUAAAGCAAAAAAGGAUGGGAACAUUACAUAAGGGUUCUUAUGUUUACCCGCAGUCAGACAUCUGGGAUCUUGUUAUUUGGAGACAGGACUUGAUUGUGCCAUGUUUUCCGCAGCUAGACAUCUGUGGAUAAGAGAACCCUAAGCCUAUUGAGAAUAAAUUCCGUAAUCCAAGACUCUUCAGUUCUUUAAUUUUUGGCUAAUUAGUUAUAAAAUUUGUGAAUUUCAUGCUCCAUGCCCCUUGCAAAAUGUAUUUUAUAUCCUUAAGUUGCCAGUUGUUGAACUGAAAUAAUAAAAAAUGGAAAACAGACUUAAUGCCGAUAGCAUUUCUUAAGAAAAACUUGGGAUGUUUAUAAUUUUCUUAGAGCAUUUGCUGAACUUUCUGUGAUCGCAGUCGAGACAGGUCACCUCUACUUCCCUCAUUGCUCAGAAGUGGUUGUUGAGUUUAUUGAUUGCUAUCAUUGCUCAGAAGUGGUUGAUGAGUUUUUGUAUUGUGAUUGGUCCGAUGCUUCCCUCCUAGAAAAGGGUACUCCUGAAGAGCAGAUACUCAGAAGGGCAUACUUCAUGAAACUUAAAGAAGACAUGCAGGAGGCACUCUGCAAGGACGUGGCUUAUCACCGUCAUUCAGGGCUGCCAUCAUCCUGGUCGGCAUUUUACAAGUACUUGGUGGCUGAGAGCAAUCGUUCAGGUAUGUCGAUUGGUAUAUUUGGCACCUGGGAAACUAAAAGAAUUUAGUGAGCUCGAUUGGUAUUUGUAGUUCUUUUUCCUCUAGUGAUCUGGCAUGUAUCAAUUAGUUAAAUUAUUGUAUUUUCUCAUGUCCAGUGGGACACGCAAACGUUAGUAUGGAUCAAAAACUCAUUUCAUAUAAUAUUUUUUUGUAAAAUUAUAUAAUUUACAGGCUAUGCUCAAAAAAUUAGAGAAAAAGAAUUGUAUUACAAUUGGUAUGAGGCAUGCAUGUGUAUAUCAAUAUCAGCUGCUGAACAAACUUUGCCUUUUAAUUUUGUAGGCAUUACUAUCUCAAAUUUUCUAUUAUCAUAAAUGAGUUUUUUUUUUCUUUUUUUUAAGAAAAUCAUAAAUGAGAUUAAGAUAAUCUUUUUUUUAAAAAAAAAAAAAAGAAAACUGGAGAUUUUUUUUUCCUUAAAAAAAUGAAGAAAAGUUUAGAAAGUAUUGAGAGAUGGAGAAAUAAAGCAAUUAUAUUCAUAAAUAUAAUGUGUUUGGUGCAGUAACAGAAACUAAUAAAUUAUAAUUUAUGAGAUUAGUUUACAGACUCUUACAUAUGAAAUUAUAUCCCCUAAUUAAAAAUCUUCACACCUCUUUUUGCUUCUCAUUUAGAUGCCCUUUCUAGAACUUCUCCAACGGUAAACACAUUUUUAUUAAACAAAACAGAAAAAAUUAUAUAUAAUUGUUCAUAAGGACCAUUUCUUUUGUACAUAAUACAUAAUUGGCCAUUAAAGUUAUUUGAGAAGAAAAUUUACAUGAGAUGGGUACAUCACAUUAUCAGUAUUUUUGUCUAAUUUUGAACAUACGUUCCUUGUACGAAUUUUCCUAGAAUGGUCUCUCAUAAAUUUUUCUCCAAUUUGAGAGAUAGUGGGAAUUGGGUUAAAGUGCAUUUACAUAGAAUUAAUUUAAAAUAAAAUUUAUUUUUUAACUAUUUUAACUAAAAGUAGCACUACAAGAAAAAAGGCCUACAAUGACAGUCCCUUGUGUGACAGUUUUUUAUCUGGAGACCUACAAUGAUGGAUUUGUGUUAAAUUUUAUUUUUAUCAUGCAAUUAUGACAUAAUUGUGAUAUAAAUUUCGUCUAUCAAAAACUUAGGAUAGACUCAUGAUAGAUUUUUUAACUAUCAAGAAUUUAUGACUCAUAUUUAAUUUUGACUUCAGUUAUUCGGGUUUGACUGUAUUUUUUAAAAUUAUUUUAUUACAAAAAAUUACUAUUAAAAGGAAACGCAGUCGUUUCUUUUGCAAGCAAAACGACAACGUCUUUUUGGCAAGCAAAACGACAACGUCUCUUUGUCGAAUAUAAACUUGAUAAUUCUGAAUAAAAGUUGUGACUUUUGGGGGAAAAAAAACAUAAAAUGCAGAGUUUUAAAGAGAUAACUCAUUUUAAGUGUGAGAAAUUCACUCUCACACUCAAAACACACAAAAGACUUCGACAAAUUAAGAGAAAAUGAAGAAACCCACGACAAACCCACAACAAACCAUAAUCAUUCGAAGUCAUUCUCAUUGCCUACCAUUCUCGCCGCUAUUUUCGAUGUCGUUCGUCUGCCAUUCUCACUCAUUCGUCGUUCGAGCUCUGCCGAAACCUGCUUUUGUCAAAGAUUUCACCCUUUCGUUUGAACGCAAUUUCUACUCUGUGCUAGAGAUAUUUGAAGUCCCAGCUUCUGCCAUUGUCAUUGCUUCUGCUUCGGAUUUGUUGAUAAACCCUAACAAUUUCUAUUGUACCUAUCUAUUUCGCCAGCAAAGCCCUAACUGAAGAACUGAUUUCUUUGCACUGUGAAAUCAUCAGUUCAUUGGUAUGAAAUUCAUCAUUACCUUUAAUUUUUGUUUAUUUUUGUUGAUUUUCUGUGUUUGUAUGUUUGUAUAAAAAUGAGACUUCGAAAAAUAUUUUCAAUUUAGGAGCAUUUGUUGGGGACUUGACUUUUGAGGAAGAUACGAGUAAAUAUGUGGAAGUAUUUGUUUAAUUACUUUGAGGUCUGAUCUCUAUUGGACAUUUAGAAUAAAGAUCAAGAAAUUUAUGCCAUUUUUAAGAAAGAGUUGAUUCUUGAUAAACCAGAUUCUUGUUCUUUUUAGAAGGUUAUUUUGUGAAUUCAAUUUGUUUUUAAUUGAAUCUGUUGUUGUUUUUGGUAGCGAUGAUAUAUGGUUUGAAGAACUUAAGGAAGAGCUUGAAGAAUGCAAGAACCAUGAAGUAAGCAGAAGCUUUAAUAUUUGUUCUUUUUAUGCUAAUAUGUAGCCAAUCUUUUAGUGAUUAUAUGUUUAGUUGUUAGUUUAACCACUCAGGCAUGGUGCUACUUUUAACAUUGAUUCAUUCUUUGGGAAAUAAUCAGUUGAGAGAUUGACAUAAAGUACAAGCUUAAGAAUUCAAUUGUUGUUGUUGAUCGGUGCAUUCUUUGAACUGAAAAUUUGAAAACUUGUAAGUGAUUAGGUAGCUGUUUGUUGGAUGUUGAUUAGACCUGUAAGUGUAUAAUACUUCUUGAGCUUACAUUAAUGCAAGUUAUUCAGAUUUCUGGGUUUAGAAAUUAACUUGUUAAAUGGUUGAUGCACAAAUCAGAUGAUUACAUUAUCCAGUUCAAUUUUUUUUUUUUUUGAUAAUACAUUUAUCCAUCAAAUAGAAAGGAAUGAAAAGUGAGUUUAGAGAGUACCACUUGUCAUUGUCUUGUAGUUUGAUGUAGAAUGUGCAUAAGCUAACUGUAACAUCCCAUAUUCCUUUAACUGUGAUUUUAUUAACUCUUAAGUUUAAGCCCAAUAUUAUAUAUUUAGCCAUUUUUAAAAGCCUAUUUUCUCUAUUACUUAACUAAAUAGCUUAAACAAUAUAUUUGCUUGUCAUUCUCAUGUGUAAGAAAUGGAGGCAAAAGACAUUGCCAUUAUCCACCAUUUGAGAAAAAGAAACAGAACCUGAUACAAAGUUUAAAAACUUUUCUGAUUUCACCAAUUGAGCUUCAAUUUCUUUAGUUUCAGUGUCAAUUUGAAACAUAUCUUGCCAAGGCUUUAGAACCAUUCUUGCAUGUUAAAUUAUCCAAGCUUGGCAGCCUCAAAUCCAUCAAAAUUAUAAGUCUACCUUAAAUUGCUUUAUAUGUAUGUUAAUUUACUCUCCUUUCUAUAGUUGGUGUAAGUUUGAAGCCAUUGUGAGCUAUUCUUAUGCUAUCUCAGAACUCUUGACUCACCAUUGUAGUCCAACCACUGAUUUUUCUCCUUUUAUGAUUUAGGGAGAGUAGAACUGGUGUGGGGGAUAAAAAUCUUGUUGUUUUGAGUAGUCUUUUUGGCAGAAGACAAUGGGCUUCCUUUUGUUUUUAGGUAAAACCCCUCGAUUUCUCAAUAACUUCUUAUGACUUUGUUUAAUGGUAGUGUGAUUGAUUAUUAUUUCUUUGAUCUUUUAUGUUUUGAGUAGUCUUUUUGUCAAUUCCAAGGUUGAGGUUAAUACUUGAGAAGGUGGCAGAAAGCUUUAACAGGCUACAAAGUUAAAGCUUGUGAUUUAGGUAGGUAACUUUGGGCAACUAAUGUUCUGGUUUUGUAGUUCACUUACAUAGUGCAUAGAUACUUUUUUACAAUUCAAUUGAAAGACAACAUAUUCUAAUGAUGAAUUAGAUGAAGUUCGUAUUGAGUGGGCAAACCAUGUUUCUGAAUUACUUGCUACUAUGUGAGGUAAGCCUUACCUAUUAUGUUGUUAUAGUGAGUUCAUUGAUGAAACAAAUUAAUUUACCAAACUUUUGUUCAUUGAAAACAAACUUUGCUAGCUAUUAUUCUAUUGCUUAGUAUUCUAAUCUAUAUGAGUUGUCACGGACUUUGAAUUUGUUAUAUUUUACUUGUGCAGUUACCUAGCUUCUUACACUUGCUAUGUUGGAAUUUGAUGAAGAUGGCGGGUACUGCUGGAGUUCGCUACCUUUUUUAUUUGAUGCAAAAACAGGUCCUGAAUAUUGAGGCAACUUUGCACAUUUAGCUUCUUCUUAUAUUGGUAUUUGUUGUAUGCUUCACCAAAACUGUUAGAAUGGAUUUUCUUAGUCUGAUCAGUGUUGUUGGCUUCAUCUUGUGUUGCUGGAAAUGAACUGUGUUCUUGGCUUUCUUUGUGUUGCUCUAAAUGACUAUGUUGUUGGCUUCCUUUUGUUGCUGGAAAUGAACCGAUCAUGGUACAUUAGUCUUGUACAUGUUGCAGGAAUUUGUUUUUAUGUUGUUACAAUACUCUUCUAUUUAUGUUGGACUUGUCACUUGUAUUUGGAUAAAUUAUGUUUGUUCACAAUUAUCAAUAAUUAGCCAAUGUUAUUUAUUUUGUUUUCUUUGUCAAUGAAUUUUUAAUUGCAAUUAAUUUUAAUAAUCUAAUUAAUUAGCUAAAUUAUGAAAUAUUAAUUUCUAAAUCAAUUGUAGGAUUUUUAUUAAAAUGAUAAUAAUUUCAUGGUACAAACAAAAUAGUUAUUUUUAUUAAUUAUAAUUUCAAAUUUCCAAUUAAUUGAAAAAAAUCAAUUAAUUAUAAUUUCCAUUUUCACUGCAAAUUGAACAUUUCCUGCCAAAAUUUAAAAAAUAGCGUGCGAAAUUCAAAAAAGGCAACCCAAAUUCAAAAUUAUUAUAUUUCCCUCUAAUUAAAGUUAUGAUGGUUGUGUGACUGACUAUAUUCAUCAUAGGUUAUGAUUGGUAUUAUUCUGUCAUCAAUUCUUGACGCUGGCUAUAAUGACGGUAUGAACAACUGUCAUCCACCCCCUACUAUGACAAUUUUUGCCUGUCAUCGUAGGUACUUUUUCUUGUAGUGUAGCAGUUAUUCUUUUUAUUAGUGUUAUUCCAAUUAUAUCAAAAUCAAGUGACUGGUGAUCAAAUUAAGUAGUUCAUUAAUUUUUUUAAGCGACGUAUGGUAUGGAGUUUUUAUAAAUCUAUUUAAAUAGUAUAAUAUUUAAUUUUGCUUGUCCUAAAAUUUUAGUUUACGUGGGUUAAAAAAGAAAAAAAGAAAAAAGAAAUUGACUUAUUAAUUAAUUAACAAUUAUACAAAGAAUAAAUAGAAAGUUAUAGUUGGCAAUGGCAUUAUUUUUCUCCUUGUUAAGUUUUUCUUUCCCACAUUAUCCCCCUUGAAGCAGCAUAUUGAAGGAAAGGAGCAUUCUUAUAUAUGCUUUAUGAUGUUCUUAAUGUAUUCUAACUCAAAACUCUAUCUAUCCGUGCAGCGUCGCCUUCUGAACUUUGUUGAGAAGGCCCUUGUGGAAGAUGAAAUUCCAAUUCUUGUGGCUGCCUUCCAUUGCCAACUCAACCCGCUCCGCUCUCACCGUGUCCAGAGAGUAGUAAGGUCAAAUCUUGAUGAUGUCUGUCUCCUGAAAGAGCUUCCUGAUGAAGUUUCAUGUGAAAUCAAGUCACUCAGUGUCAAAUCUAGCCAGGAGUGUGAAGCUAAUAUAGCAGAAGUGGAUCCUAUGCAUGCAAAAAAGAGUCAGAAGAAUCCACAAGGCACUGGACUCUGAUGACGUUGAACUGUUGAAGCUUCUUCUGGAUGAAUCUAAUGUCACUUUAGAUGAUGCCUACGCUCUGCACUAUGCUGCUGCCUACUGAAACCCUAAGGUUUUUAAGGAAGUGCUCAAUAUGGGCUUGGCUGAUCUCAAUCUUAAGGAUGCAAGAGGUCAUACGGUGCUUCAUGUGGCUGCAAGGCGUAAGGAGCCAGCAGUGCUGGUGACUCUGCUAAGCAAGGGAGCAUGCGCCUCAGAAACUACAUCAGAUGGGCAAACAGCUGUAGCAAUCUGUCGGAGAAUGACAAGGCGAAAGGAUUAUAUUGAAGCUACAAAGCAGAGGCAGGAAACUAACAAAGACCGGUUAUGCAUUGAUGUCCUUGAGAGAGAAAUGAGAAGGAACUCCAUGUCUUGGAACGUGGCACUGUCACCAGAGGUGAUGGCUGAUGAUUUCCAAAUGAAGCUGAACUAUCUAGAAAAUAGAGGUGAUAUUUCUUUACUGGUAUUAGUUCAUCACCUUCUCAGAGUUUCUGCAUAGCACACUUCUUUCUACCGUUUGUUUGUCCCUUCAUCUUAGCAUCUCCGACAUUGCUGUAAACGGGAUAACCACACAGUCUACACUUGUGCUAUCAUCAAAGAAUUUUUCUUGAACUGUUAUUUUUGUUAUUUGGAAGUGAAUAUUUUCAGCAACUAGAACUCGGAAGCAUCCGGAAUGAUCCAUUUUUUUUUUUUUUUAUGUCAAAACAUGAAGUAAUUAAAGGAGGUCAAACAACAAUAAACUCAUUCAUUUUGUCCAAAAUUGAAAAAGACUACAUAGUAAUCAUAAUUGAAAACAACUAAGCACAAAAACAAAUAACAUCCUUUUUCAAAAUUAUGUUCCCAUGAAUCUUGUCUCCACACAUUAAAGAAGACUAAAUCUAUAAUUAGGUGCUGAUUCACGCCCAAAAUUACCCUUCAACUCCUUAAGCAGAGGCAGCUGCUCCCUUCUUCCUUGGUGCUGCCUGAGUACCUUCUCUGAAGCCGCUCUUGAACCUGCGAGGGACAUGGCGCAGAUACCUCAUCCUGCCGGUUCCAGUGGUCUUUCUUCGGAUUGCCUUCACACUCCAGUUAUACGUUCUCUUGCGAGCAGCGGGGUAAGCACAAGCAGCGCAACGACUCUUCUGAAGAUGGAAGCUGCGACGGCCACAUCGCACACACAAAGUGUGCGUCUUGUUUCUCCUCUUACCAAAACUCCCUGUGCCCUUACCCAUUGAAGCGUAUGCGAAGUAGAGGAAAGCCUUCUGAUGAGUUCCGGAAUGAUCCAUUUUAUCAUUCUCAAUACCUAUAAAAGAAUGUCAUAGAAAACAGUUUCCAAAGCAAGUUGCAUGUGUUUUGAAUUUGUCUUUGGAAGCCACUAAUUGCUUGGAGCACACUGUUAGCCAGUCGUGAUUCCAUCCACUUUCUUGGAUGGACAAUUGUGCAUCCAUAUGAUCUAGGCAUGUUGGUUUGGACUGAACUAGUUUUAAUAAAUAAUUGCCUUCAGGAUUUAGUCUGUGUGUUACAGUCCAGUCUUUGUUGUGAAUAGUUCUUUUUUCCCCCUCCCGAGGAAAGAAUUGAGAUAAAAAAUAAUUUAUUCCUGCCACGGAUGAGUGCCAUAACAGCUUCUUAAUGCUUUGCGGUGGCUUUUGCGCGGUUGUUGUUGCCUUCUGAAGCUAGAGUAGCUAUGGCUAUAGCAGAUGCAGAUGCCACCAAUUUUUAUGAUGGCCUUUCAGCAUCAAAAUCAAAAGGAUCAAUUGGGAACUUAAAGGAGGUUGAUUUGAAUGAAACACCCUCCAUGCAAGCCAAGAGACUCCAAUUAAGACUGCAAGCUUUGCUUAAAACAGGUAUUUAUAUACCUUAUUAGUUUUUGUAUGUUUAUAAUUACUGAUUUUUAUAUCAAAAGAGAGAGGUUAAUUUUUAGUACAUUGAUAUCUCAACAAAAUGGUAGAUCCUUUAUACCACUAAAGACAUUUUCUUAGUGCACUUACCGAGCUUUCUAUGAUUGCAGUUGAGACGGGCCGACGCUACUUCCCUCAUUGCUCAGAAGUGGUUGAUAAGUUUUUGGACUGUGAUUGGUCUGAUGCUUCCCUCCUAGAAAAUGGUGCUCCUGAAGAGCAGAGACUCAAAAGGGCACGCUUCAUGGAACUUAAAGAAGACGUACAGAAGGCAUUUUACAAGGACGUGGCUGAGAAAAAUCGUUUAGGUUUGUCGUCAUCCUCGUCGUCGUCAUCUUCUCCAAAGGAAGGAGUAAAGUGUAAGGGUAGGAAAAGGUGAUGCUUAGUUACUUGUCUUUUGUUAUUCAUUGCUAGGAGACUAAGAGAGUUUUACUGAGUUUGAUUGUUACUUGUAGAGAGAUACUCUUAGAGCCCAUGUUAUGGCUAUGUUGUAUAAUAGCAGAGGAACUUCAAGCUUGCAUUGUUGUAUUUUCCCACGUAUUUGGCAUGUAAUAUACUAAAUGACAAAGAAUUUUCUAAUUUUAGAGGGAAAAAAUAUGUCAGUUAAUUAUUUUUUUAUUUUAUCUGUUUAAUUCAGUUUAUAAUAUAGCUUUUUUUUAUAUAAAAAAAAAUCUCCAUAUCUUCAUCUGCAAACUCAGUCAUGUGCAACUUCUUUCAGGGAGAAAAGAGGGGGAAAAAAAAAGGGCAUUUGUACCUGUAUUUUACGGUACUGACCCUCAUACAGAAAUUGGUUAAGAUGACAUUAAUGCUCUUCGAAAUAAAUAGAUAUGCAGAAUUUUCAUCGAAAUUGAAAUUAGAAAUGGAUGGAUACGAAUGAUAUAUAUGCAGAACUUUUUAACAGAAUUUUUAUGCAAAAAUUUGUAGCUAAUUACUCCCCCGAAGAAAAAUAAAUUUUCAAUUGUAGAUAUUAAAUUUUAAAUUUAUAAUAUAAUAAAUGUGACUUAAGUUGCACAGCACCCAUAUAAUAAUAAUAAUUAAGAAAAGAAAAUUUAAAUUUUGUAAAUUAUCAAUUUUUUAAAAUUAAUUAUUUUUAUACUCAAAUUCUCAUGCUCGACGGCCGCUGGAAUUGGCUAUUGUAAUUUUGUCAUCCUCAUUAUUCACUAGCCAUUUUUGGACCACGACAUAAUAGAAAUAGCAUAGAUUAUACUAAUAAAUUUCCUUUAAUUAUUUUGUAGUGUGAUGAUCUAGUGAGUACCAGUGUCCAUCAUAGCACCUGAACAUGUAAAUUUCUGAUAUUUUCUGUAAAAUAGUACUUAAAUUGUGUAUUAACUAGACAGUUCUAUGUAGACCACAACUCAUUAAAUCAUUACUUUACUUUGUAUAUAUUUAUGACAAUUGAUGAAGAAAAAUAUAAAGUGAGAUUAAUGAACAUUCAUGAAUGUGGGAAAUUAACACAACUAGGAUUUAUGAUGAAAUAAUUUUAUUUCAAAUGAGUUUAAGUGAAUGGAUGUUAAAAAAACUUAUAGUAUAUAUUUUUUGAAUUGUUAUAUAUACAAGUUUGUCACUAACAGUAAAUUAAAUUAAGAAUAUUUUAAUAAUUCAAAAUCUCAUUCAACCAUCCCUGUUUAUAGUUUUAUUCGGAGUACAAAAUUGUAAACAGCCUCACCCUUAAUAGUAUAAUGCUAAACACUUUUAAAAAUUUAUUCUAUUAUAGUCGUCUUAGUCAGUUAUAUUUAUUUCCAAAUUGAAGAUAGAAAUAGUACUUUAUAUAUCGUACAUUACUUAAAGAAUUUUUUUAAAAAUCAAAUUAUGAGCUAGUGAAAGGAUGCAAUAAAUCACGUCUAAAAUUGUAAAAUUCAUCAAUCACCGAAUAAAUUAAAUAUCAUGUCUCAUGGGCUUAAAAGAUAGGCUUUUGAAUGAUAUAUCGUACUCAAAAAUCUAUUUUUAAUUAAUUAUUAUACGAACGUUUAAAUGUGUCUCUAAGCUAUAUUAUAUAGUUGCUAAUUACUAUUAAGCUUACACUUCUUCCUUCUAAAAAAAGCAUCUUUUGGCUUCUCAGAUCGCGAUUCAAGCUUCAGUUAUAAGCAUUUCGUUUCGAUUGAUAUUGUUGAUGCGAGAUUCUGGCUCUCUGCUCGACCACGACCAGGAUCUCUCCUCAACUAAACGGACCACGACCAGGGUCUUUCCUCGUAACACUUCUUCUCCACAAACUCCUGUGUACACAGAAACAAGUCAGAGCACGCCGGGUGUUUUUCCGGCGUAAACCCUCCGACGCUCAAGUCAGGAAUGUAGGCUUUGCCUUUCUGGGAAAAACGGCCACUAAUCUUAUGGCUCUUUUCUUAGAUCUAUCAAUCGAAAAUUCUCUUUCUCUCCUUUUUUUUCUCAAAAAGUCUAACCCUUUUACCUUCGUUGGCUACCUUUUUAUAGGCUUCUCCUGAGUUCAGACCUUCCCUCAAUUCACGCCCGUUACCUUCCCACCUCUCGGAAGUGGAUGCAUCGUUUCUGUAAUCGUGGGUGGUUGCAUGGCCUUCGUGCCUUGAUUCUCGGGUUGGAGAGCACGUCUCGCCAACUGUCGUUGACCGGGUCUCCUCGCCUCAACCCUUAGCAGGAAUGGCUUUACGCUUCUAAUAGGAGACCGGCCUCGCAGAUGGUGUAUUCACGGACGAGCAGUAUAUUCCUGCUCCUGUUCCCCUACUACCAGACUUCUACAAAAUAUACCUGUUCGUGGAACCCUGCUACCAAAUAUCUGCUCAUCAUGGCUGGUCUUGUCAAAGUACAUCCCCCAAACACCGAUCCCCCAGUUUCUGGUGUUGGGUAACAUAGUGAGCCGACAGUAGAAACUCGACAGUUCUGGCUCGCGCGGGAUAGGAAAAGACUGCCAAGAGUCGUGUCGCAUUUAAUUGCGGAUGAGGUGAUGUGGCAGAAAUCUACCCCUCUAUUUGAAUUUCAAACCGAUGGUUACGAAACUCUUGGGAUUUGUGCCGUUAAAUGCUGGCAGCCCAAGAGUUUGUUCCUCAUUAGGAAAACCCAAAACCCCCAAAAGAGAAACUUGUCAUUUACUCUGUUUCUGUCUCUCCGGCGAACGAGUCCUUCCUCUCCCUCGGCGUAAAAGCUUCCAUCCUUGUCUCUCUCCGACUAAGUCACAACUUCAGGUAUUAUUUCUAUUUCCUCGGUCUUGGAUAGUUGUAGACAAUUUCCUUUCUCUCUGUUUUGUUUGGGUAGUGCUUGGUGAUGCUGCUCUGGUUAUAGUUUAAGGAAUGUCAAAAGGUAAAGAGAAAGUCGUUGAGAUUGAUGACGACGAACUAGACUUCUUGCCUAGUCUGCUCGCCGAUUCUGCCUUUGACCCCGGGAUCCCCUUAGAACCCAUUAGAUCUAGUGUUGGGGCUAGUGCUAGGAAGAUGUCCCCCCCAAUAACCUCCUCAAGCGGCAAUAGCGGCGACGAGGGGUCUUCUGGUUCGGAAGACACUCUGAGUAAGGAUCAGGGAGAUGAUUAUGGUGGAAUGUCCUCACCAGGAAUAUCGCGACCACAUAGGAGGGUCACAGUAGGAGGUAGAGCUUUAUCAAAGCAUUACGCUAUUGAUUUCAUCACGUGCACGACCACAGUAGAGGAGCUCACUAACCUCCGGGUUAGGUAUGAAAUUCCUGAUGAUAUUCCUCUUAGGAUCCCAGGAAAGAAGGAUACUCCUAGUCGGCCUCAUAGGGGAUAUGUUACUCUAUUUUUGGAGAGUUUUAAACUUGGGUUGAGGUACCCCCUGCAACCCUAUUUUGCCCGAAUACUUAAUGGGUUAAAUUUAGCUCCUGGUCAGCUGAACCCCAACGGGUGGAGAGUACUCUCUGGUCUGUUCAUAUUGUGGGAUAGAUGUUGCCAAAGCGAGCCCACAGUUGAUGAGGUGAAGCACCUGUAUCAGCUAAAGAGCUGCCCCAAAGACGCCGGCUGGUAUUACUUCCAAUCAAGUACCAAGACCAGGAAACCCAUAAUUGAUCUUCCAACUGGUGGUGGUGGGAAUUGGAAGAAAAAUUUCUUUUUUGCUGGGGGUCCCUGGGGUCAAGUUGCACAGAUUGAUGGGAAGGAUUAUCGCGUCCCACCCCGUUUCGUGGUCCCAGGUUGCCUGCUCGCUUUAGAUGUCUUGUCUCCAUAGUUGUUCUCACUUUGUUGAUUUGUCUCUAACCCAAUAUUUGUUCGCAUUGCAGGUUCUUGGGGUGUGCAUUACCCUCUUAAACCUGAGCAGCUCAAGCGGGUCGAGGCUGUACUGGCCAAUUCCUGUUCGAACCGAGAGCUGCUAACUACUUACAACUUGGUCGAAUCUCGUUUGGUGUCCACCGGCUAUAAGAUGUAGGAUGCUGUGAUCGGGGCUUUGAAUCGGAAACGUCCUCGACCUCAUGCUGCCAAGCAGGACCAGAAUAAAGAUGCUCCUUUUGCGAAGCGGGUGAACAUUGUUCAGUAGGUUCCCCCCCUGGAGACUCUACCUCCUCCUCCUGCCAAAGCUGGAGAAACUAGUGGAGCAGCCACUUCUUCUCCCCCAGCUGGGUCGAAACCCCGUUUGCCCGACAAUCGAGCGGAGCAUCUGGCCCCCUACAUCAGUGAGUUUUCUAAGCUCAUGAGCAAGAGAGACUUGGAGGAUUUUGACGGCAGCACUCCGGGUGAGCUGGUGGGGGCUAUGCAGUAUAAUGCUUUCCACCUCGGCUGCAUGUCCACCUACUAUAAGGCGAAGGUCGGCCGCUAUGAACAGAAGAUGAAAGAGGACAUUCAAUCGGCAAAAACCAAAGCAGGAGACCUAAAUCUCGAGAAUCUAAAGUUGAUAGAGUGAGAAUCUCUCGCUCAAGCCAAGGCCAUCACUCUUGAGGAAGAGCUGACUAAGGUCAAGGAGGAUCUGCAGGGGCAGAAGGCCACCUAUGAGGCUCAGCUCGAAUCCCUCAAGGACUCUCACCAGGCUCAGGUCGAGAACCUAGAGAAGGAAGCUGACAACCAAUAUGACCAGGGUCUGCGGCAUUCUUAUCGCUGCAUCAUAGCUGUUUUAGGGAAGCAGCAUCCUGAUCUGAAGAUGGAUGACCUUACUGCUGGUGUUGCUCAACACAUGGACGAGGAGGCAGCAAAAGAGGAUGUCGAAGAGGUGGAGCCAAAUGCGGUUGAGGAGGGAAAUUAUCCUCCUCAUUCAGUCCUUGCUGAUGUUGCUGAGGCGAGUACCCCCCGGAUGCAACUAGUGGUACCCCCCUCCAUUUGAGGUGGACCAGCCAACCGAGAAUGCUCGGCUUACUGACCCGCCGUCCUCUUGAAUGUAUCUUGUGUUGUAGCUGUUUUUUUUUUUUUUUUGGAACACUGUAUGUUAUGAGUAGCAGCUUUUCAUGAUUAUUGAUAAAUUAAUAAGAAUGUUCUUAUUUGCUUUCUCGUGCUGUAGUUGCAAAUUAUUUUACGUUUGAGGGUCUACUCGCCUUCACCGGGUCAAGCAAAUCCUGGCACGCUUGGCUUCUGGUGUCGCCAUAAGACAGGCUUUGAGACUUGGUGAGCCUUUGCAUACCUUAGAAAUUUUUAUAACGCUUGGGAGUCUGCUUGCCUUCGCUUGGUCGAGCAGAUCCCGGCACGCUUGGCUUCUGGUCUCGCCAUAAGACAUGCUUUGAGACUUGGUGAGCCUUUGCAUGCCUUAGAAACUUUUUUAUCGCGUCUGGGAGUUUGCUCGCCUUCGCUUGGUCGAGCAGAUCCUGGCACGCUUGGCUUCUGGUCUCGCCAUAAGACAGGCUUUGAGACUUAGCCUUUGCAUGCCUUAGAAACUUUAUAACAUUACACUGACUGAAAUUCAUCAUGGUUUCAUUGAUUAUUGAAUUCGGCUUACACGAGGUUGAUUUAACAUAAAACGAAUAACAACAAAAGCGAACAGAAAUAACUUUAAAUCAGGAACGAGUCUUACUGGAAUUUCCUGAGGUGUGCUGCGUUCCAGGGGCGUUUCACCUCGUGACCAUCCGCACGAACAAGCUUGUAGGCUCCGGGUCCAGCUACCUGCUUGACCCUGUAUGGCCCCUCCCAGUUUGGUCCAAGUACUCCUUGAGUCGAGUCUUUCGUGUUCUGAUUCACCCUCCUUAAAACCCAAUCUCCGACCUUGAACUGCCGUACAUUCACCUUCUGGUUGUAAUAUCGGGCAACCCUCUGCUGGUAGAUGGCUGAUCGUUUCGAUGCUUGCUCCCUCUUCUCGGUUAGCAAAUCCAGAUUCAAGCACAUCUGGUCGUUGUUCUCCUGCUCAUCGAAGUGAUCUGUCCGGUGCGUGCUCGUCCCUAUCUCAACUGGUAUAACUGCUUCAUGUCCGAAGGCCAAGGCGAAUGGAGUUUCGCCAGUUGUUGUUUUGUGGGUUGUCCUGUAUGCCCAUAAUACACAUGAUAACUCAUCAACCCAUGUACCCUUUUUUGCUCCAAGCCUGGUUUUCAACAGCCUCUUGAUUAUCUUGUUGGCUGCUUCUACUUGCCCGUUAGACUGAGGAUGAGCAGGCGAGCAAUACUUAAACUCUAUCCUGAGGUUCUGGCAGAAGUCCCUGAAGUUCUGGUUAUCAAACUGCCUGCCAUUAUCUGUUAUCAAAGCAUAAGGGAUCCCGUACCGGCAGACCAGGUUUCUCUAUACGAAGUCAGUUGUCUUUUUCUCUGUGAUCCUGCUAAGGACUUCUACCUCUACCCACUUCGUGAAAUAGUCUAUUGCUACUAUUGCAUGUGUUGCUGCUCCUCGUCCCUUUGGCAAUGGCCCAAUCAAAUCAAUUCCCCAUUGAGCAAAUGGCCAUGGGGAAGCCAUAGAAGUGAGCUUCUCUGGUGGUUGGGUAGAGAAAUUUACAAAACUCUGGCAACUUACGCAGCUCCUGGUCUUCUCAUGCACGUCCUGGUGCAUUGUCGGCCAGAAAUAUCCCUGCCUUAGGACCUUGUGGGCAAGGGAUCUUGCACCAGAAUGGUUUCCGCAAACUCCUUCAUGUACUUCUCUCAGCAUGUAAUCUGCGUCGUCCUCGUCUAAACACCGAAGGAACGGUAAGGUAUAUCCCCUCCGAUAUAAUACCCCAUCAAUCAUUGUAUACCUCGACGCUUGGGCUCUAGUCUUCCGAGCUCGUAACUUAUCUGGUGGCAGUACCCCAUUCCGGAUGUACGAGAUUAUCGGGUCCAUCCACGAGCAUUUCUGCUCUAUCUGUAGCACCUCCAGAUUCUGCUCGAUGUUGGGGCUGGACUUCACCUCCAGAGGGACUGACUUUGGCAUUUUCGGAUCUGCUACCGCUGCCAUCCUGGCCAGAAUAUCUGCUCGACUAUUCUCUUCCCUUGGGAUUUGUAUCACCUCAACCGCUUCAAACUUCCCAAUCAUCUGCUUGACUUUCUUCAGGUACUGCUCUAUCGUCCCAUCUCUUGGUUGAAAUCUUUCACUGACAUGAUUUGCAACCAGCUGAGAAUCAGUUCAGAUUUUCACCCUAUCCGCUUUCACUGCCUUAGCCAAUCCCAAGCCCGCUAUUAAAGCUUCAUAUUCUGCCUAGUUAUUUGUGGUUGUGAACUCUAACUUUACAGCAUCAGAGAUUUCCUCCCCUUCUAGGCCUUCCAAAACAAUCCCUGCUCCAGACCCCUGCUCCCCUGAUGAUCCAUCUACAUACAUCUGCCAUACUCGAGUUUCGUUGUUGGCUGUAGCAGUAUCCAGCUGGUCGAAACAUACUUCGGGCUCUGCGAAUUCUGCCACGAAAUCAGCCAUUGCUUGGGCCUUUAUUGCUGCUCGGGGUUUGUAAUCUAUGUCGAACUCACUCAACUCUAUGGCCCACUUCACGAGCCGACCAGAAGCAUCCGGCUUGUGUAGAGUCUGCCGCAAUGGUUGGUUUGUUAUUACCGAGACGGGGAAUGCCUGAAAGUAUGACCUCAGCUUUCGAGCAGCAACCACAAGGGCGAGUGCCCAUUUCUCCAACGGUGGGUAUCUGGUUUCGGCAUCGAGCAAAGCCUUGCUGGUGUAGUAUAUCGGAUACUGAACCCCUUCUUCCUCUCUUACUAGAACAGAACUUGUGGCAUGAUCCAAUACUGCCACAUACAGGAACAGCACGUCCCCAUCUCGCGGCGUGGACAACAGAGGUGCUUGCUGCAAAUAUUGCUUCAAAUUCUGGAAGGCUUUUUCGCAUUCUGGGGUCCAUUCUGUUUUCUUUCCUCUCCUUAUCACUUGAAAGAAUGGCUGGCACUUAUCUGUUGCCUUGGAUAUGAAUCGGCUCAAUGCUGCCAACCUCCCUGUAAGGCUCUGCGUCUCCUUCAGGUUAUGAGGAGACCCCAUAUGCACGAUCGCCUGAAUCUUCUCAGGAUUCGCCUCGAUCCCCCUAUGACUCACCAUGAAUCCGAGGAAUUUGCCCGACUCGACCCCAAAAGCACACUUCUCCGAGUUGAGCUUCAUCUUAUACUUCCUCAGAAGUCCAAAUGUCUCCUCGAGGUGCUCGACAUGUUCCUUCGGGAUUUUUGACUUGGUUAUCAUGUCGUCCACAUACACCUCCAUUGUUCUCCCAAUCAGCGGCUUAAAGAUUUUGUUCACCAGUCUCUGGUAUGUGGCCCCCGUAUUUUUAAGACCGAACGGCAUUACCCUGUAACAGAACAAACCCUGGUUAGUAAUAAAUGUCGUGCUCUCCUCAUCCUGCUCGAACAUGGGGAUUUGGUUGUAUCCCGAAAAUGCGUCCAUGAAGCUGAGCAGGUCAUGUUCGGCUGUUGAGUCUACAAGCUGGUCGAUCUUGGGUACGGGAAAGCUGUCUUUCGGGCACGCCUUAUUGAGAUCCGUGAAAUCUACACACAUCCUCCAUUUGCCAUUAGCAUUUUUCACUAACACCACGUUCGAUAUCCAUUCAGGAUAGUUAACUUCCCAAAUGAACCAUGCCUUCAAGAGCUUCUCCACCUCGCCAUUUAUAGCCUCAUACCUUUCCUGAUUGAAGUACCUUCUUUUCUGCCUUACUACCCGAGCACCUUUCUUUAUUGCCAGCCUAUGACAUGCGACCUCAGGGUCGAUUCCCGGCAUGUCCUCAUGCGUCCAAGCAAACACAUCUGCAUGAGCUCGUAGGCAUUGCACCAACUCCCGCUUCUGCUCUUCUUUAAGCCUCGACCCGAUUCAGAUCGUUUUUCCUGGAUCAUUUUGUUCCAGGCUUACUGUUUCCAGCUCCUCUACAGGUUCCUGUCUACCAUUCUUGGCUCCCACUCGUGUAUCAAGGGAUGUAAUAUGCAUUGCUUCCCUUGCUGCUGUGGAGUAACAGCUUCGGGCGAUCCUCUGAUCUCCUCGUACCACUCCAACUACCCCAUUCACUCGGUACUUGAGAGCUAGAUAAUUGUUGGAAAGUACCGCUGUGCUCAUACUCAGAAAGGGACGACCUAAGAUCAUCUGGUACGGACCCUCUUCAUCGACCACCACAAAAUCCAGUAUUAUGGUCUUUUCUGUCGGGGAAUUACCAAUUGUGAUGGGCAACUCGACCACGCCUAGGGGAACCAGCUUUCCUCCUCCAAAUCCCUUCAAGGAGGUAUUGGUAUGCUCCAACCUCAAGUCCGUUAUUCCCAUCUCCUCCAGAGUUGACUUGAACAAAACAUCGACCGAGCUUCCCGUGUCUACCAGAACUCGGUCAAACUUCUUGCUAGCAGCGGUGACUUUAAUAACUAAAGCAUCCUCAUGUGGAUAUAGAAUUCCCUCUUCAUCCUCAUUUGUCCACAUGAUUGGAACUUACCUGACUCUUGCUCGCUUAGCUGCUGGGGUGUUGAAAAAUACUUCUUUGCUAGUCAUGGCAUACUUGGCAUAAUUCUUCCUCGACCUGUUGGAAUCUCCUGCCAAUGUUGGGCCCCCAGCAAUCACUCUUAUUAUAGGCUGCUCGUGGUUCAAGUUCCUAUCUCUCUGCUCCCCUUCACCCGGCGAGGGCACCAUCGGGAAAGUCUCAUCAAUAAAUUCGUCCAUGUAUCGAUUUCUCACCAAAUCUUCAACCUAGGUCUUGAGAUCUCUGCAUUCUGUUGCGGUAUGGCUAUGAGUGCCAUAGAACUUGCAAUAGCGUCCCCUAUCCCUCCUGCUGGGUAGCUUUGUUAUUGGGGCAAGGAGGUACAGUAAUCUCUGGUCCUUUAUGGCCUCGUACACCUCAUCCAGCGGCAUCUUUAAGGAAGUAUACCGCCCAUAGUCCUGGUUAUGGUCGAUCAUGUGCACUGCCCUUUCCCCGUUUGUGUUGUUCUGAACUGGAGGAGGUGGCAGCGCUUCCGGCCUGCUUCCUCUACCACCAGGGGGGUGUGGUUGAGGAUGACUAUAUGUCGAGCCAUGCCUUCUCCAAAACUCCCUGGCUGGUGAACGAGGAGGUUGUGCCCUGCUGCGCUGAUACUGUGGUGGCCUCUGAUGAGGCUGGUAGGCGGUGACUCGACCUCCUAUACCACUGCCUGAGGCAUGUUGGUCCCUCCUCUUGAUCGGUCUAUUUCCUGGUAAGGCUCUCUUCUUUUUCAUUCUCAACCCUUCUAGCUGGUCUGUCUUGAUCUGUGCUGCCUUUUCCUCAUCAAUCUCUAUAUCCCUCUUAGCCUGCUCGUAAGCAGCUGCAUACGUUUGAAUAGCUGGGCUCCUCAAAUUGUACCACAGCCUUCCUAUCUUCACUCCUUCUUUCAAUCCCCUUAAUGUCUGAGGAUGGUUGAAGGCUCCCAAGUCGAGGACAGCGCGAUGGAACCUCUUGAUGAAUUCCCGAAGGGUUUCUUCCUCCCCCUACUUCAUGUUUUUCAACUCCAUCAUGUCAUCUUCCGGUGCCAUUGCCACACGAAACUGCUCUGCAAAUUCCUGGCACAUCUGCUCGAAAGAUUUAACGCUUCCUCGAGGAAGUUUUCGGUACCACUCACGUGCUCGUCCCUCUAGAGACAGCGGGAACAUCCUGCAUCUUUGAGCUUGGGAUAAUCCUUGCACCCCAGUUAUGUCGUUAAAGCGCUCUAUGUGCACCAACGGAUCGGUUCAUUCCGAGUACUUGAGGUCUGGGAGGCGAAAAUCCCUUGGAAUGACUGCUCUCAUGAUCUCUGCCGAGAGUGGGGAUUCUCCGUCCAGCAUUAUCCUCCAACCAGGUGCUCUGUUCCUUCCUUGCAUGUCAUCAAUUACCUGCACUAAUCUGCGCACUUCUUCCUCCAGCUGUACUGCAUGAUCAGGGUCACGUGCUGCAACUUGAUCCCGCUCUUGCUCUACAUCAUGUAGGUGUUGCCUGAGCUCUGUUUCCUAUGCAUUCUCCACCUCGUCGUCAUUAUCAAAAAUCUGCCUUCCUGGGGAUUGGUCUUCUCUUCUAUGGACUUCUCCCCGUAGAGAUGAGUUACCUCCCUCACCACCAAAUCUCCUGGUGGUCCGACUUCUCAUCAUAUUAUCGUGCCCUGGUGCCAUUCCGCCACUUCUCACCCUUUCCUCAUGGAUUCCCCUCCGUUCACUCCUCAGCUCAUGUAGGAUGGUGGUCAGGGUCUCCAUCUGCUUUUCCAUCUGUUUCAUCCGGUCAUACAUGAUUUUUUCCCGUGUUUCAUUGGCUAUCUCCCUCAACGUCACGGAUUCGUUAAGCCUCAUAUCACCUCCUUGUGCACUACUUCGUCCUACAUCUAUUGUUUCUUCACUUGCUGUAUUCCUCCUCUUUCUGUCAACAGAGCUUUUUUAUCAGCUCCCCACAGACGGCGCCAAAAUGUUGAUGCGAGAUUCUGGCUCUCUGCUCAACCACGACCAGGAUCUCUCCUCAACUAAACGGACCACGACCAGGGUCUUUCCUCGUAACACUUAUUCUCCACAAACUCCUGCGUACACAGAAACAAGUCAGAGCAUGCCGGGUGUUUUCCCGGCGUAAACCCUCCGACGCUCAAGUCAAGAAUGCAGGCUUUGCCUUUCUGGGAAAAACGUCCACUAAUCUUAUGGCUCUUUUCUUAGAUCUAUCAAUCGAAAAUUCUCUUUCUCUCUUUUUUUUCUCAAAAAGUCUAACCCUUUUACCUUCGUUGGCUACCUUUUUAUAGGCUUCUCCUGAGUUCAGACCUUCCCUCAAUUCACGCCCGUUACCUUCCCACCUCUCGGAAGUGGAUGCUCCGUUUCCGUAAUCGUGGGUGGUUGCAUGGCCUUCAUGCCUUGAUUCUCGGGUUGGAGAGCACGUCUCGCCAACUGUCGUUGACCGAGUCUCCUCGCCUCAACCCUUAGCAGGAAUGGCUUUACGCUUCUAAUAGGAGACCGGCCUCGCGGAUGGUGUAUUCGUGGACGAGCAGUAUAUUCCUGCUCCUGUUCCCCUGCGACCAGACUUCUACAAAAUAUACCUGUUUGUGGAACCAUGCUACCAGAUAUCUGCUCUUCAUGGCUGGUCUUGUCAAAGUACAUCCCCCAAACAGAUAUUAUUCUUUCUUGAUAGUAUCAUGGAAACUGCAAACGAAAAGUCAGCAUCUUUGAGUUUUCUUUCAUCAUAUCUGACUUGUUGGUCUACUAAUCAAUCAACAGGCCCUUCUGAUCUUGAUAAUUUGAACUUAAGGAGGGAAAGCAGCAAUCCUGAAGGGCCAUUGCUUGAUGCCGAGAUCAUUGUUGAGGGCAAAUCAGUGGCAGUUAAUCGCAGAAUAUUGUCAAAGUCUGCAAGCAAUCCGUUUUUCCGUCGGCUUUUUAAAUUGAGCAGUGAUGCUUCUGUGAGUGAGGGGAAACCCAAGUAUCUUAUGACUGAUUUGGUGCCUUAUGGGAAGGUUGGAUUUGAAGCUUUCAAUGAUAUCUUGCAUUGUCUUUACACUGGAAAGACAAAGGCAACUCCUCCAGAAAUGUCCACGUGUGUUGAUGAUGCUUGUGCUCAUGAUGCCUGCCCUCCUGCUAUUAAUUAUGUUAUUGAGUUAAUGUAUGCUUCUGCUGCUUUUCAGAUGACACAUCUCGUUUCGGUUUAUGAGGUAGUUGCGCUUCCUCGCUAUUUGUAUUGCUUAAAUUUAUGCUUGUUGGUAUAAUUUUAACAUUUAUAGAAUUGAAAUCAAUUUCAGUUGUGACUUGCAAAGAGCCAAAGAAUCGAAUCUAGUAAAUCCAAAAUUAUUUUGAAAGAGACAAAAAUUAUAUGGCAACUUCGGUGGUUCGCAAUAUUAGGCAUUGUAGUAUAUCCAAAAUUAGCUUGUUAACCUAGCAAAUCAUUAAUGUUGUAGAAUAACAUCUUGUGUAGGUGAGCUUAUGUCUCUGUUCAUUGGUCCACCGGCAUUUAGGUUCGAUAAGCAUGGCACUGAUUUUCCCCCUCAUUAUUAUUUUCAUGCACAAAUUAUCCCCAUUAAGUAUUUGAACUUUGAAUAUAUUAUUCUGAAUCAAAACUCUAUCUGUCCGUGUAGCAUUUUAUAUAUGCUUUUUGAUGUUUGCCAAUAAUUACCCACUAUGGGGUAUUUGAAUUUUGAAUAUAUUACACUGAAUAAAAACUUUGUCUGUCAAUCUUAAAGAUGCAAGAGGACGCACGGUGCUUCAUGUGGCUGCAAGGCGUAAUGAGCGAUCAGUUCUGGUGACUCUGCUGAGCAAGGGAGGAUGCGCAUCAGAAACUACAUCAGAUGGGCAAACAGCUGUAGCAAUCUGUCGGAGAAUGACAAGGUGAAAGGAUUAUAUUCAAGCUACAAAGCAGGGGCAGGAAACUAACAAAGAUUGGUUAUGCAUUGAUGUCCUUGAGAGAGAGAUGAGAAGGAACUCCACGUCUGGGAACUUGGCAAUGCCAGCACAGGUGAUGGAUGAUGUUUUCCAAAUGAAGCUGGACUAUCUGGAAAAUAUAGGUGAUAUUUCUUUACUGGUAUUAGUUCAUCACCUUCUCAGAGUUUGUUCAUAACACACUUCUUUCUACUGUUUGUUUGUCCCUUCAUCUGGAAAAUAGAGGUGAUAUUCUUUUACUAGUAUUAGUAAGUCAUCUUCUCAGAGUUUGUGAGUCCCUUCAUCUUGGCAUCUCAAACACACAUGGGCUUAUUGCUUGGAGGGCACUGUUGGCCAGUCAUGUGAUUUGAUCCCCUUUUUUGGAAUAGACAAUUCUGAAUCCAUCUGAUCUAAGCUUGGUGGUUUCCUCUGAACUGGUUUUUGAUGAAUAAUUGUACAAGACUUUGUAAUAAAAAACUUUUUUUCCCCCAAAAGUAAUGAGGUACCAAAAACUUUAUGCCCAUCCUGGAUGACUGCCAUAACAGCUUCUUAAUAUUUUGCAGUGGCUUUUGUACGGUUGUUUCCUUCUGAAGCUAGAGUAGCUAUGGAAAUAGUAGGUGCAGAUACCGCCCCUGGCCUUUCAGCAUUAGGUCGGAAAGUACUAAGUGGGAACUUAAAGGAGAUUGAUUUGAAUGAAACGCCCUCUAUGCAAGCCAAGAGACGCCAAUUGAGACUGCUAACUCUGCUUAAAAAAGAUAUUUAUAUGCUUUAUUAACUUUUGCACCUUUCUAUUUACUGAUUAUCUUUAUAAUUAAAUAAUACAUGUAUCCAGGUUUCUCCUUCCAUUUCAUUAGAAGUAAAUUGGAAUCUCUUUAUAGUGCUCUGUUAGGUGUAAUCAGAUGUAUCAAAAGAGAAAGGGUAAUUGUUAGUACAUUGAUAUCUCAACAAAAUGGUAGAACCUUUCUUUAUACCACUAAAGACAUUUGUUGCAGGGAUGCCUGCAUAAUCAGUGUCCUUUAAAACUUUCAAGGAGUUAGCAAUGCCUAACCCUUGAAACACUAAAUCUCACUGGAUCAACUCUUUACCUCUGGACCGAAGGUGUGACACCCAAACCCAAUUAGGGCUUAGAACGCAUAUUGAAUUUGAGAGAAACUAAGUGCUUGUAAAUCCAAGUCUCCAAAAUAUCAAAAGGUUAUCUACUUUCUCUUUUCAUGUAUUUCACAAAAUUUUGAAAAAUUCAUCCUCAAUCAUAAACUAGGCACAGCUAAUUAAUCAGCAUAUCAGUAUACAUCAAUACUUCCUCAUAAGCAAAUAAAUCUUACAAUCCUUCCUACAUGAUUUAAAAAAAAUACUUCUAGAACUCUUCUAGAUACAAACAUAAACAGAAUUCAACUGCUAAAACUUGUUGAAAAUUGAUUAAAAAAAAAAGUGUCAAAAUGGUGGGUGGUUGAGCAACCAUCUUUGAAUUCAAAGAUGGUGGGUGGCUAGCCAUUGAACAAGGAAAAUGGGUAGGUGCCGCCCAUGGAAAGAAGAAAAAAAAUGAAGAAAAGGAAGCCAUAAUUUGGCUAUAAAUAGAGGAGUGCUCCUCCUUAUUUUUGUAUCCCAAAUCCCAGAGAAGCGAUCCAAGUUUUGGUGAGAAAUUGAGAGAGAGAAAUGUUCUUAAGCAUGUAGUUAUAUUGUAGGAGUAUUUGACUCCUCAAUAUAUGUGUUACGGGUUUACUUUGUUAAAGGAUAUUUCUCAGGAUUAUGUAUUUGGGGAUUGGGUGAGAGAAAAUUAUUUCUCAGAGUGUGGUUGUAAUAAUUUUCCACAUAGUGAAUAUUUUUUCUCUGGUUGGCUUUUGACAACGGCAGUGGUUUUUCUCCAGAUUUAGAGUUUUCCACGUAAAUCUUGUGUUGUGUGAUUGGUGUAUUCUCUAUUUAAUUUUUUCUGUUAAUUUGUUGCUUGACAAAUUGCUUAGAGUGAUCUUGGGAGGAAACUCAAUUUCCUAACAAAACUAUGCCAAAACACAAGCUUCAAUCAGUAAUACAUACGACUAAUUAUUAAAAACAUAGAGCCAGAAACCUUACGAAAGCUCAGUCCUUCAGAAGCAUUCUUCGAAUUAAUAAUUGCUACUAUCUGUGAAAAAUAAUUGACACGGGUUCAGCUGUUAACUCAAUCAGUAGAAACAUUCAUAACCAACAAAAAGAAUUCUUUGUGCAAUAUUUUCAGAAAAUUCAUUUAACCUUUCAAAUGAAACAAAGUAAUUUUUCAAACACUGUCAGGAUUUAUAUAAAACAUAAAUGUUUCCGACGGAAGCUUUUUGGAACGUAAAGUUUGCUUCUUUAAACAGAAAGUUAUACAUUAGUUUGAUUUUAAAGGGUGGUUAUUGGGAAGUUAAAAUUGGCUGUUGUGGUAAAAGGGUAAUAGCAGUUAUAAUCUCUUUUAAAACAACUUCAAAUCAAGUUUCAAAUUUUAGGAGUACUUAAUUCAAUAACAUAAAGAAUAAAUAAAGCUUUAAUUGAAACAAAACUAAGUAAAUUCAUUUAAAGCAAAACAGGAUGCGAGCAUUACGUAAGGGUUCUUGACCAUACCAUGUUUACCCGCAGUCGGAUAUCUGGGACUUUGUUAUUUGGAGACAAGACUUGAUUUUGCCAUGUUUUCCGCAGCUAGACAUCUGUGGAUAAGAGAACCCUAAGCCUAUUGAGAAUAAAUUCUGUAAUCUAAGACUCUUCAGUUCUUUCAUUUGUGGCUAAUUAGUUAUAAAAUUUGUGAAUUUCAUGCCCCAUGCCCCUUGCAAAAUGUAUUUUAUAUCCUUAAGAUGCUAGUGGAUGAACUGAAAUAAUAAAAAAUGGAAAACAGACUUGAUGCCGACAGCAUUUCUCAAGAAAAACUUGGGAUGUUUAUAAUUUUCUUAGAGCAUUUGCUGAGCUUUCUGUGAUCGCAGUCGAGACAGGUCAACGCUACUUCCCUCAUUGCUCAGAAGUGGCUUUUAAGUUUAUGGAUAUCAACUCCCCUCAUUGCUCAGAAGUGGUUAAUGAGGUUUUGGAUUGUGAUUGGUCCAAUGCUUCCCUCCUACAAAAGGGUACUCCUGAAGAGCAGAAACUCAAAAGGGCAAGCUUCAUGAAACUUAAAGUAGACACGGGGGAGGCAUUCUGCAAGGACGUGGCUUAUCCCCGUCGUUUAGGGCUGCCAUCAUCCUGGUCGGCAUUUUACAAUUACAUGGCUGAGAGCAAUCGUUCAGGUAUGCCGACAUCCUCGGCAUCGAGCAAUUAAGCAUCACCUUUCCCUAAAAGUUAUUUUUGACACAUGGGAAACUAAAAGAGUUUAGUGAGCUCGAUUGGCAUUUGUAGUUUUUUUUGCCUCAAGUGAUCUGGUAUGUAUCAAUUAGUUUGUGAAAUUAUUGUACUGUAUCAAUUAGUUUGUGAUAUGUACACAUGCAUGGAUCACAAACUCAUUUCAUUGAAUAUUUUUUUUUUUAAUUAUACAAUUUAUAGGCUAUGCUUAAAAAUUAGAAAAAAAGAAUUGUAUUACAGUUGGUAUGAGACAUGCAUGUGUGCAUAUCAGUUGCUGAACAAACUUUGCCUUUUAAUUUUGUAGGCAUUACUUUCUGCAAUUUGAGAGAUAGUGGAUUAGUGGGGAGUGGAUUAAAGUGCAUCUACAUAGAAUUAAUCAAAAUAAAAUUGAUUUUUUAACUAUUUUUACUCAAAGUAGUAGUUAUUCUUUUUAUUAGUGUUAUUCCAAUUAUAUCAAAAUCAGUUGACUGGUGAUCAAAUUAAGUGAUAUAUGGUAUGGAGUUUUUAUAAAUCUAUGUAAAUAGUAAAAUAUUUAAUUUUUCUUGUCGUACAAUUUUAAUUUAUAUGGUUUAAAAAAAGAAAUUGACUUAUUAAUUAAUUAACAAUUAUAGAAAGAAUAAAUAGAAAAUUAUAGUUGUGGGAGAAAACUCUCGCGAAAAGGGCUCUAGAUUGGCUUCGUGCGUUGCCCCUGGCCCUUUCGAGCACGAAUUCGAAUCCAAUGCUUUAUAAUAAAGAUAUAAUAUUAUUAUAAUACUAAUAAUUAACAUUAAAAUAUUAAAAAAUAAGGAAAAAAAAAUCCAAAUUUUUACUGGGGUUUUUAAUUAAAUACCCUUUAAUAAUUUCAAAAUUAUUUAAAUACCCCCUCCCUUUUUGGUUUUCAUGGAUACCCUAACAAAUGUGAGCAAAGUCAGAAAUACCCUUAAUGAAUGCAUCAAACUCACUCAAGGAAUUGUCUUCAUAUUUCUUUCCUCAUUUCUUUCACCCAAAUCUAUUUUUGCUGCCGAUUCUUUCAAAAUCUCUUAGCAUCUCUCAAAAUCUCUCAUAACUUCUUACACAAAUACAAUUAUGUAUUCAUUUCUUUAACACCCACUCUUUCUUUAAAGGUGCAUUGCUUAUUAAACAACCAAAUAAGGUAUGUUAAUGUUGUUGGGUUUUAAAUUUUUAAUUUUUAGGAAAAUUUAGAAAUUUUCCUCACAUUACAAUGUUUUAUUUUCACCAUUUUUUCUUAUACGUAGAAAUAUAUGCAAUGUAGGUUGUUUAAUUAUUUUUUUCAGCAAUAUAACUUAUUUAUGGCGAAAAUGUUUCGAGUCGUGCAUUCUUUUGAUACCGUGUACGUCAUAUAAUUAGUCAUGUAGGUCAUGUAAGUAAUAUAGUCGUGUAAGUCGUGUAGGUCAUGUAAGAAAUAUAGUCGUGUAGGUCGUGUAAGAAAUAUAGUCGUGUAAGUCGUGUAAGUAAUAUAGUUGUGUAGGUCAUGUAAGUCGUGUAGUUAAUUGUAUAUGAAAUUUAAUAUUAUUGUUUUUAUUGUAUCAUCAGAUAUGGUUUUGGUACGUGUGCCUAUUCUCUUCAAUGGUGAAUGGAUUGAGCAAAAUGACGAGUAUAAGUUCAAAGGUUCAAAGGCUAAAGGGAUAAUGAUACCACGAUCGACAACAUAUGCCGAAUUGGUGGAGAAGAUAACUGAAGUUAUUGAUAUAGAUACUUCGGAAUUCGAAAUCACAAUGAAGUUCAAACUUAAGACAUCUGAUCCUAUGCCACUCGUUACAAUUCAAACCAAUGAUAAUGUGGAAUUUUUUUAGAUUCUAAUUUAAUUUCACUUCUUCUUUUUUAAUAAUUUUCGUUGACAUUUUCUGCAUAGCAGCAAAUAUAAAUUCUUAGCACAAAUUAAGUCUUUAAAGAACUAAAUUAAUCUAAUGAGUAAUAGAAAAAUUCGUGUAAUUUUAAAGUUGCAAUUAAACAUAUUACCGCCAUUUAAAAAGUUUUUUUUUUUUUUAUCUUCAAAGUGCUUUCUUCCUCUGGCCAAGCAUACAAGCAUACAUGAGGAAUGUCUGCAUAUAAUUAAUCCAUGAAAUCAAUUAAGAAAAAAAAAUAUCAACCAUAGGAAAUUAAUGUAAUGUUAUACACAUAAGAACACCAUUCGCAGUGAUAAAAUAUUUCCACUCAUAACUAGACAUAUCAUGACUUACCAUGGCUUAUAAUUGGAAAUUAAGAAUCUCUCUAACUAAUGACAUUUCACAAGGUAAAGGUAUAUGCACCAUUCCAAUUUAUUGUGAGCCUAAUUAAACUAAAUGUAAUGUGUAGAUUCUAUUGACAAGAAACAAAAUGUGGAAUUGAAGGUCGUGUAAUUGUGUAAUACAAGAAGAUCGUGUAAUUGUAUAAUACAUGAAGGUCGUAUAAACAUGCAAUACAUGAAGGUCGUGUAAACGUGCAAUACAUGAAGGUCGUAUAAUCGUGCAAUACAUGAAGGUCGUGUAAUCGUGCAAUACAUGAAGGUCGUGUAAUACACAACCUUGAAUCUUACAUAACCUUACACGACCAAAUCUUAUGUUACAUAACAAAAUUAUAAUCAGCACAAUCCAUUAAUUUUUCACAAUUUGCAUGCAGCAAAACAACUAGAAAUUUGUUUUCGAACAUGUUAUGAGAGACCCACAACUAAUUAAUCUAUUUUUUCAAUAUAAAACCCUAACUUUUUGUUUUUUUCCCUUGAAUAUUAACAAGAAAACUAAUUAUACGGAAUUACUUGUCUCAACUAGUGAUAUUCUGACAAUUUUACAGUAAAUGAUCAACUCUCUCCGGCGAUUAUGUAGUGACGAACUAUGCUUCACUUUCUCAGUUGUGGCAGCUUCCCCUUCUCAGGCUUAGUUUGCUCGUGUUGAAGUUCGAUUUACCAUGUAUGGAGAAUGAAUGUUUGUUUCGGUAGAGGUGAUGCUGGUGAGGGAAUUACAGAGGUGAUGUCGGUGAGGGAAUUGCAGUGUUUGUUUGUUUGAGUUUGAUAAUGGAGGGAAUUGCGGUAGAUGAGUGUUUGUUUGCUUCAGUAGAGAAGGGAGAUGUAUUGUCCGUUGAGUUGAAAUGUUUUAAAAUGAGGAUAGCUUAGUAAUUUCCUAUCAGUUUUUAAAGGGUAUCGAUGAAAAUUUUGGCAAAAACAGAUUUUAGGGUAUUGAGAUAAUUUUUGAAGUACGAAGGUGUACCGGGCGCAAUUGGCUCAUUUUUACUGGUAUAUAAUAUAACGCAGGGCCAAAACGAUAGCGAAACAUCAAAUUGUUUUUAUUUCAAUCUUCGCGCAACCUCCGGUGACAUAAUUUUUCUCUGUUUCAGGUACAUACAUACCCAAAACUAAACUUUGCAUGUAUCGUUCUUGUUUUUUUGUUAUUCAUUCACACAUCCUUCUUUUCUUUUCUUUUCUUUUCUUUUUUGCUGUAAGUUUUUAUGAGACGCUCUGUUUCAGUUUAAUAUUAUUGUUUGGGUUCUGUUCUGCUCUGUUCUCUGUUGUAUGUAUAUAUGUAUAUAUUUUUGGCCUCGAAUUGCUUUGAUCACCGGAAUUUUUAUUCAUUUAUCGUGAAUUUUAGAUGACUUGUUUGGCCAUGUAUUCAUUUGAUUGUUACAUUCAGCUGCCAUCUUCAUGGUGGGUUUGUAAGAUAGUCUCUGACUAACAUAUGGCAUUCAUUAUGAAUGAUGGUUUUGUGAGAUACAUCAUACAGACGUUAACUUGUAUUAACAUGUACUUGCUUCAUCUAAAAGAUUAGUGUUUUUCUGGCUUUUUUUUUUUUUUUCCUUUUUGAAAUGCCCUUUUUGCAUUUUAUAGGUGAAAGGAAAAAACAUAAUAUCGCAGCUCUAGAACAAAGGAGCCUAUUCUGGUACCUAUUGUCCAAGGAAGCUUCUGUAUAUUCGGUAGGCACUACCAUGGAAGUGAAAUCUUACCAGAGCCAGGCGGAGUCAUUGCUGAAGGAAUAUAUAUUAGCAGAUCCAUUUGUCCCGUACACUUCAAUUGUUGGUAGCAUUUUUGCUUGCAAGAUGGUAUGUUUUUCAUCGUUACUGCAUGGUGGUAUUUACUAGAAAAUAUUUUGAAUGCAUAGUUUUUAUUUAAUUAGUUAUAAAUUUUUAUACCCACUGCUUUCUAUAAGAACGUGUUCAUUUUCAGGUCUAUAAUCUUGCCCAAUUGAUUAGUGCGGUUCACUUUAAAAGUUAUUCCAGUUUCUCCAACAUACAGCGGGUUGAGUGGAGUAACAGGUGAUUGAAUAUUUUCAUUUAGUUCAAUUGACAUUUCUUUUUCAAUCGGUAAAGUUUAAUCGUUUCUCUUAAAUCGACAACUUAUGCAGGGCCAUAUCAACCGUCCAUGCCAUUUUUAUUACAGCUAUGUCUUUGUAUUUCGUGUUUUGGUCAGAUCUCAGAGUUUGUGCAUAGCACACUUGUUUCUACUGUUUGUUUGUCCCUUCAUAGACAUUUCGACAAACUGUUAUUUUUGUUCUUUGGAAGUGAAUAUUUUCAGCAACUAGAACUCCAAAGCAUCUGGAAUGAUCCAUUUUAUCAUUCUCAAUACCUAUAAAAGAAUGUCAUAGAAAACAGUUUCCAUAGCAAGUUGCAUGUGUUUUGAAUUUGUCUUUGCAAGCCACUAAUUGCUUAGAGCACACUGUUAGUCAGUCGUGAUUCCAUCCACUUUUUUUGAUAGACAAUUGUGCAUCCAUAUGAUCUGGACUAAACUAGUUUUUAAUUAAUAAUUGCCCAGGGUUUUAGUCUCAGUGUUACAGCCCAGUCUUUGUUGUCAAUACUCUUUCCCCCGUUGUGGAUGAGCACCAUUACAGCUUCUUAAUGUUUUGCAGUGGCUUUCGCACGGUUGUUUUUUCCUUCUGAAGCUAGGGUAGCUAUGGAUGUAGCAGAUGCAGAUGCCACCAAUUUUUAUACUGGCCUUUCAGCAUCAAAAUCAAAAGGAUCAAGUGGGAGCUUAAAGGAGGUUGAUUUGAAUGAAACACCCUCUAUGAAAGCCAAGAGACUCCAAUUAAGACUGCAAGCUCUGCUUAAAACAGGUAUUUAUAUACCUUAUUAGUUUUUGUACCUUUACAAUUAGUGAUUUUUGCAUCAAAAGAGAGAGGUUAAUUUUUAGUACAUUGAUAUCUCAACAAAAUGUUAGAACCUUUGGAGCACUACAGACAUUUUCUUAGAGCAUUUACUGAACUUUCUUUGAUUGCAGUGGAGACAGGUCGACGCUACUUCCCUCGUUGCUCAGAAGUGGUUGAUAAAUUUUAGGAUUGUGAUUGGUCCGAUGCUUCCCUCCUAGAAAAGGGUACUCCUGAAAAGCAGAAACUCAAAAGGGCACGCUUCAUGGAACUUAAAGAAGACCUGAAGGAGGCAUUUUACAAUGACAUGGCUGAGAAAAAUCGCUCAGGUUUGUAGUCAUACUCGUCGUCGUCAUCUUCUCCGAAGGAAGGAGUAAAGUGUAAGGGUAGGAAAAGGUGAUGCUUAGCUGCUUGUCUUUGUUAUUCAUUUAUAGGCAACUAAAAGAGUUUUAGUGAGUUGGAUUGUUACUUGUAAGCAGAUACUCUUCGAGCCUAUGUUAUGGCCAUGUUGUAUAAUAGCAGAGGAACUUCAAGCUUGCGUUGUUGUAUUUUCCCCAGUAUUUGGCAUGUAAUGCACUAGAUGACAAAGAAUUUUCUAAUUUUAGAGGGGAAAGUUAUGUCAGUUAAUUAUUUAUUUAUUUAUUUUGUCUGUUUAAUUCAGUUUGCAUUAGGGAUGGCAAAAUAACCUGAACCCGGACGAACCCGGAUAAUCCAGGCCGGGUUGAACCCGUACCGGAAUGUAAAAAAAUUCGGGUCCGGAAUAAAUUUUAAUAACCCGGAUAUAUCCGGGUCCGGGUCCGGGUUUAGGUUAACCCGAACAUUCGGAACCCGGACCCGGAUAUCUAAUUUUAAUAUUAUUUUUUAAUUAAUUUUAUUGAUUAAUUUAGAUGUGUUAUUGCUUGGAAAUGUAUUAAUUUUUUAUUUUUAGAAUUUUAGAAAUUGAUAUUGAUUCAUUGAUCCGGGUUCAAAACCCAGAAUCCGGAAACCCGGAUUUUUCCGGGUUGAACCCGGACCCGGGUGAAAAAAUCCGGGUUAAAAUCCGGGUCCGGGAAAAGAAAAUGGUAUCCGGGUCCGGAUCCGAAAAGGCUAAACCCGGACCCGGAUUUUGCCAUCCCUAGUUUGCAUAGCUUUUUUUUUUUUUUCUUUCCAAAAAAAUCUUCAUUUCUUCAUCUGCAAUUUAAGUCAUUUGUAACUUCUUUUAGGGAGGAGAGAGAGAAAAAAAAGAAAAGAGUAUAUUUUACAGUAGUGAUUUUCCUACGGAAAUUGGUUAAGAUGACAUUAAUGUUCUUUGAGAUGGACGGAUAUGCAGAUUUUUCGUCGAAAUUGAAAUUAGAAAUGGAUGGAUAUGAAUGACAUAUAUGCAGAAUUUUAAUAAAAUUUUUAUACAAAAAUUUGUAGCUCAUUACUCUCUAGAAGGAAAAAAUAAGUUUUUAAUUGUAAAUAUUAAAUAUUAAAUAUUAAAUUUAUAAUAUAAUAAAUGUGUGACUUAAGGUGCACAAUACCCAUAUAAUAAUAAUUAAGAAAAGAAAAAAUCAAAAUUUGCAAAUUACCAAUUUUCUCUUGAAAUUUGAUAUUCUAUAUUAACGUAGGUGUUGCAUGGACUGGGUUAGUACAACUGAAAGAAACAAAAUAUCAUAAAAAUGAGUGUAAGUUUGUAUAUAUAUUUUUUGAAUUGUCAUAUAUAUACAAGUUUGUCACUAACGGUAAAUUUAAUUAUGAAUAUUUUAAUAAUUCAAAAUCUCAUUCAACCAUCGGUGUUUAUAGUGUUUUUCGAAAUACAAAAUUGUAAUUUAUAAACAGUCUCACCCUUAAUAGUACAAUGCUAAAUCUUUUCAAAAAAUUAUUCUAUUAUAGUCGUCUUAGUCAGUUAUAUUUAUUUUCAAAUUGAAGAUAAAAAUCGUACUUCAUAUGUCAAACAUUACUUAAAGACUUUAGGGAUAUGUACGUGAAACUGAAUGAAUCAUCAGUUGCAUAUUACUUAAUGGCAAGUGAAGCUAUUUUAUGUGUAUUGCUUGUCACGGGAUGAGUGUUUUGCGCAGCUAACCCGUGUGGCACUUAGACAACUUUGCCGAAUGUUGCUAAGUAAGCCUUGAGCUUCUCGAACUAGAGAAGAGAGCAAUGGAGCCGAAUAAGAAAACUUGUAUUGCACAAAAGAGAGAUUACAAGAAUGCUUGAGUUGCUUGCUCUAAGCUUGUUGUUGUUGUUUUUUAACAAAUGCCUAAUGACAUCCCAUAUUUAUAGGGGAUGCUUGCCAAGCUCUAGGGAUUCUAGAGAAUUCUACCACUUCCUAGCUAUUUACAUGUGCUGGAAUUGUAAAGAGAAUUCUAGAGUAUUUACAAGCUCAAUGUGCUAGAGUUGCCUAGAACUUUCCGGAAUUUGGGCCAAGCUAGCACUCUUGGCUUUGUCUUGGGCUCUUGGUGGCCAAAUUGGGCUAGCGAAUUGGGUGGUCCACAACAUCCUCCCCCACCUAAGCUCGCGGCGUCCUCGUCGCGCUCUCGUGCUUGAAGCGUUGGAUGUGCUCAGCGAAUUGCCACAAAUCAUCUUCACGUUCCCAUGUGGCCUCGCUCUCGGGGAGGUUUUUCCACUUCACCAAGUACUCGCUAUGCGCUGGUACGCCUCUCCUCGAAACCACAUGAUCCGCAAGGAUGUAGUCCACAUCUUUGUCGAACGCGGUGACAACGGCAGUUGGCGCGCCCCUUGAUUCUCCACGACUUGGAUCUUCCACAUCUCGGUGGUAUGGCUUGAGAAGGCUCACAUGGAAGACCGGAUGGAUCUUGAGUCUUGGCGGAAGUUGAAGUUGAUACGAGACGUUGCCCACACGUCGUACAACUCGGAAGGGUCCCUUGUAGCGCCUCACUAACCCCUUGUGGACUUUCCGCAACGUCUUGAAUUGUUGGGGUAGGAGCUUGAUCAUGACUUGAUCACCUUCUUUGUACUCCACAUGCCGUCUCCUUGUAUCUGCCCAUUUCUUCAUUUUCCUUGCGGCUUUAUCGAGGUAGGCUCGCGUGAUGUCCGCUUCCUCGUGCCAUUCGCGGGCGAGCUUAUGUGCCGCGGGGCUCUUCCCUCCGUAAGUUGAGGCUAUGGCGUUGGGAGUCAUAGGCUGGAAUCCCAUGAUGAUUUCGAACGGACUCUUGCCCGUAGCCUCACUUCGCUGCAAGUUAUAAGAAAAUUGGACGAUGUCAAGUAACUUCGCCCAAUCCCGCUGAUGAGCGUUCACAUAAUGCCUCAAGUACAUCUCGAGGAGACCAUUGAUGCGCUCGGUCUGCCCAUCCGUUUGGGGAUGGAAGCUUGUCGAGAACUUGAGAUCGGUCCCCAACAUCUUGAAGAGCUCCGUCCAAAAACGCCCAGUGAACCGAGGGUCUCGGUCGCUCACAAUGCUCCUUGGAACUCCCCAAAGCUUCACAAUGUGCUUGACGAAUAGGCGGGCUGCCUCGUCCACUUUGCAAUCGACUGGUGCGGCAAUGAAUGUGGCGUACUUGCUGUAUCGGUCGACAACGACCAUGAUGCUUUCGCUACGUUGUGUUUGAAAGUAGCUCGUCGCUACGUUGUCCGUCAUAAUCGUGAAGUGAGAGCCGAGCAAGUAGUGUCGCCACACCCGCAAGCAAUGUAUUAUUGCAGUCAUCUCCUUCUCUUGCACCAUGUAGCGGCGUUCCGUAUCGUUUAGCCUUCGACUCUCGAACGCUAUGGGGUGGCCUUCUUGCAUGAUCACUCCACCUAUGGCGAAAUCCGAGGCAUCCGUUUGAACUUCGAAGGGUUUAGUGUGGUCCGGAAGAGCGAGGACUGGUUCCUCCGAAAUUGCCUUCUUCAAUUCCUCAAAUGCGCAUUGGCACUCUUCGGACCAAUGCUACGUUAUGUUUUUCUUAAGCAAAUCCGUCAAGGGGGCCCCUUUGGCUGAAUAGCUCUUGAUGAAACGGCGGUAGUAAUUCACCAGCCCAAGGAAUGAGCGAAGCUCAGGCACUUUCGAGGGAGGCUCCCAUUCGAGGAUGGCCUUCACUUUAGCAUUCUCCAUCAUGAGCUUCCCGCCCGCAAUCUUGUGGCCAAGGAACUCCACUUCUUGUUGGGAAAACGAGCACUUCUCCAACUUGAGGAAGAGCUCGUUGUCUCGGAGUACUUGGAGGACUUGUCGCAAGUGUUGGGCAUGCUCCUCGAGUGUGGUGCUAUACACCACGAUGUCAUCCAAGUACACGACCACAAAGUGGUCGAGGAAUGGUUGGAGUACCUUGUUCAUGAGCGUGCAAAAUGUGGCGGGUGCAUUAGUAAGGCCAAAAGGCAUCACAAGGAAUUCGAAAGACCCCGUACCUUGUUGUGCACGCCGUCUUCGGUUCGUCUCCCUUGGCGAUGCACACUUGAUAGUACCCAGAGCGCAAGUCAAGUUUAGUGAAGUACCGUGCUUUGCCAAGCUGGUCGAACAAGUCCGCGAUCAAGGGAAUCAGAUACUUGUUUUUUAUGGUGAUCUUGUUGAGCGCCCUAUAGUCGAUGCACAUCCGCAGCGAUCCAUCCUUUUUUCUUUUGGAAGAGGAUCGGUGCGCCAAAUGGGGCCUUUGAGGGGCGAAUGUAGCCUGCAUCCAACAAGUCUUUGAGUUGUCUCCGCAAUUCCUCUAGUUCGGGUGGCGCCAUGCGGUAGGGCGCCAAGGCUGGUGGUUUCACGCCUUAUUCCAACUCAAUUGCAUGAUCGACCUCUCGUCGAGGUGGGAGCUUCUUCGGAAGUUCCGGAGGCAUUACGUCCUUGUACUCAUUGAGGACGGCUUGAAUUCGCGGAGGGACUUGCCUUGGCGAGAUUCCGCUAUUUCCUUCCUCGUUUAGUUCCCGAAUGGAGACCAAGAAGCUUGGGUCCUUCUUGAAAGUCCUUUUGAAUUGCAUAGCGGAGAGUGUCUUCUCCUCGGACUUGCCUCCUUCCGUGGGAACCAUGCAUGCCUUACUCCCGUCGAGGAUGCUUAGGGAGUUCGUAGCGGGCAGCCGGAAGGCAUGGACUUGGUCGAAGAAUUCCAUGCCGAGGACCAUCUUGAAGUCAUCCAUGGGGACGAUGGAGAAGUCAAGCUUUUCGCUCCACGUACUGAGUGUAAUGUGCACACCUUGUGCGAUUCCCGCAAUUGGCUUAGUGGGUGAGUUCACAGCCUUCAUCGUGCCUCCUUCCUUGGUGGCCUUGAGGCCUAAGCGCUUGGCCUCGUCUACGGACACGAAAUUGUGUGUUGCUCCCGUGUCUAGCAGCGUGCGAACGGACUGGCCGUUUAUUUUCGCGCUUACAUACAUGAGCCCUUUCUUGACAAGUGUGGGCUAUUGGCGAUUGAGUGUGCCGAGGCGUUGGAGAGAACCCAUGCUGAGUUGGGGUUCUUCCGUGGACAUUGUGGGGUUGCUCUUAAGCUGGGCUGCGAGAGCAUUAAGCGACCUCUUCUCCGGACAAGUCGCGUACCCAAUGAGGACUGUUGCAUAUGAAGCAUGGGCUUCGCGGCUUUGGCGCCUCGUUCUUGCCCUCCGAUUUUCCUUGCCCGCUCUUGUUGCUAGGCGGCUUUUUCUACCCCCAAUCUUUGCGGUUGUUGCCCUUGUCCUUGCGACUCUCUUCCCCACCUUUGCCUUGGUUGGCCUUUUUGUCCUUGGAUUGGUGAGCGAUUCCGCAACGGCGAUGGCGUCGUCAAGUGUUUGAACACCCCGCCUAUCGAGCUCGGUCUUGGCCUAAUCCUUGAGGCCAUCUUGGAAGUAGAAGAGCGAAUCCUUGUCGGACAUGUCGCUUAUCUCCAACAUAAGGGUAGUGAACUCGUUGAUGUAGUCCUGAAUGCUACUCGUUUUCUUGAGGCGACGUAAGCGCGCUCGCGCUUCCUUCUCCACAUUGCUUGGGGCGAACUGCUUUCGGAGUUCUUGCUUGAAAUCGGCCCAAGUGUCGAUGGUGCAAAUGCCCUUGCCCAUCUCGCCAUGCUUGCGACGCCACCCUAGUUGUGCAGCGCCUCGAAGAUAAGUGGGUGCUGUGCCCACUUUCGAUGCAUCAUCUCGGACACCCAUGGCAUCGAAGUAUUGAUCAAGCCCAAAUAGGAAGUUGUCCACGAUUGUGGCAUUGCGUGUGCCAUCGUAUGUGUCGGGCUUUGGCACGUCAAUGCGGCGCGCAUCACUCGUGCUUGUGGAAGCUGGACUAGCGGAGAGUGUGCACUUGUGCCAUGCCCAAUCCGAGCGGACUUCAUCCACUUCCGCACGGACAGUGCGUAGUUCAUCCUGAACAAAGCUACGAAGUUUAAGCAACUCAUCAUGAAAAGAAUGAAACUCACCUCGAAGAGUGUUCGCUUGCUCUUGGAUGAGGGCUUUCGUUGCCACCGUGAACUCGGCGUAUUCACCCUCGAGACCGUCCACUCGUUCCUCUAAUCCCUCGAGGCUGUCUUGAGCGGCGGACAAUGCGAUUUCGAGAGUAGUCACUCGAGGCUCCAACACAUCCACGGAUGGGGCCUUGGACUUGCCGCGAGUUUUGCCUUGGGCGCGUUCUCCCUCUCGGCCGCGGCUUGGUUCCGGUGGAACAUCCACACCAACAACACCCUCUUGUGCUACGUUCAAAGGGUUGGCCAUUGCUCGUGAGCUAACUUGCGUGCGUGCAAACCUUAGCUCUGAUACCACUUGUCACGGGAUGAGUGUUUUACGCAGCUAACCCGUGCGGCACUUAGACAACUUUGCCGAAUGUUGCUCAGUAAGCCUUGAGCUUCUCGAACUAGAGAAGAGAGCAAUGGAGCCGAAUAAGAAAACUUGUAUUGCACAAAAGAGAGAUUACAAGAAUGCUUGAGUUGCUUGCUCUAAGCUUGUUGUUGUUGUUUUUUUACAAAUGCCUAAUGCCAUCCCAUAUUUAUAGGGGAGGCUUGCCAAGCUCUAGGGAUUCUAGAGAAUUCUACCACUUCCUAGCUAUUUACAUGUGCUGGAAUUGUAAAGAGAAUUCUAGAGUAUUUACAAGCUCAAUGUGCUAGAGUUGCCUAGAACUUUCCGGAAUUGGGCCAAGCUAGCACUCUUGGCUUUGUCUUGGGCUCUUGGUGGGCAAAUUAGGCUAGCGAAUUGGGCGGUCCGCAACAUGCUUCCUAUCAAAAUGUUUAUGUUUGAAUGCUUCUGUGAGUUCUCUGGUAAGGGCUAUACAACUAGCUCUAACAGAUUCCUUCAUGUGCAUUAAUUAGCUUAAUAGCUUAUUGACCUAUAUCCAAUGUCUAUUCUCCUUUUCUGUAGCCGUCUAGCUUUAUGAGUGCGUGAAGUGAACUUUUGUUUUUUGUUUCAGGACUUGGGAUUAGAGUGUAUAACAUUCAAUAUCUUUAUAUCAAACAACUGAUAUAUGUUAAUGUAGUGCGAUCUGGUCUUUAUUAGCUUCUUGAUUUGCGAGGAUGUUUGACAACCAUCUUUGACUGUGUUUGCCAGCGUAUAAGCUACUACAUAUUGUGUCUGAGGAAUCACAACAAAUUAUUAUCAUAAUAUGGUGAUUUUGAAUCCAAAACUUGGUAGUGUCAAGAAAAUAGACCCAUGUUUAUUUAGCUUCACGUUUUGUAUGCGGCUGCAAUAGACUAUUAUAAGUUACUUUUAGUUUUAUCAAGUUCCCCCCCGCCCCCUUAAAUUUCAGUUAUUUCAGCAGUUUCUUUUAACUGAGUUAAUAGUGUUGUUAGGUUAAACUAAGUUUGGCUUCAUAAGCUUCAUAGUAGAGUGUAGAAUUAGGUACAAUUUUGGGUUAGACAAGUCAAAGGUCUUAUCAAGUAAUUGUCCUGCUUACUGAUUUGGUAAUUGCAACAUUGCUAAAUAGUUCAAUUUGUCCUUUUUAUUUUGUUGAAUUUAUUGUAUGUCAUAUUACUUGAUUUAAUUAUUUUCUCAGAUCUUGUAGGUGAAAAUUUGAGCUUCAAAGACCAAAGCUAAUCAUCCAGCAAUUCAGUGAAGAAACCAAGACACACGCGGCGCAUAAAAAUUGUUGUUGAUCUGCUUUAUAUAUUUUGAGCUUUGUGAUUUGUGAAUACAUGGUUUGAUUCCAGUGUUUAAAACUUUGAAAUUCAAUUAAAAGUUGAGCUGUGAAAGAGUGUGUUGUAUAACUUGAGAAGCCAAACAGGAAAUGUGUUUUUUUGUUUUUAAUCUAUCUAUCUAUUUAUUUUUUGUUUGGAAAUGUAACAAUUUAUAGCUGGCAAAGUAAUAGAGUUGUAUACUUACUUGUAUUUAAUUUAUUAUUAUUAUUAUUAUUAUUAUUAUUAUUAUUUUAAUGACUCGGUAAUGUCAUUGUCCGUGGCGUUGUCAUUUCGAAAGUACUUAACCCUUCCACGCUAAGGCACAUCACAGCAGCCGAAAUUUUGAGCUUUCAGUUCUUGAUUUAGCGUGAGGGGUAUCUUUGUCUUUUCAGUAGUCAACAAACGGUCAACAAAACAGUCUACAAGCAAUCAGGGGGGAAAUCGGAUCUUUGAGUUUUCAGUAGUCAACAAAACAGUCAACAUACAGAAUCAGUUUGAAUAUGGUUCUUGAUGGUAUCAUGGAAAAUGCGAACGAAAAGUCAGCAUCUUUGAGUUUUGUCUCAUCAUAUCCGACUUGUUGGUCCACUAAUCAAUCAACAGGCACUUGUGAUCUUGAUAGUUUGAACUUAAGGAGGCAAAGCACCAAUCCUGAAGAGCCGUUCCUUGACGCUGAGAUUGUUGUUGAGGGCAAAUCAGUGGCAGUUAAUCGCAGCAUAUUGUCUGAGCGCAGUCAAUUUUUUCAUCGGCUUUUUAAUUUGAGAAAUGAUGCUUCUGUCGGUGAGGGGAAACCCAAGUAUCUUUUGACUGAUUUGGUGCCUCAUGGGAAGGUUGGAUAUGAAGCUUUCAAUGAUACCUUGUAUUAUCUUUACUUUGGACGGGUUAAGACAUCUCCUCCAGAAGGGUCCACGUGUGUUGAUGAUGCUUGUGCUCAUGAUGCUUGCCCUCCUGCUAUUAAUUAUGCUAUUGAGUUGAUGUAUGCUUCCGCUGCUUUUCAGAUGAAAAACCGCGUUGUUUAUUUUGGGGUAAUUGUGCUUCCCUGCUAUUUGUAUUGCUUAAAUUUAUGCACAUAUAUGGGAUUGAAAUCAAUUUCAGUUGUGAAGCAACUUCGGUGGUUCCCAAUAUUAGGAAUUGUAGUAGAUCCAAAAUUAGCUUAUUAAAAAGUGUAGAUACCGUAGAGCCCAAAACUUCGUCUUAUCUUGCAAGAGUCUGUCGUUAUAUUUUGAAAGAGACAAAAGUGAUGAUGAUGGGCGGCGAACUCUAGGAAUCAAUGCUUGCUGACACUCACUCCCAUGAAUGAUAAAAACUAACCAAAAAGGUAUAGAUUACAUGAGUCUGAAUUUGAUAAGUGCACCUAUCCUAUCACAAAAAGCUUUCGCGUUGAGUUUCUAACCAAUGAAAAUUGUCACUUCUGUCUGUAGCCUUCAUAGAUUUGUUCAAGCCUUCAAGGAUGUCUAGCUGUUACUUACCGUCCAACAAUGGUGCUACAUUUCUAGUGAAUGAUAUGUUAUUCUACAUCUGUAUAUUGCAACUUUGACAAACUUCGCCUUUCCUUUGUUGCCCGAUUAUGAAAUGGUCUAUUGGAGACUAGCAUUGGAAGGUUUCUUCUGGAAAAAAUUUUACUUGACCACCAAUUUUCAUUUGGGUGGGUGUCAGUUCAUGCUCUGGCUUGACUGUUCUGUUAUUUAGGUUGUUUUAUCUGUAUUUUCUCACUCACUUGAUACUGAGUUUUCUCAUGCUUUCAAGCUCAACAGUGAAUGCGAAUACUAGAGAUUCUCUUUUUUCCCGUCCAGGCUACAACCUAGCAAAUUGUUAAUGCUGUAGAAUAACAUCUUUUGUAGGCGAGCUUAUGUCUCUGAACAUUGGUCCAUCGGCAUUUAGGUUCAAUAAGCAUGCCACUGAUUUUCCCCCUCAUUAUUAUUUUCCUGCACAGGUUAUCCCCUUUAAGUAUUUGAAUUUUGAAUAUAUUAUUCUGAAUCAAUACUCUAUCUGUCCGUGUAGCAUUUUAUAUAUGCUUUAUGAUGUUUACCAAUAAUUACCCACUAUGGGGUAUUUGAAUUCUGAAUAUAUUAUUCUGAAUCAAAACUCUAUCUGUCCGUGUAGGAUUUGUUUUGGGACAUGACUGAGGAUGCUCCUGUGGAAGAUGUAAUCCCAAUUCUCGUGGCUGCCUUCCAUUGCCAACUGAACAAGCUUCGUUUUUUCUGCAUCCAGAGAAUUGCAAGGUCAAAUCUUGACAAUGUUUGUCUCGAGAAAGAGCUUCCCGAUGAAGUUUCAAGAGAAAUCAAAUCACUCCGUGUCAAAUCUAACCAGGAGUCUGAAGCUAUUAUAGCAGAAGUGGAUCCCAUGCAUGCAAAAAUAGUCAGUAGAAUCCACAAGGCGCUGGACUCUGAUGACGUUGAACUGUUGAAGCUUCUUCUGGAUGUAUCUAAUGUCACUCUGGAUGAUGCUUACGCUCUGCACUAUGCUGCUGCCUACUGCAACCCUAAGGUUUUUAAGGAAGUGCUCAAUAUGGGCUUGGCUGACCUCAAUCUUAGGGAUGCAAGAGGACGUACGGUGCUUCAUGUGGCUGCAAGGCGUAAUGAGCCAGAAGUGAUGGUGACUCUGCUGAGCAAGGGAGCAUGCGCAUCAGAAACUACAUCAGAUGGGCAAACCGCUGUAGCAAUCUGUCGGAGAAUGACAAGGCGAAAGGAUUAUCUUGAAGCUACAAAGCAGGGGCAGGGAACUAACAAAGACCGGUUAUGCAUUGAUGUCCUUGAGAGAGAGAUGAGAAGGAACUCCAUGUCUGAGAACUUGGCAAUGUCAUCAGAGGUGAUGGAUGAUGAUUUCCAAAGGAAGCUGGACUAUCUGGAAAAUAGAGGUGAUAAUUUCUUUACUGGUAUUAGUUCAUCACCUUCUCAGAGUUUGUGCAUAGCACACUUCUUUCUACUGUUUGUUUGUCCAUUCAUCUGGAAAAUAGAGGUGAUAUUCCUUUGCUGGUAUUAGUAAAUCAUCUUCUCAGAGUUUGUGAGUCCCUUCAUCUUAGGAUCUCAAACACACAUGGGCUCAUUGCUUGGAGCACACUGUUGGCCAGUCGUGUGAUUUGAUCCCUUUUUUGGAAUAGACAACUCUGAAUCCAUCUGAUCUAGGCUUGGCGGUUUGCACUGAACUGGUUUUUGAUGAAUAAUUGCACAAGACUUUGUCAUCAAAACUUUUAUUUUUUGGUUUUUUUGCCCCAAAAGUAAUGAGGUACAAAAAAAAUCUAUGCCUAUCCUGGAUGACUGCCAUAACAGCUUCUUAAUAUUUUGCAGUGGCUUUUGUACGGUUGUUUCCUUCUGAAGCUAGAGUAGCUAUGGAAAUAGCAGGUGCAGAUACCGCCACUGGCCUUUCAGCAUUAGGUCAGAAAGGACUAAGUGGGAACUUAAAGGAGAUUGAUUUGAAUGAAACGCCCUCUAUGCAAGCCAAGAGACGCCAAUUGAGACUGCUAACUCUGCUUAAAACAGGUAUUUAUAUACUUUAUUAACUUUUGCACCUUUCUAUUUACUGAUUAUCUUUAUAAUUAACUAAUACAUGUAUCCAGGUUUCUCCUUCCAUUUCUAAAAGGUUUCUCCUUCCAUUUCAUUAGAAGUAAAUUGGAAUUUCUUUAUAGUGCUCUGUUAGGUGUAAUCAGAUGUAUCAAAAGAGAAAGGGUAAUUGUUAGUACAUUGAUAUCUCAACAAAAUGGUAGAACCUUUCUUUAUACCAGUAAGACAUUUGUUGCAGGUAUGCCUACAUAAUCAGUGUCCUUCAAAACUUUCAAGGAGUUAGCAAUGCCUAACCCCUGAAACACUAAAUCUCACGGGAUCAACUCUUUACCUCUAGACCGAAGGUGUGACACCCAGACCCAAUUAGGGCUUAGAACACAUAUCGAAUCUGAGUGAAACUAAAUGCCUGUAAAUCCAAAUCUCCAAAAUAUCAUAAAGUCAUCUACUUUCUCUUUUCAUGUAUUUCACAAAAUUUUGAAAAAUUCAUUCUCAAUCAUAAACUAUGCACAGCUAAUUAUUCAGCAUAUCAGUAUAGAGCAAUACUUCCUCAUAAGCAAAUAAAUCUUACAAUCCUUCUUAAAUGAUUUGAAAAAAAUACUAAUAGAAGUCUUCUAGAUACAAACAUAAACAGAAUUCAACUGUUUAAAACUAUGCCAAAACACAAGCUUCAAUCAGUAAUGCAUACGACUAAUUAUUAAAAACAUCUAGCCAGAAACCUUACGAAAGCUCAAUCCUUUCGAAGCAUUCUUCAAAUUAAUAAUUGCUACCAUCUGUGAAAAAUAAUUGACAAGGAGUCACCUGUGAACUCAAUCAGUAGAAACAUUCGUAACGAACAAAAAGAAUUCUUUGUGCAAUAUUUUCAGAAAAUUCAUUUAACCUUUCAAAUGAAACAGAGUAAUUUUUCUAACGCAGUCAGGAUUUAUAUAAAACACAAACGUUUCAGACAAAAGCUGUGUGGAAUGUAAAUUUUGUUUCUUUAAACAGAAAGUUAUAUAUUAGUUUGAUUUUAAAGGGAGGUUAUUGGGAAGUUAAAAUUGGCAGUUGCGGGAAAAGGGUAAUAGCAGUUAUAAAAUCUCUUUUAAAGCAAAUUCAAAUCAAGUUUCAAAUUUUAGGAGUACUUAAUUCAAUAAAAUAAGGAAUAAAUAAAGCUUUCAUUGAAAUAAAACUAAGUAAAUUCAUUUAAAGCAAAAAAGGAUGGGAGCAUUACUAUGGGUUCUUAUGUUUACCCGCAGUCAGACAUCUGGGACCUUGUUAUUUGGAGACAAGACUUGAUUGUGCCAUGUUUUCCGCAGCUAGACAUCUGUGGAUAAGAGAACCCUAAGCGUAUUGAGAAUAAAUUCCAUAAUCCAAGUCUCUUCAGUUCUUUCAUUUGUGGCUAAUUAGUUAUAAAAUUUGUGAAUUUCAUGCCCCAUGCCCCUUGCAAAAAUGUAUUUUAUAUCCUUAAGAUGCCAGUUGUUGAACUGAAAUAAUAAAAAAUGGAAAACAGACUUAAUGCCGAUAGCAUUUCUUAAGAAAAACUUGGGAUGUUUAUAAGUUUCUUAGAGCAUUUGCUGAACUUUCUGUGAUGGCAGUCGAGACGGGUGACCGCUACUUCCCUCAUUGCUCAGAAGUGGUUGAUCGCUUUUUGGAUUUGAACAAUCCUUCCACCCCAGAAAUGGACGACGAGAAACUUAAAGUAGACGUGCAGGAGGCAUUCUGCAAGGACGUGGCUUAUCACCGUCGUUUAGGGCUGCCAUCAUCCUGGCCGGCAUUUUACCAGUACAUGGCUAGGAGCAAUCAGUCGGCAUUUUACAAGUACGUGGCUGAGAGCAAUGGUUCACGAAUGUCGACAUCCUGGGCAGCGAGCAAUUAAGCAUCACCUUUCCCUAAAAGUUAUAUUUGACACCUGGAAAACUAAAGUAGUUGAGUGAGCUCGAUUGGUAUUUGUAGUUUCUUUUUUUUUUACUCAAGUGAUCUGGCAUAAUUAAAAGUUAUUUGUUUGUCUUCAAAGUUAUUGUAUUGUCUCAAGUCCGGUGAGAUGCGCGAACGUAUAGCAUGCAUCACAAACUCAUUUCAUAGAAUAUUUUUUUGUAUAAUUAUAUAAUUUAUAGGCUUUGCUUAAAAAAUUAAAAAAGAAAAAAAGAAUUGUAUUACAAUUGGUAUGAGGCAUGCUCGUGUGUUAUAUCAGUUGCAUGCGUGUGUUAUAUCAGUUGCUGAACAAACUUUGCCUUUUAGUUUUGUAGGCACUACCAUCUCAAAUUCUCUGUUAUCAUGAAUGAGUAUUUUUUUUCUUUUUUCUUUUUUAAGAAAUCAUAAAUGAGAUUCAGAUAAUCUUUUUAAAAAAAAAAGAAAAAAAAAUGGAGAUUUCUUUUAUUUUUCCUUAAAAAACUGAAGAAAAAUUUAGAAGGUAGUGAGAGACGGAGAAUUAAAGCAAUUUUAUUCACAAAUGUAAUGUGUUUGGUCUAGCAAUACAAACUAAUAAAUUAUAAUUUAUGAGAUUAGUUUACAUAAUCUUAUAUAUAAAAUUAUAUCCUCUGAAUAAAAAUCUUCUCACCUCUUUUGACUUCUCAUUUAGAUGCCCUCUCUAGAAUCUCUCCAGCCAUAAACACAUUUUUAUAAAACAAAACACAAAAAAAAAUUAUAUAUAGUUGUCACAAGGACUAUUUCAUUUGCACAUAAUACGCAAUUGGUCAUUAAAGUUAUUAGAGGAGAAACUUUACAUGACAUGGGUACAUCAUAUUAUUAGUAUUUUAGUUUAAAUUUUUACAUACUAGAACAGUCUCUUUUUCUCCGAUUUGAGAGAUAAUGGGGAAUGGGGUUAAAGUGCAUCUACAUAGAAUUAAUUAUAAUUAAAUUUAUUUUUUAAAACUAUUUUAACUAGAAGUAGUAGUAAUUCUUUUUACUAUUGUUAUUCCAAUUAUAUCAAAAUCUCGUGACUGGUGAUCAAAAUAAGUGGUUCAUUAAAUUUUUUUAGGUGACGUAUGGUAUGGAGUUGUUAUAAAUCUAUAUAAAAAGUAAAAUAUUUAAUUUUGCUUGUCGUAAACUUUUAAUUUGCAUGGGUUAAAAAAGAAAAAAAGAAAUUGACUUAUUAAUUAAUUAACAAUUAUAGAAAGAAUAAAUAGAAAAUUAUAGUUGCGUGAGAAAACCCUCGUGAAAAGGGCUCCGGAUUUCCUUUCCCUGGCUUCGUGCGUUUCCUUUUGCCCUUUUCGAGCACGAAUUCGAAUCCAGUACUUUAUAAUAAAGAUAUAAUAUUAAAAAAUAAGAAAAAGAAUCCCAAUUUUUACUGGUAUAUAACGCAGAGCCUGCAUUAUGAAACACUCUUUUGCUAUUGUUUUCUUUUCUUUUCUCUUUUGCUGUAAUUUUUUAUGAAACACUCUGUUUCAGUUCUGUUUCUGGUUUUGUUUCGGUUUAAUAUUAUUGGUUCCGUUUGGUUCUGUUCUGCUCUGUUCUACGUCGUAUGUAUAUAUGUAUAUAUUUUUGGCCUCGAAUUGCUUUCAUCACCGGUUUUGUUAUUCAUUUAUCGUGAAUUUUAGAUGACUUGUUCGGCCAUGUUACAUUCAGCUACCAUUUUCAUGGUGGGUUUGUAAGAUAGUCUCUGACUAACACAUGGCAUUGAUUAUGAAUGAUGGUUUUGUGAGAUACAUCAUACAGACGUUAACUCGUGUUAAUUUGUACUUACAUCAUUCAAAAGAUUACUGUUUUUCUCUCUUUUUUUUAAAAAAAAAAAAAAUUGAAAUGCCCUUUUUCGCAUUUUAUAGAUGAAAGGAAGAAACAUAAUAUCGCAGAACUAGAAUAAAGGAGCCUAUUCUGUUACCUAUUGUCCGAGGAACCUUCUGUAUAUUCGGUAGGAACUACCAUGGGAAGUCAAAUCUUACCAGAGCCAGGCGGAGUCGUUGCUGAAGGAAUAUAUAUUAGCAGAUCCAUUUGUCCCGUACACUUCAAUUGUUGGUAGCAUUUUUGCUUGCACGAUGGUAUGUUUGUCAUCGUUACUGCGUGGUGGUAUUUACUAGAAAAUAUUUUGAAUGCAUAGUUUUUAUUUAAUUAGUUAUAAAAUUUUUAUACCCUCUGUUUUCCAUAAGAAUGUGUUCCUUUUCAGGUCUAUGAUCUUGCCCAAUUGAUUAGUGUGCUGUUCACUUUAAAUCUGAUUCCAGUUUCUCCAACAUACAGCGGGUCGAGUGGAGUAACAGGUGAUUGAAAAUUUUCAUUUAGUCCAAUUGUCAUUUCUUUCUCAAUCGGUAAAGUUUAAUCAUUUUUCUUAAAUCGACAACUCAUGCAGGGCCAUAUCAACCGUCCAUGACAUUUUUAUUACAGCGAUGUCUUUGUACUUUGUGUUUUGGUCGGAUCUCAGAGUUUGUGCAUAGCACACUUGGUUCUACUGUUUGUUUGUCCCUUCAUAGACAUUUCGAUAAACUGUUAUUUUUGUUCUUUGGAAGUGAAUAUUUUCAGCAACUAGAACUCCGAAGCAUCUGGAGUGAUCCAUUUUGUCAUUCUCAAUACCUAUAAAAGAAUGUCAUAGAAAACAGUUUCCAAAGCAAGUUGCAUGUGUUUUGAAUUUGUCUUUGCAAGCCACUAAUUGCUUGGAGCGCACUGUUAGCCAGUCGUGGUUCCAUCCACUUUUUUGGAUAGACAAUUGUGCAUCCAUAUGAUCUGGACUAAACUAGUUUCUAAUAAAUAAUUGCCCAGGGUUUUAGUCUCAGUGUUACAGCCCAGUCUUUGUUGUCAAUACUCUUUCCCCUGUCGUGGAUGAGCGACAUAACAGCUUCUUAAUGUUUUGCAGUGGCUUUUGCACGGUUGUUGUUUCCUUCUGAAGCUAGAGUAGCUACGGAUAGAGCGGAUGCAGAUGCCACCAAUUUUUAUACUGGCCUUUCAGCAUCAAAAUCAAAAGGAUCAAGUGGGAACUUAAAGGAGGUUGAUUUGAAUGAAACACCCUCUAUGCAAGCCAAGAGACUCCAAUUAAGAUUGCAAGCUCUGCUUAAAACAAGUAUUCAUAUACCUUAUUAGUUUUUGUACCUUUACAAUUUGUGAUUUUUGUAUCAAAAGAGAGAGGUUAAUUUUUAGUACAUUGAUAUCUCGACAAACUGUUAGAACCUUUGCACCACUAGAGACAUUUUCUUAGAGCAUUUACUGAACCUUCUAUGAUUGCAGUGGAGACAGGUCGACGCUACUUCCCUCGUUGCUCAGAAGUGGUUGAUAAAUUUUAGGAUUGUGAUUGGGCCGAUGCUUCCCUCCUAGAAAAAGGGUACUCCUGAAGAGCAGAGACUCAAAAGGGCACGCUUCAUGGAACUUAAAGAAGACAUGAAGAAGGCAUUUUACAAGGACAUGGCUGAGAAAAAAUGGCUCAGGUUUGUAGUCAUCCUCGUCAUCGUCAUCUUCUCCGAAGGACGGAGUAAAGUGUAAGGGUAGGAAAAUGUGAUGCUUAGCUGCAUGUCUUUGUUAUUCAUUUAUUGGCAACUAAAAGAGUUUUAGUGAGUUGGCUUGUUACUUGUAGAGAGAUACUCUUAGAGCCUAUGUUAUGGCUAUGUUGUAUAAUAGCAGAGGAACUUCAAGCUUGUGUUGUUGUAUUUUCCCUGGUAUUUGGCAUGUAAUGCACUAAAUGACAAAGAAUUUUCUAAUUUUAGAGGGGAAUGUUAUGUCAGUUAAUUAUUUAUUUAUUUUGUCUGUUUAAUUCAGUUUACAUAGCUUUUUUUUUUUCUCCAAAAAAAUCUUCAUAUCUCCAUCUGCAAUUUAAGUCAUUUGUAACUUCUUUCAGGGAGGAAGGAAAAGGGAAAAAAAAGAAGCAUUUGUAAGUAUAUUUACAGUACUGAUUUUCCUACAGAAAUUGGUUAAGGUGACAUUAAUGUUCUUAGUAACAGAUGGAUAUGCAGAAUUUUCGUUGAAAUUGAAAUUAGAAAUGGAUGGAUAUGAAUGACAUAUAUUCAGAAUUUUUUAGUAGAAUGUUUAAACAAAAUUUUUUAGCUCAUUACUCUCUAGAAGGAAAAUAAAUUUUUUAUUGUAAAUAUUAAAUAUUAAAUUUAUAAUAUAAUAAAUGUGUGACUUAAGGUGCACAAUACCUAUAUAAUAAUAAUAAUUAGGACAAGAAAAAUCAAAUUUUGUAAAUUACCAAAUUUCCCUUGGAAUUUGAUAUUCUAUAUCAACGUAGGUGUUGCAUCCACUGGGUUAGUACAACUAAAAGAAACUAACUAAAGUAAAACAAAAUAUCAGAAAAAUAUGGCGAGCUUCUCAUUUUUUUUUAAGUGAAAAAAAAAGAAAACUGAAAUUAAUUAUUUUUAUACCCAAAUUCUCAUGCUCGAAGGCCGCUGGAAUUGGUCAUUGUAAUUUUGUCAUCCUCGUUAUUCACUGGCCAUCGUAGCCUUCCUCCCUUAGAAUGAGAGUCGUUUUUUGGACCACGACAUAAUAAAAAUAGUAUUGAUUAAUACUAAUAAAUUUCUUUUUGAUUAUUUUGCAGUGUAAUAGUCUAGUGCGUGCCAGUGCCCAUCAGAUCACUUGAACAUGUGGUAAAAUUCUGCGAGUCUUUGUAAAAUAAUUUUUAAAUUGUGUAUUAACCAAAUAGCUCAAUGAAGACUAUCGACUCAUUAUUUUAUUUUGUAUAUAUUUAUGAUAAUUGUUGAAAAGAAAAUUGUAAAGUGAGAUUAAUGAACAUUUAUGAAUGUGGAAAUUAACACAACCAGAAUUUAUGAUGAAAUAAUUUUAAGUCAAACGAAUGUAAGUUUGUAUAUAUAUUUUUUGAAUUGUCAUAUAUAUACAAGUUUGUCACUAACAGUAAAUUAAAUUAUGAAUAUUUUAAUAAUUCAAAAUCUCAUUUAACCAUCAGCGUUUAUAGGGUGCGUUUGGCACAUUGUAUUGUAUUAUAUUGUAUUAUAUUAUUUUAAUGCAUGUGUAUUAUAUUAUAUUGUAUUACAUUAACAUUGUAUUAUAAUAAUACUAUACAAUGUUUGGUACUACAUUGUAUUAAUUUUUAAUAAAUAUAUAAUAUUACACUGUAUUAUAUUAAUUUUUUAAUAAGUACUUUAAAUUAUAUAUUUAGAAAAUAACAUUUAUUAGUCGUUAAAAAAUACUAAAUAUAAAAUUCUUAAAUUUUAGAAAUUUAAUAUUAUCUUUCUGGUAUAAACGUUGAAAAAAAAAAUCAUAAUUCUUCGUAAAAAUCGAAAUAAAUAAUUCAAUCAAAUAACCUUCAAAUAAUAUUAUAACAUAAAUAAAUAAUUAAAAUGUACAAGAUUAAGUUAAAAAUCAUUUUAAGAUAAUAAAAUAAAAAUUUAUACAUAGUAUAAAAUAAUAUAGUAACUGUAGUAUAAUAACUAACAAAAUAGACUGUACUAAAUAAUUUAAGUAAUACAACAAUAUUUACAAGUACCGUUUUUGCUAUCUUUCUCUUUUAAAGGCCCCUUUUUUGUUUUAUUCUUAGAACUUCAUAGUUCUUUUGUUUUUUCUUUUUCUUUUUCUUUUUCUUUGCCCCUUUUUUGUUUUCUUCAUAUUUCUUUUGGCUUCAUAAGUUUCUUUUAACUGAGUUAAUAGUGUUGUUAGGUUAAACUAAGUUUGGCUUCAUAAACUUAAAUCUCGUUAAGUUUUCCUUCGAAUAGCUCUCUCUCUUUUAGAGAGGCUUGAAUGGAAAAAUAUUAAGGGGUCGUAAGGACUCAGGUGGUCACUCCUAGUGAGUGGAAAGUAAUCUAAACCAGCAAGCUGUUGGGAUUGAUGUGCUGGUGGAGAAAGUUUCGAAGAGCCAAAGGUAGUGUAAAGCGUUGGGGUACGAGUCAAAGCAAGCAAGUUGAAAGAACUCACUAUCGGCUCUAGCGUUAUUUGCCAUGGACACUGAAGAGCUAAUUCGCAAGUGUCAAGCAAUAAAUAUUAGAGAGGAAGACAAAGCCAAAAUAACACUGGAGGUGAAUCUGGAAAAAAAGAAAGAACUAAUGAUGGCAGGCUGCUUAGUGGGUAAAGUAAUGCUCGCGAAGGGAGUAAAUAAAGAGGGUCUCAAGGCUGCGUUACAGCAGGUGUGGAGGACUUUCAAAGAAGUCAAAAUCGAAAGCGUGGGAAACAACAUCUUCAUGUUUAAAUUUGCUGAGGAAGCAGACAAGAAAAGAGUGUUAAAAUGGGGACCAUGGCACUUCGACAGGGCAUUGAUUGUACUCGCUGAGCCAAGGGGGAUUGGGGAAGUCGCAAAACAAUCCUUUACUCAUACAUCCUUUUGGGUGCAGAUUCGUAAUGUUCCACUAGCGUGUAUGGAUAAAGAUUUUCUCCGGGAGCUGGGUGAGAAGCUAGGAUCAGUUGAAGAGGUCCAAACUGAUGAUAAUGGAGAUUGUAUUGGGGAAUAUGCCAGAAUAAGAGUUUCAAUUAAUAUAACACUGCCGCUAGAGAGGAUUCUAUUUCUAAAGCGAGAAGGUGAAACUGAUAUCCCAAUGCCAGUGGUCUAUGAACGUUUGCCGGAUUUUUGUUAUUGCUGCGGCAUCAUAGGACAUCAAUACAAAGAGUGUGGCAAAUACCAAGACCAACCAAGAGAAGAUUUACCAUAUGGGAGCUGGAUGAAAGCGAUUACGGUAGGGGGCUUCACAAAGAGGAAUCAGAACCAGGGAAGGUGGAACUAUGGGGCUGGAAAAUCGGAUGAAAAAUCAGCAAGCUCAGAAAAUCACAGCUUCCAGCAACAGCAAGGGCAAAACAAAGAAAACCCGAUAGAGGCAAACGGGUCGGUACAAAAUGAGAAGGAAAUGGGGCAAACCAUGGAGCAUGCUAAGAAUGAUGUGAUAGGAGGAGUAGCUGAGCAACAAUUAAUGCAAGGAGUGUCACAGUCAGCGGACAAAAAACAAACUGACGGCCACAAGCAAGCUAAGAAAAGUGGCAAUGCAACAGUCCCAAGGAAAAUGGGCACACAAGCGGGAAAUGGUAUCCUAAACGAGGGGGAAAAAAUGCAAAUAAGUCAUGAAAAGGAAGCUGGAAAAAAUGAUGGGCCGGAAGUCUCUCAGCUACAGCCCAAUAAGAGAAAGUGGAAGAGAUUACUUAGAGAGCUAAGUGAAGGGGGGGAAGAAAUGGAGGUACAAACUCGGAAAAGGCCAAGGGGGAAAAAACUCGGGCAAAGCCCAAGGAAAAAAACAAAACUCUCCAACUCAAACCAGCUCGAGACAAAAAAUCUGAUGCAUGUUUCUUCAACAGCAAGUCUUCAGCUGGGGUGGGAACCGCUGAUGCUGGAAGAGGUGGUAGUUAUGGAAGCAAACAACAUGGAGAUAUCGGCGGAGGCUGGUGGCCAGCCCCGCCGAAAACCAUGAAUAUCCUCAGCUGGAAUGUUCGGGGUUUGGGGAAUCCCCGAGCAUUUCAAGCCUUAAGAAAAAUCCUCCAGUUGCAUGGUGCUCAGCUGGUGUUCUUGUGUGAAACAAAGGUAUCAACCAUGCAAAUGAAUGUAAUUGCAAGUAAGCUGAGCUUCGAGAAUUGCCUUGCGGUAAACGGUAAUGGAAGAGGAGGCGGAAUAGCAAUGCUCUGGAAGUCAGAUAUUGAGGUGCAAAUCAAAUCAUACAGCCAGCACCACAUUGAUGCCGAAACUCAAAUGCCAAAUGGGAAUCAAAUGCGAAUUACAGGAGUGUAUGGGCAUCCGGAAAUAAGCCAGAAAAAGCACACUUGGACGCUCCUCAGACGGCUGGCGGUUUUAUCUUCUAGUCCUUGGUUGUGUUGUGGAGAUUUUAACGAAAUUUUACAUCCAAAUGAGAAGAGGGGCGGCAAUGAUAGAAAUGUGAAUUUAAUUAAUGAGUUUAGAGAAGUCUUGAGAGAUUGUGGCUUAAAGGAUGUCGGGUUUCGGGGGUAUGCUUUUACUUGGAAUAAUGGAAGAUAUGGGGAGGGUUUUGUGGAAGAAAGGUUGGACAGAUUUGUUUGCUCUAAAGCUUGGAGUGAUAGAUUUGUGGACUGUGCAGCAAGUAAUCUGGACUCCUGGACUUCGGAUCAUUGUCCCGUGCUGAUGGUUGUUCAAGAGAGAAGGGAGGGUAUGAUCCAAAGGGGUAGACAUUCCUCGCGAAUCCAUUAUGAGGAUAUGUGGAGUUCGUAUGACGGAUGCAAAGAGAUAAUUAAGGAGGAAUGGGGGCUGUAUAGAAACUGGAGCAGUGAAAAUUCAGCCCAAUCCUUUCGACAAGCAACAAAAACUUCGAUGGGUAGGCUGCUGGGGUGGAGCAAGAGGGAAUUUAGAAAGCGUGACAGAAAAUUAGAGAAGCUGAAGGUUCAGCUGAGGGAGUUAAAACAAAGAAGGGUGCAAUUUGUAGAUGGUGAGGAAAUUCGGAAGGUGGAGAAGCAAAUUCAAAAUAUUCUUAUGGAUGAAGAAAUCUACUGGAAGCAACGUUCAAGAGCAGAUUGGCUCAAGGAGGGGGACAAAAACACAAAAUUUUUUCACGGCAAAGCGACGGCAAGAAGGAAAAAAAACAGAAUUUGGGGGAUUGAAGAUAAUUUUGGGAAAUGGAUUGAGGAGCCAAUCAAAGUAGAGCAUGAGUUUUGCAACUAUUUCACCAAGCUUUUUACAUCAACCCAGCCGAGACAAGAUCAAAUUGCAGCAGCUUUGGAAGGAAUAACUCCAAGAGUUUCAGCCAGUAUGAAUGAGAGUCUGGGGGCACCUUUUACAGCCGAGGAAGUGUUGGAAGCGCUGAGCCAAAUGUGCCCAACAAAGGCUCCGGGGCCGGAUGGUUUGCCAGCCGUGUUUUACCAAAAGCAUUGGCAUUCGGUCAAGGAGGGAGUGCUCACCACUUGUCUGCAUAUCCUUAAUUCACAAGGUACCAUCGGCCCUCUAAACCACACUUACAUUGCUUUGAUACCAAAAAUCGGAAAGCCUAGGAAAGUGACAGAUUUUAGGCCUAUUAGUUUGUGCAAUGUCAGCUAUAGAAUUGUUGCUAAAACAGUUGCUAAUAGAUUUAAGCAAGUUUUGCACAAAAUCAUCUCUCCAUCGCAAAGUGCAUUCAUUCCCAAUAGGCUGAUCACUGACAAUAUAAUAGUUGGCUAUGAAUGUUUGCACAAAAUUAGGCAUUGUAAAAGCAAGCGAAAUGGAUUAAUUGCCUUAAAGCUUGAUGUUAGUAAAGCUUAUGAUAGAUUGGAAUGGAAUUUCUUAGAGCAAACUUUAGAAAAAUUAGGCUUCUCGCAGCAAUGGAUUAGCUUGAUUAUGAGGUGCAUUAGUUCGGUUUCAUUUUCAGUGUUAAUAAAUGGUGCAGUGAAAGGCUUAAUUAAACCUCAAAGGGGCUUACGUCAAGGAUGCCCCCUCUCCCCAUAUUUGUUUAUUACAUGUGCAGAGGCCUUUUCAUCUUUGCUGCAGCAAGCUGAGCAACAACAACUCAUUCAUGGGUUAUCUUUUGGAAGCAAUCUGAAGAUUUCGCACCUCCUUUUUGCCGAUGACAGCCUGGUCUUCAGCAGAGCCUCCAUGGCCGACUGUCACAACUUGAAGAUGAUCCUUGAGUGUUACUCCACAGCUUCGGGCCAAAUUUUUAACUUCGAGAAAUCUUCCCUUUUUAUCAGUGGCAAUGUACAGCAAGAUCAAACUGAGGCUCUUGGGAAUCUAUUUCAGCUCAAUAUUGUGUCGAGACAUGAGAAAUAUCUAGGCUUGCCAUCGAUGAUUGGGAGAAAGAGAAGCAGUUUUUUCAAUGACAUCAAGCUGAAGGUUGCUAAUAAGAUCUCAAGCUGGCAGCAUAAAUUCUUUUCUUGCGGAGGGAAAGAAGUCUUAAUCAAAGCGGCUGUUCAAGCUAUCCCAGCCUACGCAAUGAGCGUCUUUAAAAUUCCAGGGGGUGUUUGUGAUGAUAUUCAAAAGAUGGUGGCAAAGUUUUGGUGGGGCUCCAAGAGGGAAGGGCGGAGUAUUCACUGGGCGCAGUGGGAAAAACUGAGCCAAGCCAAGUGUUUGGGAGGGAUGGGAUUUCGUGACUUCUCAAGUUUUAACCGAGCUCUUCUAGCAAAGCAAGGCUGGAGGAUUCAGCAAUGUCCAGAUUCGCUGGUGGCAAGGGUCCUGCAAGCUAGAUAUUUCCAGUCAACCAAUUUCUUGGCUGCUAAACUCGGCUCAAACCCCUCAUAUAUUUGGAGAAGUCUUCUGUGGGGGAGGAAAAUUAUUUGCGCGGGCUCUAGGUGGAGAGUUGGUAAUGGUCAGAAAAUUCAUGUUCAUAAGGCUAAUUGGAUCCCACGGGCUUCAACUUUCCAGCCAAUAGUUAAGCCAUCUCUGCCCCCUGAUGCUAUGGUCUCGGAAUUAAUCACUGAGGCAAACUGUUGGGAUGAAAAGAGGAUUUAUGAGCAUUUUGACCAUAUGGAUGCUGAUUUAAUUGCUAAGAUUCCCCUGCCUCGAAGUCCAAGGGAGGAUGAGCUGAUUUGGCAUUAUGGAAAAAAUGGCCAAUUCUCGGUUAGAAGUGGAUACCAGACAGCUCUCCAAAUGAAAUUUCCAGCCAUGGCUUCAAGCUCAGUGGUUUCCAAAAAUGAGUGGAAUAUUAUUUGGUCCCUUGCUUUGCCUCAAAAGAUCAGAAUCUUUGCUUGGAGAGCAGCCAAAAACCAACUCCCAUCAGCUGAGAAUCUGUGGAGGAAAAAAAUAAUCCAGAAUCCCAUGUGCCAAGUCUGUAAAAUAGGAACAAAAAAUGUCUUUCAUGCUCUAGUAGCCUGCAAAUCGGCUGAGAAGGUGUGGAAGCUAAUCCAUUUUGAUGAUGACAUUCGUGCAGCUCACAGUCAAGACAUUCUAAGCAUACUGCAUGCUAUGAAAAGGAUGAGAAACAGAGACGACCUGGAGCUGUUGGUAACAAUUUUCUGGGUUAAAUGGAAUGCUAGAAAUCAGAUGAUCUUCAAAGGGAAAAGGGAAACCCCCCAGAUCAUGGUAGCUAAAGCUGAAGCCUUGAUUGCUGCUUAUAAGAGGGUGCAUUCUCCAGAUGAGGCCUGCAGUGAAACAGAGCAGAAAGCACCUCCCCAGAAAUGGAACCCCCCUCAAGCUGGUUUUGUAAAAGUAAACACUGAUGCAGCCAUUUGCUUUGAAAAGAACAUUGUAGGGCUGGGGGUAGUAAUAAAAAAUGUUUUGGGGCAUGUUACAGCAGUUGCUAUCAAGGUUGCUAAGUUUCAUGGAGAUGUUUCUUAUGCGGAAGCAGAAGCCAUGGAAUGGGGUAUGUUAGUGGCGAGAGAGGCCAACAUGAAAGCUGUCAUCAUGGAAUCAGAUUCUCAAGGUGUGGUCAAUUUAGUUAACAACAAGCAGGGCAGCAGAUCAGAGAUCUAUUGGGUUGUGUCAGAAAUUCAGAAUCUAGCGGAAAGUUUCGAUCGUGUUAGCUUUAAAUACACGCCUAGAUCUUGUAAUGUUAUUGCCCACUCUUUAGCUAAACUAGCUUUAGAGAAGUGCGAGAAUGUUGUGUGGAAAGGGUCAUACCCUUCACAAGUGAUGUAUCUCUUUUCUUCUUUAGUUUAAUGGAAAUCUCUUUUCAAAAAAAAAAAAAAAAAAGUUUGGCUUCAUAAGCUUCAUAGUAGAGUGUAGAAUUAGGUACAAUUUUGGAUUAGACAAGUCAAAGGUCUUAUCAAGUAAUUGUUCUGCUUACUGAUUUGGUAAUUGCAACAUUGCUAAAUUGUUCAAUUUGUCCUUUUUAUUUUGUUGAAUUUAUUGUAUGUCAUAUUACUUGAUUUAAUUAUUUUCUCAGAUCUUGUAGGUGAAAAUUUCAGCUUCAAAGACCAAAGCUAAUCAAUCAUCCAGCAAUUCAGUGAAGAAACCAAGACACAGUGGCUCAUAAAUUGUUGUUGGUGAUUGAUCCCAGCCAUUCGGGUGCUCGCCAGUCCUAGAUUAGAAAACUUUCAACGCGGCGCAUAAAUUGCUGUUGAUCUGCUUUAUAUAUUUUGACGUUUGUGAUUUGUGAAUACAUGGUCUGAUUCCAGUGUUUACAACUUUGAAAUUCAAUUAAAAGUUGAGCUGUGAAAGAGUGUGUUGUAUAACUUGAGAAGCAAAUGAAACAAACAGAAAAUGUGUUUUUAUUUUUUUAAUCUAUCUAUGUAACAAUUUAUAGCUGGCAAAGUAAUAGAGUUGUAUACUUGUAUUUAAUUAUUUAUUAUUAUUAUUAUUAUUAUUUUUUUGUAUCCAUGGUGUUUUGUCAUUUCGAAAGUACUUGACCCUUUCACGCUAAGGCACACUCCAGCAGCCGAAACUUUGAGCUUUCAGUUCUUGAUUUUAGCGUGAGGGGUAUCUUUGUCUUUUCAGUAGUCAACACACGGUCAACAAAACAGUCUACAAACAAUCGACCUGUGAACUUGGGUCAAAGCUUUCAUCUUUAAAUCACAUAGGUAGAUCAUGAUUCAAGCUUCAGUUAUAAGCCUUUCAUUGUGAUUGAUAGUAUUCUUUCUUUGAUAUAUAUAUAUAUAUAUAUAUAUAUAGAUUCAUGGUUCUUGAUGGUAUCAUGGAAAAUGCGAACGAAAAGUCAGCAUCUUUGAGUUUUGACUCAUCUUAUCAAACUUGUUGGUCCACUAAUCAAUCAACAGGCACUUGUGAUCUUGAUUAUUUCAACUUAAGGAUGCAAAGCAGCAAUGCCAAAGAGACAUGGCAUGACGCUGAGAUUGUUGUUGAGGGCAAAUCAGUGGCGGUUAAUCGCAGCAUAUUGUCUGAGCGCAGUCAAUUUUUUCGUCGGCUUUUUAAUUUGAGAAAUGAUGGUUCUGUCAGUGAGGAGAAACCCAAGUAUCUUAUGACUGAUUUGGUGCCUCAUGGGAAGGUUGGAUAUGAAGCUUUCAAUGAUAUCCUGCUUUAUAUUUACACUGGGAAGACAAAGGCAUCUCCUCCAGAAGCGUCCACGUGUGUUGAUGACGCUUGUACUCAUGGUGCUUGCCCUCCUGCUAUUAAUUAUGUUAUUGAGUUGAUGUAUGCUUCUGCUGCUUUUCAGAUGACACAUCUCGUUUCGGUUUAUGAGGUAGUUGCGCUUCCCCGCUAUUUGCAUUGCUUAAAUUUAUGCUUGUUGGUAUAGUUUUAACAUAUAUGGAAUUGAAAUCAAUUUCGGUUGUGAAGCAACUUCGGUGGUUCCCAAUAUUAGGCAUUGUAGUAGAUCCAAAAUUAGCUUGUUGAGAAGUGUAGAUACUGUAGAGCCCAAAACUUCGUCUUAUCUUGCAAGAGUCUGUUGUUUUAUUUUGAAAGAGACAAAAGUGAUGAUGAUGGGCAGCGAACUCUAGGAAUCAAUGCUUGCUGACACUGACCCCCAAGAAUCAAUGAGUCUGAAUUUGAUAAGUGCACCUAUCCUAUCACAAAAGCUUUUGCGUUGAGUUUCUAACCAAUUUUCAUUUGUGUAGGUGUCAGUUCAUGCUCUGGCUUGACUGUUCUGUUAUUUAGGUUGUUUUAUCCGUAUUUUCUUCACUCACUUGAUGGUUAGUUCUCUCAUGCUUUCAAGCUCUCAACAGUGAAUGCGGGAGAUUCUAUUUUUCCCGUCCAGUCUAUAACCUAGCAAAUCAUUAAUGCUGUAGAAUAACAUCUUGUGUAGCCGAGUUUAUGUCUCUGAACAUUGGUCCAUCGGCAUUUAGGAUCAAUAUUAUUUUUCCCCCUCAUUAUUAUUUUCCUCCACAGAUUAUCCCCUUUGAGUAUUUGAAUUUUGAAUAUAUUAUUCUGAAUCAAAACUCUAUCUGUCCGUGUAGCAUUUUUUAUAUGCUUUACGAUGUUUACCAAUAAUUACCCACUAUGGGGUAUUUGAAUUUUGAAUAUAUUAUUCUGAAUCAAAACUCUAUCUGUCCGUGCAGCAUUGGCUUCUGAACUUGGCUGAGGAUGCGCGUGUGGAAGAUGUAAUCCCAAUUCUCGUGGCUGCCUUCCAUUGCCAACAGAACAUGCUCUGUUCUUACUGCAUCCAGAGAAUUGCAGGAUCAAAUCUUGACAAUGUUUGUCUCGAGAAAGAGCUUCCUGAUGAAGUUUCAAGAGAAAUCAAAUCACUCCGUGUCAAAUCUAACCAGGAGUCUGAAGCUAAUAUAGCAGAAGUGGAUCCUAUGCAUGCAAAAAUAGUCAGAAGAAUCCAUAAGGCGCUGGACUCUGAUGACUUUGAACUGUUGAAGCUUCUUCUGGAUGUAUCUAAUGUCACUCUGGAUGAUGCUUAUGCUCUGCACUAUGCUGCUGCCUACUGCAACCCUAAGGUUUUUAAGGAAGUGCUCAAUAUGGACUUGGCUGGUCUCAAUCUUAAGAAUGCAAGAGGUCGUACGGUGCUUCAUGUGGCUGCAAGGCGUAAUGAGCCAGAAGUGAUGGUGACUCUGCUGAGCAAGGGAGCAUGCGCAUCAGAAACUACAUCAGAUGGGCAAACAGCUGUAGCAAUCUGUCGGAGAAUGACAAGGCGAAAGGAUUAUAUUGAAGCUUCAAAGCAGGGGCAGGAAACUAACAAAGACCGGUUAUGCAUUGACGUCCUUGAGAGAGAGAUGAGAAGGAACUCCAUGUCUGAGAACUUGGCAAUGUCAUCAGAGGUGAUGUAUGAUCAUUUCCAAGCGGAGCUGGACUAUCUAGAAAAUACAGGUGAUAUUUCUUUACUGGUAUUAGUUCAUCACCUUCUCAGAGUUUGUGCAUAGCACACUUCUUUCUACUGUUUGUUUGUCCCUUCAUAUGGAAAAUAGAGGUGAUAUUCCUUUACUGGUAUUAGUAAAUCAUCUUCUCAAGAGUUUGUGAGUCCCUUCAUUUUAGCAUCUCAAACACACAUGGGCUCAUUGCUUGGGGCACACUGUUGGCCAGUCAUGUGAUUUGAUCCCCUUUUUUGGAAUAGAGAAUUAUGAAUCCAUCUGAUCUAGGCUUGGUGGUUUGCACCGAAGUGGUUUUUGAUAAAUAAUUGUACAAGACUUUGUCAUCAAAAACUUUUUUUUUUGUUUUCCAAAAGUAAUGAGGUACAAAAAUAUUUAUGCCUAUCCUGGAUGAGUGCCAUAACAGCUUCUUAAUAUUUUGCAGUGGCUUUUGUACGGUUGUUUCCUUCUGAAGCUAGAGUAGCUAUGGAAAUAGCUGGUGCAGAUACCGCCACUGGCCUUUCAGCAUUAGGUCAGAAAGGACUAAGUGGGAACUUAAAGGAGAUUGAUUUGAAUGAAACGCCCUCUAUGCAAGCCAAGAGACGCCAAUUGAGACUGCUAACUCUGCUUAAAACAGGUAUUUAUAUACUUUAUUAACUUUUGCACCUUUCUAUUUACUGAUUAUCUUUAUAAUUAACUAAUACAUGUAUCCAGGUUUCUCCUUCCAUUUCAUUAGAAGUAAAUUGGAAUCUCUUUAUAGUGCUCUGUUAGGUGUAAUCAGAUGUAUCAAAAGAGAAAGAGUAAUUGUUAGUACAUUGAUAUCUCAACAAAAUGGUGGAACCUUUCUUUAUACCACUAAAGACAUUUGUUGCAGGAUGCCUACAGAAUCAGUGUGCUUUAAAACUUUCAAGGAGUUCGCAAUGCCUAACCCUUGAAACACUAAAUCUCACGGGAUCAACUCUUUACCUCUAGACCGAAGGUGUGACACCCAGACCCAAUUAGUGCUUAGAACACAUAUCGAAUCUGAGUGAAACUAAAUGCCUGUAAAUCCAAAUCUCCAAAAUAUCAAAAAGUCAUCUACUUUCUCUUUUCAUGUAUUUCACAAAAUUUUGAAAAAUUCAUUUUCAAUCAUAAACUAUGCACAGCUAAAUAUUCAGCAUAUCAGUAUAGAGCAAUACUUCCUCAUAAGCAAAUAAAUCUUACAAUCCUUCUUACAUGAUUUUAAAAAAAUACUAAUAGAAGUCUUCUAGAUACAAACAUAAACAGAAUUCAACUGUUUAAAACUAUGCCAAAACACAAGCUUCAAUCAGUAAUACAUACGACUAAUUAUUAAAAACAUCUAGGCAGAAACCUUACGAAAGCUCAAUCCUUCCGAAGCAUUCUUCAAAUUAAUAAUUGCUACCAUCUGUGAAAAAUAAUUGACAAGGAGUCAGCUGUGAAUUCAAUCAAUAGAAACAUUUGUAACGAACAAAAAUAAUUCUUUGCGCAAUAUUUUCAGAAAAUUCAUUUAACCUUUCAAAUGAAACAGAGUAAUUUUUCUAACGCAGUCAGGAUUUAUAUAAAACACAAACGUUUCAAACAGAAGCUGUGUGGAAUGUAAAUUUUGCUUCUUUAAACAGAAAGUUAUAUAUUAGUUUGAUUUUAAAGGGAGGUUAUUGGGAAGUUAAAAUUGGCAGUUGUGGGAAAAGGGUAAUAGCAGUUAUAAAAUCUCUUUUAAAGCAAAUUCAAAUCAAGUUUCAAAUUUUAGGAGUACUUAAUUCAAUAAAAUAAGGAAUAAAUAAAGCUUUCAUUGAAACAAAACUAAGUAAAUUCAUUUAAAGCAAAAAAGGAUGGGAGCAUUACUAUGGGUUCUUAUGUUUACCCGCAGUCAGGCAUCUGGGACCUUGUUAUUUGGAGACAAGACUUGAUUGUGCCAUGUUUUCCACAGCCAGAUAUAUUUUACUUCAUUAGUUCCUAGACAUCUGUGGAUAAGAGAACCCUAAGCAUAUUGAGAAUAAAUUCCGUAAUCCAAGACUCUUCAGUUCUUUCAUUUGUGGCUAAUUAGUUAUAAAAUUUGUGAAUUUCAUGCCCCAUGCUCCUUGCAAAAUGUAUUUUAUAUCCUUAAGAUGCCAGUGGAUGAACUGAAAUAAUAAAAAAUGGAAGACAGAUUUAAUGCCGACAACAUUUCUUAAGAAAAACUUGGGAUGUUUAUAAUUUUCUUAGAGCAUUUGCUGAACUUUCUGUGAUCGCAGUCGAGACGGGUCAACGCUACUUCCCUCAUUGCUCAGAAGUGGUUGAUCACUUUAUGGAUUGGCCCUAUGCUUCCACCCCAAAAAUGGACGACGAGAAACUUAAAGUAGACGUGCAGGAGGCAUUCUGCAAGGACGUGGCUUAUCACCGUCGUAUAGGGCUGCCAUCAUCCUGGCCGGCAUUUUACCAGUACAUGGCUGAGGGCAAUCAGUCGGCAUUUUACAAGUACGUGGCUGAGAGCAAUCGUUCAGGAAUGGCGACAUCCUCGGCAGCGAGCAAUUAAGCAUCACCUUUCCCUAAAAGUUAUAUUUGACACCUGGAAAACUAAAGGAGUUGAGUGAGCUCUGCUCGAUUGGUAUUUGUAGUUUCUUUUUUUUUUCCUCAAGUGAUCUGGCAUGUAUCAAUUAGUUUGUAAAGUUAAUUGUAUUGUCUCAAGUCCGGUGAGAUGCGCGAACGUAUAGCAUGGAUCACAAACUAAUUGUAUUGUCUCAAGUGAUCACAAAAAGAAUUGUAUUACAAUUGGUAUGAGGCAUGCAUGUGUGUGUCAUAUCAGUUGCUGAACAAACUUUGCCUUUUAGUUUUGUAGGCACUACCAUCUCAAAUUCUCUGUUAUCAUGAAUGAGUAUUUUUUUUUUCUUUUUUUUCUUUUUAACAAAUCAUAAAUGAGAUUAAGAUAAUCUUUUUUUUAAAAAAAAAAAAAAUAGAGAUUUCUUUUAUUUUUCCUUAAAAAACUGAAGAAAAAUUUAGAAGGUAGUGAGAGACGGAGAAUUAAAGAAAUUUUAUUCACAAAUGUAAUGUGUUUGGUGCAGCAAUACAAACUAAUAAAUUAUAAUUUAUGAGACUAGUUUGCAAAAUCUUAUAUAUAAAAUUAUAUCAUCUGAAUAAAAAUCUUCUCACCUCUUUUGACUUCUCAUUUAGAUGUCCUCUCUAGAAUCUCUCUGGCCAUAAACACAUUUUUACAAAACAAAACAGAAGAAAUUAUAUAUAAUUCUCACAAAGACUAUUUCAUUUGCACAUAGUACGCAAUUGGUCACUAAAGUUAUUUGAGGAGAAAAUUUACAUGAGAUGGGUACAUCCUAUUAUCAGUAUUGUAAUUUAAAUUUGAACAUACUAGAAUGGUCUCUCAUAAAUUUUUCUCCAAUUUGAGAGAUGGUGGGGAAGUGGGGUUAAAGUGCAUCUGCAUAGAAUUAAUUAUAAUUAUAUUUAUUUUUUAAAACUAUUUUAACUAGAAGUAGUAGUAAUUCUUUUUAUUAUUGUUAUUCCAAUUAUAUCAAAAUCUCGUGACUCGUGAUCAAAUUAAGUAGUUCAUUAAAUUUUUUUAGGUGACGUACGGUAUGGAGUUUUUAUAAAUCUAUAUAAAUAGUAAAAUAUUUAAUUUUGUUUGUCGUAAACUUUUAAUUUGCAUGGGUUAAAAAAGAAAAAAAGAAAUUGACUUAUUAAUUAAUUAACAAUUAUAGAAAGAAUAAAAAGCAAAUUAGAGUUGCGUGAGAAAACUCUCGUGAAAAGGGUUCCAGAUUUCCUUUCCCUGGCUUCGUGCGUUUCCUGUUUGCCCUUUCGAGCACAAUUCGAAUCCAAUACUUAAUAAUAAAGAUAUAAUAUUAAAAAAUACGAAAAAGAAUCCAAAUUUUUACUGGUAUAUAAGGCAGAGCCAGUUAGAAUUCACAAACCUUAAGCAUACAAUCUGUUUGGCUAGCAGGAAAGUGACGAAGGAAGAAAGAAAAAUAAACUGAAUAAGAGAAUUUUAUUAAUCUCGAAUCACACCCUUACAUUCAAGCUUUCAUCAACUUAUAUUGCUGAUUAACAGAAGUAACAACCUCUGUAACAGCUGUCAAAUAACUAUUGGUUAAGCUAAGCUAAACAAUAACAAUCUAACUAAUUUGUCCAGCUCAGCUAUCCAGCUCAUCAAUCCUAGUCAAGUGAAUCUCAGCCAUUGAUCUGCUGCUGUUGAUUAAGCAUCUCAACACCCCUUCUCAAGCUUAAUGGUCGUGGAACAACAUUAAGCUUGUCUCUAUAGUAAUUAAAAAAAGAGUAAGCCAUAGGCUUUGUAAGCACAUCUGCAAUAUUCCACUCACUUGGUACAUACUUGAUCUCCACUUGUUUGCCCGUUACCUUUUCCCUUAUGAAAUGCACAUCCAACUCUAUGUGCUUGGUUUUGGCAUGAUAUACUGGAUUUGUUGCUAGUGCAGCUGCACCAUUGUUGUCACACCAGAUUAUUGGUAUUUGGCUACACUUCAGUUUAAGCUCUCCAAGUAAAGCUUGAAUCCAAACAAUUUCUGCACAAGCUGUUGACAAUGCUCUAUACUCUGACUCUGUGCUAGACCUUGCUACAGUUUGUUGCUUCUUGGAGGACCAUGAAACCAGAUUCUGCCCAAGAUAUACACAAUAUGCUCCAACUGACUUUCUGUCAUCCACAUCACACGCCCAAUCUGCAUCUGUAUAUGCUGUCAGACUAAUUCCAUCUCCUGCUUUAAACAUCAAUCCAUAAUCUUCAGUUGCCUUUAAGUAUCUUAGAAUUUUCUUACAAGCAACCCAGUGUUUCUCAGUUGGUGCAGCAAGAAAUUGGCUCAACUUAUUAACUGAAAAGGCAAGUUCUGGUCUUGUAAGUACCAAAUACUGUAAAGCACCUAUUAUGCUUUUAUACUCAGUGACAUUAACAAUCAAGUUAUCAUCAUUCCCUGCUCUUCUUAGUUUCUGUCCUGUACUCAUUGGAGUAUCACUUUCUCUGCAAUUUUCCAUAUCAGUUCUUGUAAGCAAAUCUCUUACAUAUUUUGCCUGUGAAAGAUGUAAGCUACCCUUUGCAUCAUGUGUAACCUCAAUACCAAGGAAGUAACUGAACUCACCAAGAUCUUUUAAAGCAAAGGUAUCUCCAAGGUAUUGGAUAAAUGUUUCAAUUACUGUAUUGUUAUCACCAGUAAUUAAUAUAUCAUCUACAUAUACUAACACAGCCACAAUACCUCCAAGUUCAUGUUUGAUGAACAAAGAUGAGUCUGCUUUGGAGUUCUGAAACCCCCACUGCAACAGUGCUUUCCUUAGCCUGUCAAACCAGGCUCUGGGAGCCUGUUUCAAACCGUAAAGAGCCUUAUGCAACUGACAAACAUGACCAGAUGGAGACUGAACAAAACCCUCAGGUUGAAACAUGUAGACAUCUUCAUUGAGCUCUCCAUUAAGGAAAGCAUUGUUGAUGUCGAUUUGUCUUAUUUUCCAGCCCUUCAUCACAGCAAGACUAAGGAUAAUUCUCACAGUUGACUGUUUAACUACUGGACUAAAGGUCUCAAAGUAGUCAAUACCAGCUGUUUGAUGAAACCCUUUUGCCACCAGCCGUGCUUUAUACUUAGAAACAGAACCAUCUGCAUUAUACUUAAUGCGAAAAACCCAUUUACACCCAACAAUUUUAGUAGCUUGAGAAGGUGGUACAAGAAUCCAAGUCUUAUUUUCCAUAAGUGCAUUAUACUCUGCCUGCAUGGCUGCUUUCCAUUUGGAAUCUGAAAGAGCUUGAGAAACUGUGGCAGGCUCUUGUUCUCCAAGAACAGAGGAAUAGGCAUGAAAUUUUGGCUUAAAUACACCUGCUUUGGCUCUUGUAAUCAUUGGGUGAUUUGGCAGUGAAACUUGAGUAGAGGAUGGUUGUUGAUUUGAAGUAUUUUGGGAUACAUAAGGAGAGGUGUGGGAGGGUGGAUGAUUUGAUUGAGAUGGUUGAAAUGGUUGAGAAGAAGGUGAUAAAGAACUAGAUGAGGAGGAAGAAGCUGAAGCUGCAGACAACUGAAAUGGUUGUAUAAUGGUGUUACUUGAGCCUGAAGGGUCAUGAAGUGGAACUGACACUGAAGAUACCUUAAACAUAGGAUAUCUAUAUUCAGAAGCAGAGGAAGAAGGUUGUUUAGAGAAAAGAGAGUCAGUAGAGAAAGGAAAUUCUGACUCAUUAAACACAACAUGCCUAGCAACAUAUACAACACCUUUUGAGCUUAGGCAUUUAUACCCUUUGUGAUCUGAGCUAUAACCAAUAAACAAACAUUUUGUAGUGUGAUAGUUGAAUUUGUGUUUGUUAUAGAAUCUCAGGUAUGGAAAACAGGAGCAGCCAAAAAACUUUAGAAAAUCAUAGUCAGGCUUGUGUUUGAAAAGAAUCUCAUAGGGAGAUUUAUUUGAUGGUAGAACAGAAGUUGGCAAUCGAUUGAUAAGAAAAGCAGAAGUUGAGAAUGCUUCCCACCAGAAACUGAGAGGUAAUUUAGCUUGUGCAAGAAGAGUCAAACCCAUCUCAACAAGAUGUCUAUGUUUCCUCUCUACUGUCCCAUUCUGGUGAUGUGUGUGAGGACAUGGAUGUCUGAAUAAAAUGCCAUGUUUUUGAAGAUAAGGCACAAAGGAUCUGAAUUCACCCUCCCAAUCUGACUGUAGGACCUUAAUGACUGUUUCAAAUUGUUUUUCAACUUGAGUUCGAAAAAUGGCAAAAACAGAUAAAGCUUGAGACUUGGUUUUCAAAGGAUAAACCCAGGCAUAUCUACUAUAAUCAUCAAUGAAACUGAUAUAGUAUCUAUAACCAUUGAGAGAAGUAAUGGGUGCUGGACCCCAUAAGUCAGUAUGGAUGAGUUCUAGAGGUGAGGUUGUUUUGUGUUCAGUUGCUCCAAAAUGCAGUUUAUGAACUUUGCCAUAUUGGCAGGCAUCACAAAAAUCAGGAAUUUGAAUUUUAUUGCUUAACUGCAAAUGUUUACAACUGGUGAGUACUUGUUUCAAGACUUUUGAACUAGGAUGACCAAGUUGCCUAUGUAGGAUAUUUAUUGAAGCACUGGAAACUCUACUGGAAUGAGACAACAGACACUGUUGAGAGGAGUGCUGAACAACUUUAGCUUGAAUAUUUGAAAAAGAACAAGACUGCAAACCAUCUGAGCAAUGUGACACCAUAGACAUAGGAACAAAACAUGACUCUUUAUUUACAGUUGAAAAUAAAGCUUGAUGAGUUUUACUUCCAGGCUCAAGUUUCAGCUUAUACAGACCCUUCAUAGCUACACCCUCCAGCAAAACUGUCCUCUUCUUCUUGUCCUUGAGAAAGCAAGUAUUUCCACAAAAUUCAAUGAUCAAGGAAUUAUCAGAAGUAAGCUUAGAAAUGCUUAAAAGAUUUUUAGUGAUGUGUGGCACAAAUAAAAGAUUUUUGAGCAAUAAUCUAUGAUUUCCAACUGCUAAAUAAGUGCUUCCUAUAUGAGAAAUAGUAAGGCCAUGUCCAUUACCAAUUAAAAGCUUUUCAUUACCUUCAUAAGGCUCACUGAUGCUGAGAUUAUUGAGAUCAUUGGUUAGGUGGUGAGUUGCUCCACUAUCCAGGUACCAGUCAUCAUCCAUUACUGCUUCUGGUGUUGCCAUAUAAGCUGACAUAUUUCUUUGAUUGUAGCCUUGAUUAAAAACUUGAUUUUGAUGUGGAUACCUUGUGACUGGAAUGAAAUCCUUGUUGAACCUAUCCUUGCAGGUAGCAGCAGUGUGUCCUAUAAUGAAGCACACUUGGUAUCUAGGUUGAUAUGGCUGUGAAAAAUGACCAGGCACAUGACUAGGCAUUUGAGUUCUCCCACCUUGAUUCCAAGAUCUUCCUCCAUGCAUGUUAUUUCCUCUUCCACCUUUCCUUCCUCGAUAGAAAUUUCCACCUUGAUUCCCUCUAAAAUUUCCUUGCAUCAUGUAUCCAGAAUUUUCAGAUCUUGAUGCAUUUUGAUUGAAACUAGAUCUUGAGUUGUAUGUUCCAAAACCUUUCUUAUUAUUGUUCCCUUUCUUAACAAAAUUUGCAGCAAACGCCAUAUUUGCAUCCAUAGUUUCAGCUAAAGCUUGUUGUUCUAACAUUCCCUCAUGUGUCAUUAACAUAGAGAGUGAUUCUGAUAAAUCGAGAUCUAAUCCUCUUCCUGUGAUCAAAACUGCUACAGGAUUGAAUUCUGAACCAAUUCCUCCUAACACACUCAUCAUAAAGUCAUAGUCACUCAUUGGUGCUCCUGCUGCUGCCAUGUUAUCUGCUAUGCCUUUCAUUUUGUGAAAAUAGUCAUAAACACUCAAAUCGUUCUUCUUUGUCAACAUCAUUUGAUUCUUCAGUUGCAAUGCUCUGGUUUUGUUUUGUGAGCCAGAAAGUUUUUCCAGAGCUUUCCAAACUUCAAAGGAAGUUUUGUAUCCGAGAACAAUUCCGAGAACACUCUCAGUCAUGGAAGAGAGUAGCCAACCUAGCAACUGCUGAUCAGUUCGCUUCCACAUCACAAACUCAGAGUUCGGAAUCCUCUGAUCUGUGCAUGGUGCUGUGAUUGAACCAUCAAUAUAUCCUUCUAAUCCAUUUCCCUGAAUGGAUGCCAAUACUUGCAUUUUCCAGAUCAAAUAAUUUGAUCUGUCGAGCUUAAUUGGUGUAGGAAAGGUAUAGGAAACAGUUGUGGUUUGAUUUAAGCUUGAUGAUGCCAUCUGGCUCUGAUACCAAGUUAGAAUUCACAAACCUUAAGCAUACAAUCUGUUUGGCUAGCAGGAAAGUGACGAAGGAAGAAAGAAAAAUAAACUGAAUAAGAGAAUUUUAUUAAUCUCGAAUCACACCCUUACAUUCAAGCUUUCAUCAACUUAUAUUGCUGAUUAAUAGAAGUAACAACCUCUGUAACAGCUGUCAAAUAACUAUUGGUUAAGCUAAGCUAAACAAUAACAAUCUAACUAAUUUGUCCAGCUCAGCUAUCCAGCUCAUCAAUCCUGGUCAAGUGAAUCUCAGCCAUUGAUCUGCUGCUGUUGAUUAAGCAUCUCAAAAGAGCCAAAGCGAUAGCGAAACAUCAAAUUGUUUUUAUUUCAACCUUCGCGCAACUUCCGGUGACAUAAUUUUUCUCUGUUUCAGGUACAUACCCAACACUAAACUUUGCAUGUAUCAUUCUUGUACUUUUGUUAUUCUUUUCUUUUCUUUUCUUUUCUCUUUUGCUGUAAUUUUUUAUGAAGCACUCUGUUUCAGUUCUGUUUCUGGUUUUGUUUCGGUUUAAUAUUAUUGGUUCGGUUCUGUUCUGCUCUGUUCUACGUCGUAUGUAUAUAUGUAUAUAUUUUUGGCCUCGAAUUGCUUUCAUCACCGGUUUUGUUAUUCAUUUAUCGUGAAAUUUAGAUGACUUGUUCGGCCAUGUUAUAUUCAGCUACCAUCUUCAUGGUGGGUUUGUAAGAUAGUCUCUGACUAACACAUGGCAUUGAUUAUGAAUGAUGGUUUUGUGAGAUACAUCAUACAGACGUUAACUCGUGUUAAUUUGUACUUACAUCAUUCAAAAGAUUACUGUUUUUCUCUCUUUUUUUUUUAAAAAAAAAAAAAAUUGAAAUGCCCCUUUUCGCAUUUUAUAGAUGAAAGGAAGAAACAUAAUAUCGCAGAACUAGAAUAAAGGAGCCUAUUCUGGUACCUAUUGUCCGAGGAACCUUCUGUAUAUUCGGUAGGAACUACCAUGGGAAGUCAAAUCUUACCAGAGCCAGGCGGAGUCGUUGCUGAAGGAAUAUAUAUUAGCAGAUCCAUUUGUCCCGUACACUUCAAUUGUUGGUAGCAUUUUUGCUUGCACGAUGGUAUGUUUGUCAUCGUUACUGCGUGGUGGUAUAUACUAGAAAAUAUUUUGAAUGCAUAGUUUUUAUUUAAUUAGUUAUAAAUUUUAUACCCUCUGUUUUCCAUAAGAAUGUGUUCCUUUUCAGGUCUAUGAUCUUGCCCAAUUGAUUAGUGUGCUGUUCACUUUAAAUCUGAUUCCAGUUUCUCCAACAUACAGCGGGUCGAGUGGAGUUUAAUCAUUUUUCUUAAAUCGACAACUUAUGCAGGGCCAUAUCAACUGUCCAUGACAUUUUUAUUACAACAAUGUCUUUGUACUUUGUGUUUUGGUCGGAUCUCAGAGUUUGUGCAUAGCACACUUGGUUCUACUGUUUGUUUGUCCCUUCAUAGACAUUUUGAUAAACUGUUAUUUUUGUUCUUUGGAAGUGAAUAUUUUCAGCAACUAGAACUCCGAAGCAUCUGGAGUGAUCCAUUUUGUCAUUCUCAAUACCUAUAAAAGAAUGUCAUAGAAAACAGUUUCCAAAGCAAGUUGCAUGUGUUUUGAAUUUGUCUUUGCAAGCCACUAAUUGCUUGGAGCACACUGUUAACCUGUCGCGAUCCCAUCCACUUUUUUGGAUAGACAAUUGUGCAUCCAUAUGAUCUGGACUAAACUAGUUUCUAAUAAAUAAUUGCCCAAGGAUUUAGUCUCAGUGUUACAGCCCAGUCUUUGUUGUCAAUACUCUUUCCCCUGUCGUGGAUGAGCGCCAUAACAGCUUCUUAAUGUUUUGCAGUGGCUUUUGCACGGUUGUUGUUUCCUUCUGAAGCUAGAGUAGCUACGGAUAGAGCGGAUGCAGAUGCCACCAAUUUUUAUACUGGCCUUUCAGCAUCAAAAUCAAAAGGAUCAAGUGGGAACUUAAAGGAGGUUGAUUUGAAUGAAACACCCUCUAUGCAAGCCAAGAGACUCCAAUUAAGAUUGCAAGCUCUGCUUAAAACAAGUAUUCAUAUACCUUAUUAGUUUUUGUACCUUUACAAUUUGUGAUUUUUGUAUCAAAAGAGAGGUUAAUUUUUAGUGCAUUUACUGAACUUUCUAUGAUUGCAGUGGAGACAGGUCGACGCUACUUCCCUCGUUGCUCAGAAAUGGUUGAUAAAUUUUAGGAUUGUGAUUGGUCCGAUGCUUCCUUCCUAGAAAAGGGUACUCCUGAAGAGCAGAGACUCAAAAGGGCACGCUUCAUGGAACUUAAAGAAGGCGUGAAGAAGGCAUUUUACAAAGACAUGGCUGAGAAAAUAUGGCUCAGGUUUGUAGUCAUCCUCGUCGUCGUCAUCUUCUCCCAAGGAAGGAGUAAAGUGUAAGGGUAGGAAAAGGUGAUGCUUAGCUGCUUGUCUUUGUUAUUCAUUUAUAGGCAACUAAAAGAGUUUUAGUGAGUUGGAUUGUUACGUUGUACAGAGAUACUCUUAGAGCCUAUGUUAUGGCUUAUGUUGUAUAAUAGCAGAGGAACUUCAAGCUUGCGUUGUUGUAUUUUCCCUGGUAUUUGGCAUGUAAUGCACUAAAUGACAAAGAAUUUUCUAAUUUUAGAGGGAAAAGUUAUGUCAGUUAAUUAUUUAUUUAUUUUGUCUGUUUAAUUCAGUUUAUAAUAUAGCUUUUUUUUUUUCUUUCCAAAAAAAUCUUCAUUUCUUCAUCUGCAAUUUAAGUCAUUUGUAACUUCUUUCAGGGAGGAGAGAGAGAAAAAAAGAAAAAGAAAAAGAAAAAGAAAAGAGUUUAUUUUACAGUACUGAUUUUCCUACAGAAAUUGGUUAAGGUGACAUUAAUGUUCUUUGAGGUGGACGGAUAUGCAGAUUUUUCGUCGAAAUUGAAAUUAGAAAUGGAUGGAUAUGCAGAAUUUUUUAAUAGAAUUUUUAUACAAAAAUUUGUAGCUCAUUACUCUCUAAAAGGAAAAAAUAAAUUUUUGAUGGUAAAUAUUAAAUUUUAAAUUUAUAAUAUAAUAACUUUGUGAGUUAAGGUGCACAAUACCCAUAUAUUAAUAAUUAAGAAAAGAAAAAAAAAUUAAAAUUUGUAAAUUACCAAUUUUUUCUUGAAAUUUGAUAUUCUAUAUUAACGUAGGUGUUGCAUGGACUGGGUUAGUACAAUUGAAAGAAACUAACUAAAGUAAAACAAAAUAUCAUUAAAAAUAUGGCAAGCUUCUCGUAUUUUUUAAGUGAAAAAGAGAAGAAAACUAAAAUUAAUUAUUGUUAUACCCAAAUUCUAGUGCUUGAAGGCCGCUGGAAUUGACCAUUGCAGUUUUGUCAUCCUCAUUAUUCACCGGCCAUCGUGGCCUUCCUCCAUUAAAAAAAUAAAUGACCAUUUUUUUGGACCACGACAUAUUAAAAAUAGUAUUGAUUAAUACUAAUAAAUCUCUUUUUUGAUUAUUUUGCAGUGCGAUAGUCCAGUGAGGGCAGUGCCCAUCGUAGCACUUCAACAUGUGGUAAAUUUCUGCCAAUCUUUGUAAAAUAAUUUUUAAAUUAUGUAUUAACCAGAUAGCUCAAUGAAAACUAUCGUUCACUAAAUCAUUACUUUAUUUUGUAUAUAUUUAUGGUAAUUGUUGAAAAGAAAAAUGUAAAGUGAGAUUAAUGAACGUUUAUGAAUGUGGAAAUUAACACAACCAGGAUUUAUGAUAAAAUAAUUUUAAGUCAAAUGAGCAUAAAUUUGUAUAAAUAUUUUUUGAAUUGUCAUAUAUAUACAAGUUUGUCACUAAUAGUAAACUUAAUUAUGAAUAUUUUAAUAAUUCAAAAUUUUAUUUAACAAUUGGUGUUUAUAGUGUUUUUCAUAAUACAAAAUUGUAAACAGUCUCAUCCUGAAUAGUAUAAUGCCAAACCUUUUCAAAAAUUUAUUCUAUUAUAGUCGUCUUAGUCAAUUAUAUUUAUUUUCAAAUUGAAGAUAAAAAUAGUACUUCAUAUAUCAUACAUUACUUAUAGUUUUUUUUUUUCAAUCAAAUUACGACUAAAAUUGAAAAAUUUACCAAUGGCUAUAUACAAAGUCUGAUUCUCAUGAGCUUAAAAGAUGGGCUUUGAAUGAUGUAUGGUACUCAAAACUCUACUUUUAUUAAUAUGAUUGCCCUGCUUCCUUCAUGACGGGUAAUUUUUAGUUUCUUCCCCUGAAGUUUGGCGUAUCUCCAUUUUAAUAGGAAGUAUUAGCGUAUCUCCCACUUUUCUCCCCUACCGUUUGUAUACCGUUUCAUAUUGUUAAUGGACGAAGCUACAAGUCUUCUCUUUCAUCAAAUCGAUCCAUAACAAAUACGAGUCUGCUUCACCUAACCAAAACACACGCAUACUCCAUCUCUAAAUGCUUUGAAGAUAAACAAAUCAACGGUAAUCCUGCAACUUUAGCUCAGAGAAUCGGAUAAGAAAAGAACAGGUGAUGAAUCAAGGGUAAUGGCGCCGAGUGAGUGUCGCCUGCGGUCGGCGUUAGAGGCGACUGUCACUCAAUCGCGUACAAGGUUAGUCUUUGAAAAAACUCUUUGCACGUUAGAAAUCAGUGAUUGGGCAUUAUUUUGUUAUUUAAAAAUGAAAAUGGGUUUAUUAGUUUGUCGAAGAAUCUGCUCUGUUGCCGGUGUUGUUUGUUGAUUAAAAUGAAAAUGGGUUUGUUGAUGUGUUGAAGAAGUUGCUCUACUGCUGGUGUUUUUUUAUUAAUUAAAAUGAAAAUGGGUUUGUUAAUUUAUUGAAGCAGCUGCUGGCAUUGUUAUUGCGACUUUAUUUAUCCAAUUGAUGAGCUUAUGAGCUAAUAGUAUUGUUUGAUCAAGCUUGUGUUCUUAAUAGUGGAGUUGAUAUUCUUAAAAAUGAAUUUAUGAUUAUGAGAAUAUGAAAAUUGAAUGGCAUCGUAGAGAUCUAGAUUAAUCACCAUCGUAUAUGUUUCUAAAUAAAGGAAUAAGCAGCAAUCUGAUUUGAAAGUUAAGACUUUAGGGAUAUGUAUGUGCAACUGAAUGAAUCAUCAGUUGCUAUCUUGUAAGUCAAUACUAGCAUAUUACUUAAUGGCAAGUGAAGCUAUUUUAUGUGUAUUGCUGCCUAUCAAAAUGUUUAUGUUUGAAGUUAUCUCCUUUUAGGAAAUUGAAUGCUUCUGUGAGUUCUCUGGUAAGGGCUAUACAACUAGCUCUAAUAGAUUCCUUCAUGUGCAUUAAUUAGCUUAGUAGUUUAUUGACCUAUAUCCAAUGUCUAUUCUUCUUUUCUGUAGCCGUCUAGUUUUAUGAGUGUGUGAAGUGAACUUUUGUUUUAUGUUUCAGGACUUGGGAUUAGAGUGUAUAACAUUCAAUAUCUUUUUAUCAAAGAACUGAUAUAUGUCAAUGUAGUGCGAUCUGGUCUUUAUUAGCUUCUUGAUUUGCCAGGAUGUUUGACAACCAUCUUUGACCAUGAUUGCCAACAUAUAAGCUGCUACAUAGUGUCUCAGGAAUCACAGCAAAUUAUUAUCAUAAUAUGGUGAUUUUGAAUCCAAAACUUGGUAGUGUCAAGAAAAUAGACCCAUGUUUAUUUAUCUUCAUGUUUUGUAUGCGGCUGCAAUAGACUAUUAUAAGUUACUUUUAGUUUUAUCAAGUUUUUUUUUCCUUAAAUUUCAUCGAGUCUUGGAGUCUUUGUAAUAUAGAGUCUAAGUGAAGAAUACUUGGGUGAAAUCUUGUAUUCUCUCUUCCAGUAAUAUAAUCAUCCUUUGUGUUUUUAUCUUUUUAUUUUGGUAUCAGAGCAUACUUUAUUAUAGAAGGACUUAGACUCUAUAUUACAAAGACUCAGCGGUUUCUUUUAACUGAGUUAAUAGUGUUGUUAUGUUAAACUAAGUUUGGCUUCAUAAGAUUCAUAGUAGAGUGUAGAACUGGGUACAAUUUUGGGUUAGACAAGUCAAAAGUCUUCUCAAGUAAUUGUUCUGCUUACUGAUUUGGUAAUUGCAACAUUGCUAAAUAGUUCAAUUUGUCCUUUUAUCUUGUUGAAUUUAUUGUAUGUCAUAUUACUUCAUUUAAUUAUUUUCUCAGAUCUUGUAGGUGAAAAUUUCAGCUUCAAAGGCCAAGCUAAUCAUCCAGCAAUUCAGUGAAACCAAGACACAGUGGCUCAUAAAUUGUUGUUGGUGAUCCAGCCAUUCGGGUGCUUGCCAGUCCUAGAUGAGAGAACUUUCAACGCGGCGCAUAAAUUGUUGUUGAUCUGUUUUAUAUAUUUUGACCUUUGUGAUUUGUGAAUACAUGGUUUGAUUCCAGUGUUUACAACUUUGAUACUGUGUAUAACUUGAGAAGCAAAUGAAACAAAUAGGAAAUGUGUUUUUAUUUUUUUUAUUCUAUCUAUCUAUUUAUUUUUUUGUUUCGAAAUGUAACAAUUUAUAGCUGGCAAAGUACUAGAGUUGUAUACUUGUAUUUAAUUCAUUAUUAUUAUUUUUUUAAUGACUCAGUAACGUCAUUGUCC